rnacentral:lncRNA from 1 species
UCAAUACCUCCUGCAAUACUGUAUUCGCGAGGCACAACUGGAUUGUAGACAAGGCCUUUUCAUCAAGCUCUUCCCAUUCUGUUUGAUUUAGAUUCUCAGGCUUUUUCCCUGUAACAACCUUUUUCAAGCCAUUUUGAACUAGAAUUGCCAUCAUCCGAACUUGCCACAGAUUGAAAUUUGUCUCACCAUCGAACUUCUCAAUUUCAAACCUUGUUGCUGCCAUCUCUGACCGGGCUGAUCUAUGAAAGUUAAACUAGCUCUGAUACCACUUGUUAGGAUCGUCCCGAUUAAGCAACGAACAAGUAAAAAUAGUAGAAGAAAUUGAGAAGAUAAACACACAAAUUUAACGUGGAAAAACCCCUCAAAAGAGGAUAAAAAACCACGGGCAAAGAUAAUUUUACUAUAAUGGCAAAAGAAUGAAGAGUACAAAAGAUGGAGAUAAAAACUAAACCCCGAAAACCCGAAAAACAAAGAACCCUCAAACGUAAACACAAAAUUCUCUGAAUGUGUUAUGAGUUCUUAUCUAAUGGGUGUCUCUUUCAAUUCUAAGAUUGUAAAGGAGCCUAUUUAUAGGCUAAAUUAGUAAGUCAAAUAAACUAUACUAAUAAAUGCUAAAUAUAUUAUACUAAUAAAUACUAAAUCUUCUAGAAAGAAAAUAUAUUUUUGUUUAACUUGACUUGCAAGCAAUCUCUUAGAAUUUGGGUCACACAAUUCUAACACAAUUAAAAUUUACACCUUUUUCGAUUAGUCUUUUUUAAUUAACUAAUUAAACAAUAAAAUUUCUAAAUCGAACCUUCACAUACCAAAAAUAGUAACUCCAUAAAUAUUUAAUAAAAGUAUUUACGAAUUCAAUUUUCAAAAUCAAGGUCCUGAUAUCUUAUUUUUCAAAACCACUUGACUUUCGAGACAACCAUUUAUACUAGCCAUUUAUUCAAUUAACUAAAAUUUCAUCAAAAUAAAUAUAUUAUAAAUUAUAAUCGACUCAUAUAAUUUAAAUACUAAUUGUUUUGGAUUUACUCGCCGGAUUUGUGGUCCCAAAACCACUAUUUUCAACACCACUAAAAUCAAGCUAUUACAUAAAAUAAUUUAAUUAUACAUGUAUAUGUAUUCAAAUGUUAUGAUCUUGUUAUAUGAAAUACUAACUUAUUGGUUGUUUUGGGGAGUUGUAUACGAAUGAGUAAGGAUGCCAAGAAUAUGUCAAGUUGUGUUUUUUAGUUCAAAUACUUCAAUUGUUAUAUGUCAAGUUAAUUUUCAUAUGAACUUACUAAGCUCCACUAAAGCUUACUUUGUCUCAUUUUCCUGUUUCUUGUAGUUAUCGUUUUGCAGAACUCAGUGAUCGGAUCAACUUGAAUAUCGCACUAUCUAGCCUCUAUUUUGGUAGACUUUUAAUCAUUUAUUUUGGUUGUGUGGAAUGUAAUAGGGGUUUAAUUGUAUCUAAAUGUUUUGUAAAAGAAAAGUGUAAUUUGUGAUGUAUAUAAUAUGUAUGUUAGAUAGCCUUUUGAUAUGUUUGGUUAUGAUUUGAAAUGUUGAUUUUGAAUAUGGUUGUUAACCUUUUGAAAAAUGAGAUAUUUAUAUGAAUGGUUGGCAUGAUUUAGUUAUGUUAUGAAUUGAUUAAAUAGGUGAGAUUUUGUUGGAGUAUAUGGCAUGAUAGUUUGAAGCUUGAAUUGCAUGUUAAACACGGGUAUGGUUUAAUUCUAGUUUUGGCAAGAAAUGGAGUUAAAAUUUUGGUUUUGAUUUGGAUUUUAAAGCUUGACAUGUUAAUUAGUUUUGGUAUCAAACUUGGAAGUUAUAUGGACUUGGCAUUUUUGGUCAUCUUGGAUGAUUGAAAGUUGUGUUUUGCUUGUAUAAUGGGAGUAUGAGUGGUUGCCUCUUACCUUAGCAUGAAUUAAACUGAAAUUUGGUGUUGUUUCAUGUUUGUGAUGAUGUCUUAUGACAUAUUGGUUAGAACUAGGAACAUAAUAUGUUUUAGUAAGCUUUUGGUGUAUCUUGAAUAGGUCUAUUGAAUGUUUAAUGGCAUGGUUAUGGCAUAGGUAAACAAUUGAUUGUGUAACUUGAUGUAUAAGACAAAUUUUGACACACACGGGCUAACACACGACCAUGUGUCACAAAUGGGUAUGUGACACUAACAUGUGCUCUAUAUGGUCAGGGUGGUUUUGGGUAAACAUGGUCUCAAUCUAUUACACAGCUUAGUGACAUGGCCUCAUCUUGUCACACGGCUAUGUGACCCUACUUUACACUUUUGCCUAAUCUUUUCUACAAUGUUUUAAAUGAGUCUCUGUUUGUUUUGAAAUUGAAUUUAGAGCUUUUGUAAGCUUGAAUUAAGUUCAAAUAUGUAUGCAAGACAUAUGACAUAAUUUUUUUGAUGAGUUGAUGAUUUAAAAUUGUUUUGAAUAAAAUACUUGAACUAAAUUGCAUGCUCUAGCUUUGUUAUUUACUGUAUCAUUCUGUAACUUGAUUCUAACAACGGAGACGGGUGAGGGGUGUCACAAUAUUAAUAAAGAAAUUAAGAAUCGUGUAAAAUAUUUAUUUUGUGGAUGUUUCAUGUAAUAAUGAUAUCGUAAAAUAAAUAAGACUUUAAAAGUGAAAACAUAGAGGAAAUUAAAGAAUCGGGCAUAACUGAUAAAUUUGUGUCAUAUACUUAUCUUGUGAUAUAAAGUAUAAUCAUGAUGUUAAUUAAAGAAUACUGUUAAAAAGAAUAAAUCAUAUAAAAGCCAUGGUAAACUAGGUAGAAAUCGUGGGAUAUAAUUGGCAUGCCAUAGGAAACCUAGCACACUCGUGUAAUUAGCAUUUCGAUGCUCGUGACUUGAUUAUUAGCACUUAUGUGCUUGUGUUUCAAGCACUUCUAUAACACCUCUUACUUGAGCCCGAACCUAAACUCGAGCAACAGAUGCUACAUUUGAAUAUUGAGUCACUUCCAUUCUAAAUUCACUAAUUAUGUUUCAUUUCAAUUUAUAAAAGCUUAUUUAAUACAAACUACUUUAAUUUCCAAUAAGUCAAUUACAUUCCCAUAUUUCAUAAGCUAUACUUGACUUUUAGAUUCCCACUUCUUUAUAAUUCAUGUCAAUUUACGUAUUGUUAUUUCAUUAAUUUUCCUCCUCCUCAACAUUCCACGCCCAAUAAUAUAUAUAAAAGAAUCAUUUAAUUUAAGUAUAGCAUUCAUAUACAAAAUCUAUUUAAUAUAGAUUAAAAUCAAACAUUAUAUUUCCUUCACAAAUAAAACACAAAUAUGAUAAGAUUAGUAAGACUCUUACCUUUCUUCUUGAAUUCCAUCUUCAAAUCAAACUAUUCACACUUGUAUUUAUUUUAUGAUUUUCAUAUUUUAGCAUACUUUUAUUUCAUUUACAAAUUUAGUCUAUAAGUCUUAAAACUUAACAACUUCAACCAGUGUAGUCCAAAAUCAAAUUUCAUUUGAAAUUUUCGAAACUAGACAUACCGUCCUUAAUAUAAAAGUUAUGAUCAAAAUUUUAUGUCAAGCCAAUUAAUUCAGUUUUUUCUUCAAAUCCUCCGCUGUUCUACUGAUAGGGAGCUCUUACCCUUUUCCAUAGAAAAAUAUUUUUUCUUUCAGUAAAACAUUUAUAUAAUAUUUCUACUCAUUUAUCUUUAAAUUAGACUCUUUAAGCUUUUUGGAAAUAUAAAUUUCAUCUUCUCAUUAUUUUUGUACAAAUUUUAAUGAGUUCUCAAAAUUAGAAACAAGGAGUCCAAAAUUAAUCUAACUUUGUCUCACUUAACUUUAUUUAUCUCAUAAUAUAUAAUUCCAUUAUUUACAAAAUUUAUUAUAUACAAAAGCAGACUCAAUAUGCUUCAAUAUCAUGUUUGGUUCAACAUCUAAAUCAAUUUCUAUAAUUUUUGGUGAAUUUUCAAAUUUGAAACAUUGUUAUUAUUUUUUUUCCAAACAACUUUCAUAUUCAUGAAAGAAUUUGUUUUGUCAAUUUCUACAAUUAAGUAUUAAUCAUUGACACUAUAGUACAUAAUUUUUAUAACAUAGCAAUACACUUAACUUAUCACAUAAUUCACUUUAUUCUUUUGAAAAAUAAUCAGGAUUCUUUUUAGUACUUAUCUCUUUUUAGCUAGAAUUUUCACUUCCUUAGUUUCACCACUUUCUUUUGUCAUCUUUGUCAUCUCCUUUUUUUUUUCUCUACAACGUUCUUCAUCACUUACUCUUCUUUCUCUUCAGUAACAUAUUAAGAACACAACUUUAUAUGAGAAACUCUACUUCAACAUCAUUUUCAUGCUUCUUCAACAAUAUCAAGCUUUAAAACAUAAUGAAAUCUUUAUCUUCUUACCUUCUCCUAUUGAUUUCAAGCCUUAGCUUGAUUUUCUCUGUCCUUCAAUUUCAGUUCUUUUAAAUCAAAGGUGAUAUUCAUACUCACCAUAGUCUUCUUAUCAUUUUUUUCCACUUGGAGGCUAUUGAAAUUCCUUUGAUUUCUAGGUGAAAAUGGUGAAUUUUGAUAGAAAAGACUAAAUUGAAUAAAACUCAGGGCACGUUUGGUUCGCUGUAUUGGAUUAGAGGUGUAAUGAAAUAGAGGUGUAAUAGCAAAUCAACUGUUUGGUUGAAUGUAAUGGAAUAGAGGCGUAAUAGUAAUCUUGUGUUUAGUUGAAUGGAAUAGAGGUGUAAUAGCAUAAUGGAAAAAACUAAAAUGACUAGAAUACCCUUAGCAUAAAUUUAUUUUGGUAAAUGAUUAUUGUUAUUGUUAUUUAAAUUUUAAUAAGAUUAUUAUUAUCAAUAAUAAAUAAUUUAAUCAUAUUUAAACAUAAUUAUUAUUAAAUAUAUUAAAUAUAUUAUAAUUAAAAUAUAUAAUUUAAUAAAAUUAUUAAUAAUCAAUAUUCUUAUAUGAAUUUAUAUACUCAUUUCCUUUUAUAUAUUAAUAUACCACAUUAACCGGUUUAUAUUUAUAUCAGUGGCACAAAAAAUUUGGGAGAAGAUUUUUGAGGACUGCUUUUGUUUGCAAAUAACAUCAUUCAUUCUGUAGGGAAAAAAUUAUGAAUGAGCCUGCUUAUUAAUUACCUUUUUUAUUUUGUACUGAAGUAGUUGCCACUGGUUCAAAAGUCGAUAUAUAUGUAAUAUUAUUAAAAUAAUAUUUUUAUUUUAAUUAUUUAAAAAUAUUUUUAAUUAAUGCGAUGUAUAUGAAUAUACACAUUUAAUUAGUUUUAUUUUUAAUAAAAUUUUUCUAAUUUAUUCAUUCAAUUUUAAUCACCUUACAAUUUAUUCAUUGUAUUAUAUCUACUGAUCCAAUUUUAAUAUAUUGAAUAUUUGCUUUUUAAUCAAGUUCUUUACUUGAUUAUAUCUAAUGUUCCAAUUUUAAAAAAUUCGAUUAAAAUUUUCGAACUAUAUCAACUUAAGAAAUUUGAUCCCAAAUUCAAAUUAAAUAUACCAAUAAAAAUCAACUUACUACAUCACCACUUGCAAAAUAUAACUCUCCAAACAUUACUAUGGAGUAAACAAAAAAAAAACAGAACAUAUAUAUGUCUUACAAUUUUUCUUUAGUUUAGAAGGUUUGAUAAGUUACCAAACCUCUUGAAUUGCAACUACAGCUUCAGCUUGCCAACGAUUUAUGUCUGGAGCAAAUCGGUAGCUAACAGUCCAAUACCUACAAAAUUCCACAUAGAACAUCAAUUUACUGGAACAAUAGUGGUCAAAAUAAUAAUAUAUGACUUAUGUAACUAUUCACAAGUAAUGGUACUAUGACUUGAGAACAAUUCAGGGACAACAUGAAACUGAAAAAAGAUCAUCAAUACAAACUACUACAGCAGCAAUAAAAUUAUUAUUGCAAUUCCACCCAAAGUAUAUGGACGACAUCCCAUUGCCUCAGCACUAACAUAGCACAUUAUUUUUCUUAAUUGAACAAUUGGGCAAUAAACUGAUUUAAACAACAAAGUUGAGUUAGUAAAGGAAGAUAUGGUAGCUAUUAAAAAAACAUAUCUUACAUCUAGAUCAUACUUUUUAAAACAAUCUUCACAUAGUGCCCUAUCAUAUGUCCUCUUUGUUUUAUUUAUUUUCCACAUUAGCAUGUUGCAUCAAAGCUGGACAUUGACAACAAAUAUGCCCCUCACUAUAAUCACUAAGGAGGAAAUAUUUAUAUUGGUAGACAGUGUCAUACCGGUUGGAAAACUACUGGUUUUUUGUUGAGUUAGGAGCUCUGUCAAUGGAAGAAACAAAUGUAUAAUGAUUUGGUACCGGAAGAGACAACCGAAGCAAUGAGCCCAAUGAAGUUAAACACAAUUUCAAAUAACUUCAGAGGUUUCUAGCAAGAAGUGAAAGAUUUUAUAGGUUCUGGAAAACAAAUGCAAACCGAAACUCAAUCAUUCGGUUAGUUGAUUAUGUGGUUCUGUUUUGGUUUUAGAAGUGUUCAAACCACCGUGAGGCAAUCUUAAUGUAGAAGACAUGAAAUAUUAUAGUUUGUGCGGAAAUGUGCAUAAGAAUAUUGUGUAUUGUUGUUGUAUUUGAUUGUGGAGCAUAUGCACAGUAAUCCCAGAAUUUGUAAUUGAUAACUCAAGGAAUAGAUAUGAUUUCUGCAUUUACCUGUUACAAAAUGGUUGAGUUGAUGUUUAUCGAUGCUUAAUGCAGGCUAGCAAGCAGGCUGAGGACGCUCCCAAGAAGAUAAUCAGAGUUCAAAAGCGCUGUUGGAGAUCCAUACCACAUUUGUCGAAGCCAGGAGAAACAACUUCGAACUUGAUGAAACCAAACAGAAAAUCCCUACAGCCUGAAAUAGUGGAUGCUAACAACAUGCUACUGUAUUCUCCCUAACUCAUUCCUUAAAUAUAAAUAGGUUUGUGCAAGCAAGGUAAAUCGAAUAGCUUGCAUAGGCAACUCUAGUUUGCAAAUCCAAUGAAAAUAGUUGAUGAUAAGUGAGAUAUCAAACGAAAAGCUUUUGAUAUGAUAACAAAAAGAAGUAAUUCAGAUUGAGCUAAUAACCACAUGAUAGUCUUAAGAUGUGGAAGAUAGAUGGUAGGAAAUCAUUUUCAUUCACUCUCUUCUGAAUCAUCACCACUACUGUCUUGUGAAUCAAUUUUCAUAGCCUUCACAGCAUUGCUUGCUUUAAAAUCUUCAACAGCCUUGUCAAAAGUGCACCUCACAUGCCUACACAUCAACAUCAGAUUUUGACAUGCAUCUUUCAAUACCUCUCUUGCUGGAUCACCUGCAAAUUUUCACAUAGAACAACUAAAGGAACUUGAACCCAAGCAAAGUACUUGAAAAAGAGUGCUAUAUUGAGUUUACCAGUGGUUUGAACUCUAAUAUUAACUCGAGCCUCUGAAGGAUGAGGAAUACUGUAGCCACAGAAUGUAACCAUUUGGCUGCACAACAUAAAAAGGAUAGCUUCCACUUUCAAUACAAUCACUUAAAACAAAGAAAACCCAGCAUGAAUCAAAGCCAAAAACAGAGGUGAGUGAAUUGACUCUUGAUUCAAAGUGAAUCUAAUAGCGUUAGCUAUGGUAUGAUCCUCAUCAGUUAAAGAAAAAGUGGCAGCACUAUUAUCAGUGAAAGACCCGUGUUCCAUUGUUUCCUUUAAUCCAAUUUCUAAAUCUCCAAACCAAGAAACAAAACUAUUAAAAGGAUGAAAUUGAAUCCAAUAAUCAUUGGGAAAACAUAUUUUUAAAUAAAAAAUAAGGUUGUAUCUUCCUUACCGGUUCCAAUGGACAGAACAUAGUUUCACCGAUGGAGAGGAACGGAAAACGUGAGAAGGAGGCUGCUUUCUGAUCGGUGUUCGAAGUCCAGUUGUGACGCCAAAGAGAGGUAAGACAGAAAGGUAGAAGCUUGAAUCGGUGGAGAUAGAAAGGUAAGACAGAAAGGUGAGGAGAGUGGAGAAGAAAGGUAGAAGGAAGAAACAGAAGACGGUGGAUUUUGGGCAAGACAAAAGCGUGAAUCAGGAGGGUAAAACAGGGACCAAAACUCAAUUCGGACCUAAACUGAGCACAAGGAAGGGAUUGGAAAUCGGUGGAAUUUGGGGAUUAGAUCAGUAAUGUAAUAGACCCGUAUUAGGCUAAUACACCCAACCAAACAAUGUAUUGAGUGGGGCCCACGAUUAGGGGUGUAAUGGCUAUGCCAAUACACCCAACCAAACAUGGUGUCAAACUUCACUUUUUCUUCUCAUGGUGGACAACAAGUAGUACAAUGACGGGAAAAUAUAUUAUUUUCAUCUUUUCUUCUUAUUUACUUAACUAUUAACCAAAUAAUAAAAUAUUCUAUGUAACACCCCAAAUUUUGGGCCUAGAAGAACUAGGUUUUGAGCAAGGGAACAGUUAGGAACUGCACAUAAAUACUUAGUUGUGCAAGGAAGUAACAUAAAUGAAUGUCUGCUUUAGUGGUUAAGUGAUUUAAGAGUGUUUGGGAGUGUCUAAGAAGUCUUGGGUUCAAGCCUUAACUUAUGCAAUAUUUUUAUUUUAAGUGAAUAAAAUCCUUGGAUCUAGAUAGUAGGUUCUUAAAUUAUUGUGGUUAAAAUAUGACACAAAAUAGCUUGUGGUCUAGUGGCAAGAUGGCAUGUGGUGUAAUUGUGAGAUUUGAGGUUUAAGUCUUGGGUUGCGUAAUGGAGUAUUUAUUUUACUGCUUGAACUGUGUAGGUAGUGGAGUUGGAUUGAAAUACUGCUAAAUGGAGUUUGAACUUGUCAUAGAGAGAUUUGGGGAGGUUGUUGUUGUGGAGUGAUAAUAGUAGAAAAUUAAGGGAUUUGGGGGUUAUCAAUUGGGAUCUUUAUUUUCUUUUUCAGUUCUUUUCCAAAAUUUUAGACGUUUCAAUUCUCCCAAUCCCCUGCCAAUUUUCUUUUUGUUGAUUUUCCUUUCCCUUUUCCUCUCUUAAAUCUUUAGCACUUUUCGGUUCGGUAUGGCUCGAUUGCUGUUGGUGUUCUUGGUGUGUGUUCUAGUAAGUUUAGUUAACGUGAUUGAAAUUUAGGUUCUGAUAAUCAUUACUUAAGGGGUUGUCUUGUGUUAGGAGAAGAUUAAGUGACUGGAGUUCUUGCCUAACAGAGUCACUGUGUGUGGAAUCGCCAAUGUUUAGUCAAAGGUAACGACUUUUGUUGUUGUUAAAGGUUGCUCGUCUCGCUAGGGUUGCGAAUAGGUGUUAAUUGAGUGACUGAUUGGAGUUUUAAUUGAUCAAAUUUAGGUUCUGCUGGUCUCGAGAGUGUUUCUGCAUCAAAUCACAUCAGGUGUGUAACAGCACUCUAUAAACGAUAUCGGUGAAAUGCCGAGAAGUGUGUGUAAUCACACCUCUUUAACUGGAAAUCGGUAAAGAAUGAAAAGUCAGAAAUAAGGAUGUUUGAGGCCACAUGAGCGUACGAACGCUCGUGGGGUAAUUCGAGCCCAUGAAACAUGGUGCUUGACUAUAGAGGCCGCCAUGAGCAUUCUCAUGGGCUUAGGCCGAAAUGGGCCACGUUGGGCCGAAAUGGGCUGUGUGGGCCUAAUGGGCUUGUGGGCCUACACGGAUGAAAUCCAUGAAUUGUGACAAAUACUGAAUUGGGCUAUGUAGAUCUCAUAGUCGUGGCAGAAUCUGGGCUAAACGGGCCGCACGUUGGGCUGAGUAAUGGGCCUUGGGCCCAUUUACACUGUUAUGACCAUUUAGGUUACCUGAGUCGCUCGAGGCGACUACAGACCUUCCGAGAGGUCAAAAUCUACACCGAGACUCCAAAAUAGGUAAUAUGACCAAAAUACCCCUGAAGGAUAAAAUAACUAUUUUACCCCUAACAGAUGAAAAUGACUAAAAUACCCCUAUAGGGUAAAAUGACUGAAAUACCCCCAUAAGGUAACAUGACCGAAAUACCCCCAUAAGGUAAAAUGAUCGAAAUACCCCUAUAGGGUAAAAUGAUCGAAAUACCCCCAUAGGGUAAAAUGACCGAAAUAACCUUAUAGGGUAAAAUGACUUUUAUACCCCUAGGAGAUAAAAUGACUGUUAUGGCCUUAUGUUAUGUAUGACUGAUUUGUUCUAUGAUAUGUAUGACUAUGAUUGAGCAUGAAAUUUUGCAUACAUGUAUGAUAUUAUGUCACGACAUGUUGCAUGGGGUUGGGUUGUUAUAUUUGGAGGAAGUGUACUGUACUGUUAAGGCCGCACGGGUCGCCUAAGACGAUUGUGGACCUACUGGUGGCUUUGCCACAUAUACUGUUACUAGCAGCUUUGCUACGAUACUGAUACUGGUAGCUUUGCUGCGAUAUUAGUGUGUUGGCUGGGUGGGUCGAUUUUAUCCCCACAUGGUGUGUUGGUGGUACGGUGUGGUGUGUUGGCAGGAUUGGGAUGGGUUACAUAUUGCAUUACACUGUUACUGUAUUGGGCUAAGGCCCACACUGUACUAUCACUUCAUAGAGCUAAGGCCCACACUGUACUGUCACUUCAUAGGGCUCAGGCCCAGACUGUUACUGCAUGCUGUUUACUGAAUGACUGAUAGGGGAUUACACACUAAGUUUUCGUAAACUCACCCUUUCUUUUAUUUACUUACAGGAAAUCCUCAACCAUAGGAGAUUUGGUGUUGUGAGGGACUCGGAGGUGGACACACUACUGCAGCUGUUUAUUACUAGAUUUUAUUUAAAUUUAAAGUUUGUGUUGGGUUUGUUCAUGUAAUAAUGGCCAUUUAAGUUUGUUUAAGUUUUUAAUUGGGCUUUUGCUUAUUUCCUUUAAAUUGCUAGUUUAGGGAAGAUGAAUUUUCAAAAUAAUAACUGUUUUCAAAGUCACGAACUUUAAACUAUUGAAGUUUUCAAAUUCUUCUGCAUUUUAAAAACAACUAUUAUAAUAGUAGUAGAUAUUAAGGAAAAUGUUUUAAUUAGAUGAUUGUUAAAUAAUACUAAAGAGGCUUUAAGCUUAGUGAUAAAGGGUUGCGCGCGGACCAAGAUCGAGUUGCCAAGUCACGAGAAAACUCCUAUGAAGGCUCUAUACGAUCAGAUUUGAAACGAAACAAUAAGAUCAACUUUUAGAAUUUCCAGACUUGAAAUUAGAACCCUAAAGUAGCAAGAGAUGAUCAAGAAACGAAACACUUAUGAAAAGAGAUUUCUUGGAAGCCAAGAACACGGGAUAGCAAUUAAGAUCAGCUCCAAUCUUACGAAUAUGAAAAGGAGGAAACAAAUAGCAAGUUAAGUUUAACAAAUCAGCAAAUCGUUUGAAUCCUAAUAUAGAGAAUGGGACGGCAAAAAUUCUGGAAUUAAAACGGAUCUUAUAGUUCAAGGUUAUGUCGAUUUGCUCAAAUUGAAACAGCCAAUUAAUUUUCCCCAAAAUUCCAGCAACCAAAUCAACUAGAUUUGGAAAGAGGAAAUCGGUAAGAUCAAUUGGGAAAAAGUAGGAUUUAAUCGAAUUUGGCUGCCAAGGAAGAGUGCCGAUUGGUCUUCUUGAAUAUUAGAGAGGGCUGGAAAUUCAAUAAGAAGAUUAAAUAAGUUAGAUAAAGAAAUUCGACACAAGCAGAAUUAAAGAAAAGAAAUUGACAACAAGCAAAUAAAAGAUAAGUCCUAAGAAGCCUUGAAAUCCUAAAAGAUUUCACAACUCCCUUCAAACGGCUCUAAUCUCCCCUCCAAAGAAUAUCAAUGGCAAGAAGAAGGCUGAAGAUGGCUCCCACAAUCAAAAUAUUGUUAAAACAACUUCUAAAGAAAACUCAAGAGCGAAUUCUCAGAGAAAAACUCAAAGAGAAUUCUGCACUUAAACAAAUCUGAAAUUUUCAAUAUAAUUGAGAAGUCACUACAAGGGUGGCCGGCCAUGCCUUUAAAUAGGCCUUAUACUAGUCCUAAUCUCAUUAGGAAAACUUAAGAAUAAACCCUAAUUAACAAAAAAUAAGAGGGAAAUUCGGCCAGGCAUUUAAAUGGGCUGCUUAGGGCCAAUUUUAACAUAUAAUAUUCUUAAAGCUAAAAAUUAAUUUAAACAAUUAAAAUGUUUGUAAAUUGGGCCCUUUAACAAUUUGGCUUGAUUUUCAAAUAAGUAUGGGUGGACUUCUUGAUUGGGCUUAGAAUCUUCUUAUUGGGCCUUGCCUUCAAGAAUUUGGGCUUGUGAUCCAUCCCCUACCGAAAUUAGGUCAUUGAUCUCGUAACGGAGAUCCAAUGCGCUUUGGCUGCAAGAUUUGGUUUCUUGGACCAAGAUUUCCAAGAUUUGAAAUCUUGAUUUUCUUGAUUCUUGAAAUCGCUCCAAACAGCAAAAUUGGGCCAAGAUUCGGUUUCUUGAUUUUCUUGAAAAUAAGAAAGUGAAUCUUGAUUUUCUCGUUCUUUCGUGUACGCCUCUAAGGCCUUGCUAACAAACUCCUGAAUGGACCCAUUUAGUUUGGAACGCAUUUGUCGAGCCUUUGAUCUCGUAUCACUUAGAAACGAUUUUUUUUCCAACAAGACAAAUUUGCGAAUGACACUUCAAUGUGACACGCCAGAUUCGACCAUAACGUCUAGGCCAGGUUUAGGGUGUUACAUUCUACCAAUCAACAUCCAACACCAAAUAUUCAUUAAUUACUAUCAUGAUAAUACACCAAAUAUCCUUGAAAUAUCACAUAAUCUGUUAAAAUUAUAAUUUAGUCCUCACAUUUCUUCACUUAUUCAAUUUAGGCCAUUCUUAUUAAUUCAUUUUGCACUUUGGUCCAUUUAACCUUUAGAAUAUUUAUACUUUUGGUCCUUUAAUUUUUUUGAAUUUACACUUUAACCCCUCAACUUUUUCUUAAUUUUACUUUUUCCAACUUUCUUCGACACUUAAUUAUCAUCUUCUUUACUUAACACUGAUAAUUCCUAUUCUAUUUAUCAUUAAGGAUCUAUUUCAUAUUCUUUCCUAAUUUGCAUAGUUUAUGACCGAAGGGGUUUCGGGGAUGUUUCAACUUCAAUGCUUGUGAAUAUUAGCACUUGCUUGCUUGUGAUAUCUUAGCACUUUUAUGCUCGUGUUAUUCUGAGUAUCAUUCAUGGUUCUUUAUUAUUUACUCAAGGUAUUUAUGUAUGAAAUAGUAAGCAAAGGUCUGAAAAGGAUAAAGUUUGAGUCGUGACCAAAGCAAAUAAGGUUUGUGCUAAGGAAUAAUAAACUUUAGUAUGUGUCUUGAAAUGAAGUGAUAAUGUGUUCUUGAUAAUUUGAUUAUGAAUAAGUAAAUUACAAACAAUUAUGAUAACAAAGAAUUAGCGUAUUAAAUAGAUAUUAUAAUAUAUAAUUAGAUAUAGUAGAAUUCAUCCGAGUACUUACUAAGCUUCUAUGAAGCUUAAUGCAUUACUUUUAAUGCGUAGUGUGCAAAUAAUGUUAGAGGAGAAGAGUUCGAUUAAGCUAGGUAGAUCACAUCUCAUCUUCAACAAGGUAUUGAAUAUGAAUUAUGAAGGUAAAUUAUAAAAUUAGAGUUGCAUUUACAUAAAUAUUUUAGUGGUUGAAAACUAAUGAUUGUAACAACCAUUUUUUAGUGGUAUCGAAAAUGGUGAUUUCGGGACCCAAAAUCUGACUAGUGAGUUAGUAAAUAUUAUUUAUUUAAUAUUUAUAAGUCUAUUAUAGUGUUGUAUUAAAGUUUGGUUUAGUGAUUUUGAUGUUUGAAUAGUUAAUUAGGUAAAAAUGACUAAAUCAUAAAAGUUAAUCGGUAUGGAUUUUUAUUAGUUAAUAAGUUUGAAUAAUAAAGGUACAUUGGUUAUGGGGUAAAUAUACCAUAAUUAAAUGGUAGUAAUGGUUAGUGCUUGAUUUUUUUAACUUAAUAUAUGUUAUGUUAAUAAAAUUAAAUUAAAAGAACAGUAAAUUAUAAUAAAAUAAACUAAAAACAUGUCAUCUCUUUCAUUUGUUCUUUAACCCCACCGAAAACCACCAUAGAAGGAAGAAGAAAAGCUUCAAAUUAUGCUACCCAUUCGAUAUCUUUCUGUUGACUUCGCUGAUUGCUUUAGGACUUAGUUAUUUUUAUGUUUUCUUAUGUUUUGUUUCUAUAUUUAUCUGCAAACUAAUAAUACUUUAUAAACACAUCUAAAGUUUAAGUAUAUGAAUAUAGUCAGAUUUGAAAUUUUCUUAAAUUUCAAGUUCAUACUUAAGCAUUUAAUUCUAUCAGAGUAUUCACCAUAAGCAAAAGCAUGAAAUAAUCAAAACUGUCUAACUUAUACAGAGUUUGCCAAAGUUGCUGCGAGGUGAUAAGGUUGGCAAACUGUGCUAAGUGUGAUCGGAGUGAUUAGCGAACUGCUACUCGUGAACCCUUAAUAAAUUUUGAUAUAAGGAUAUAAGAGAAACCUUGCGAAUCGUGUUCAAAGUAUCUAAACAUGUAAGGGUAGUGUAACACCCCUAACCCAUCUUCGUUGCCAGAUUAGGGUUACAGAGUAUUACCAAGUAAAACGGAACAUUCAACUUUACCAUAGAAACAAUUAUACAACAUUAAUGUUAACAUGUAAAAAUUAAAUCUAAUCAUGAGAAAUAUACACUUAUAGGCCUUAAACAGAGCCUACGGGGCCCUAAAAUUAGUUUGGGAACAAUCUGGGAUCAAAUUGAAACAAAAUAGAAAAUUUUGGAAAAACAUGAAAAUUUGGGAAACAGGGGUCACACGGCUGUGUGACAUUGCCCAAAUCGUGUGGACAUUAGAAGUAUAGACACACGGCCGUGUCCCAGCCCGUGUGUUUAUUGCGUGUAAAAUAACUAAUGCAAUUGUGUAAGUGUACAAGUCAUUCAAGUAAUAAAGUGAUAAGUAAGUAUCGUCUCCACAGGGAUGGAAAAUUGGUAAGAAAUUGAGUAUGUUGUUAUAACACUGUUAAUUAUACCAAAAUAUCAUGAAACAAUCUCAGAAUGAAUAAAAAGCUAGAAGAAUGAAUUACUAAAUUUAAAUGAUAAAGAACAAAGAAUUGAUAUGGCAUAAAAAAAGAUGUGGCAAUUCUCAGAGAAUAUCAAGAGUAUUUCUGUUGUUGAAUAAAUAGGGUUAGAAUUAUUCAGGAGAAAUACUCGUAUCAAGAUAACACCAAGGCAAAAUAUUGUCUAAUCUACUGCCCAAAGAUUUGCUACUAUGACCUGCCUCUUUCGAUAGCUCAAUCUUAAGCAAAAAAUCUAAGUUCAUGUACGUCUACAGAACAUGGGAUUCAUAACUGUAGUGAACGUCCUCUCUGUACAACUUGUAACAUCUAUGUCUAGAGUACUACGGCUAUUAUGUUGAGUAUUCACUUGCACCAAACGAUUCAAGAUCCAGUAUUCUUAACCUUUUCAGAAUUAAAAACACCUAAGAACACGCCAUACAUUCAACUAUGUCUAGAGCUUGCAUGCAUGUAUUUAAAAUAAGCAUAAAUAGAGUGUAACAGUGAUAUAGACAAUUUCAAAUCCUAGACAUUAAAGAUGAUAAAACAUUCACCCAAACAACUCCAACCUAAAACAGAUUUAGUUCAUGGGUGGAAAAGUAAACAUCAAAAUAGAAUCAUUCAUUAACAUUUCUCAAUUAAUUUCGAAUCACAGAAAAUUCAAUUUAGAAAAAUAAAUGCAUAAUUGCAGGAUGUUCAUUCCACACUCUAGCUUCUCUUUUAUCUUCCGAUUGUGUGUGAAACUAGGAUAGAUUUCUCUUCCCCUUCCUCGCAUCUGUAUUAUGUUCUCUUCUAAACUUUUACCCUUUCUUUCUUUGGAAUUCUCCAAUGGAGUUCUUCUUUGCGCACACAGAGAGAGAAUUGUUGUUACCAAUCUCUUUCUCACGCUGAUUAUCCUCCAUUUUUUCUUCUUCUCUCCUUCUUUUAUUGGGUAGAACUUUCCCACCUCAGUACACAUUUUUCAUUCAUCUUUUCAGCUUUUUUUUGGUUCAUGUUAAGCUGGCUGAGAAUGAGGUGGAUAGAGUGCUGACUCAUCUUCCCAGAAUUCCCAUGGCAAUUCUGUUGGCAAUAAAUCUUACCAAUUGUCAUAGAAAUGUUUCACUUCCCUUAUUUUGUUUUUGCAUCCUUUUCAUCCUCUUCUUCUACCUGCACCUGUGUUCACACAGAACCACACAUUUCCUCCUCAAGUGACAACAGUAAUAAAUAAUGGCCAAUGUAGCGCAAUCCAAGCUUUGUUAUGCAAUGUUCUAAAAUUAUCCUAAAAAUGCAUAUGUAUUUACUUAAUUUCAAAAAAUUAAUUCCAUUUAGAGGCCUAAAAUAUAACUCUUUUCAAGAGUUAUCACACACCCUAAGCAUUAAUUAUUACUUGUCCUCAAGCAAAUAAUUUAUCAAUAUGCAUGAAUGCAUAGAAUUGCCAAAAUAAUCAGUCACAAAUUAUACUGCCAAAUCAUAAUGAGCAUACUAUGUACCUCUAUUCUUAGCAAUCUUCUACUGAAACAAAGUAAAUGUUCCUAAAAGUAAAUGUUUCUAAAUAUUUUAGUAAUUAAAACUACAGCUGAUUCUUCUGAAUAUACCUAGGUUAUAUCUCUCCUAAACUCAGUUUUUAUUUUAUUUUAUUUAUUAUUUAAUUUCCAACAGAAAAUUUUUCUAGGGAAUUCAUAUAUUGUCAUAUGAUUUUUUACUUGAGAACCUCAAUAGAGCAUACACUAGACUACCAUGUAUUAUAUCAUGUCACAAUUUGAAUAUAAAUCACUCAUGAAACAAAAGCUUUUAACUAAAAAGAUGGAUGGAACAAACAACUACCAUCUUAGCAAUUUAGCCUCAAGAUUCAGUGAAGUGUCCCUAAAAUAUCUACACUUUUUUUAAACAAACACUUAUAUUUGAACUCAUUUUUCUGGUCAACAAUAUAAUGGAGCAAACAAAAUAUUACUGACCUACUUAACAGGUUCAAACAUUGGAGUAUUCAUAUUAUUUUACCAUGAUAAAAAUUGUACCCUAUUACUAUAUUGAAAUUAAGUCAAGAAGUCCUAAAUUUAUUCAAAGAAUGCUACUAUAGCCUAAUUGAAUUUAUGUUUCAAUUAUUCUACUUUUAGAAAUUCAUUUCAAGAACUAUCAUAUUCUAAACAUGCCUAAACAACUAUCACCAUAUUUUCUAAGUUUACAAAGAAGAGAUAUUAUCCUCAUUGAACAUCAUUGAUAACCAUAUACUCACAUAAUCAGGUAGUUGAAUGGCAAUUGAAUGUUAUGGCAAAAAGACUAUAUGAACAAUUAACAAUGUAGUAUAUAUGCACAACACACCCCCAAACCUAAGGGAUGCAGUGUCCUUAAUGCAUGAACAUGAAAAAAUAAAAUGAAUAAAAGCUACAUAAAUGCAUGAAACAUAUAGAAAUCAAAAUGAAUGAUCAUGAAAAUAUAAAAAUCAAAGCUUGGAGGGGAAGGAAACUACUUCACUUGGGUUGUAUGGAUUUCCUUGCAGCUCGUUUGUAACAUUGCGGCCUGUCCUGGUUAUCACUACCGGUGUGAAUGAUUUUACCAACAGCCUUCUUGAAUCCUUUUCUCAUAAGUUGGUUAAUAGACACUUAUUCCUCAUCAUCGUCGGUGUUUGACUUUGUGAGUUCAUCAAUCAGUUGAUGAACUGCACGUUCCUAGGCAGUCAUAGGGGCCUUGGAUUGUGAUACAGGUGCAGUAGUCUGAGUGGUAUCCAUUCUCUCAUCAUCAGAUUCAAUGUGGAUAGAUUUUGUCCUGGCUUUAUCUCCUUCUAGUUCUUGGUUGUGCAUGGGAGCAGUUCUAGCUUCUUCAUCUUCUGUAUCAAGAUUCAAUAACAGUUCCUUAGGAAAAACAAGAAAUGGUGGCAUUGGGCGUGAGAGGUUCUUUUGCAAGGAUUUACAAAUACCAACAUCACAUUGGCAGACAUAUCCCCAAAAGAUGGUCAUCUCCUAUUGAGCUUUGCCAAAGUCAGUGAUAAGCAUUUUCUGAUGCUUUUCCAACACACACAAUUAUUGUUUCUAGCCUUCUAUAGCUUCAAUAAUUCGCCACUUAAACUCAAUGUGAGAAGUCGAUGGGAUAGCAGAAGUAGACAUAGGGGGAGAAGAUAGAGAUGUGCCAGUUUGCCUUGGAAUUUCCUCGCUAGCCAGUUUUUAUGCAAUGAGCUUAGUAAUAUCCUUUGUUCAAUAGGUGGUCUUCAUUUGAUGACAGGGGAACCUUGACUCUUUGGCAUAGUAUAGUAAUUAGUGAGGGGAAAUUUAAAGUACUAGCAUUCUUUUGGGCACUACGAUGAAUCUCACAAAGGAUAAUGUUGCCAAUAUUAAUCUUUCAACCCACCAUUAUGAAGUGAAGAAGCAAUAUUGGUCCUUAGAGAUUGUAGCAUUAUAUGUAGAAGGAAUUAAACGAGUUCUCAAGAAAUGGUACCAAAUCUUGCAUUGAGGCUUCAAUGAGACUUUUUCAAUGGUGUAACAGUCAUUUCUUGAUAUUAAACAUUAUGUAUGUUCCAAACAAACAUCAGUGAGAACCUGGGCUAAGCACUUUGAGGACAUUGUCUUCAUAAAGUUAGCAUGCUCGUCAGGACCUUCAAAUAGCCCAUAUUGGGCAUUGAUGGAGUCCUUAUGAAGUAAAACUGAUGCGCUACGCACAUAUAUAAAUAUGUUGUCAGGAGAAGUAAUGUAGGCAUAAAACUCUUUCACUACUUUUGGGAAGACAUCAUCAAGAUGAAGAUAGAAGAUCCCCCACCUAUACUUUUCGAAAACUGAUGAUAUGGCUUCUGUAUACCCCAUGAAAGUAUCAUCCUGAAAAAGGAAUCCUUUUUCAUACAGAAUGGUCGUUUGGUACUAUUUUUGUGGUAUUUUUCUUCCACAAGUUUACUGAAGAAGGUGUAUGGAGAGGCAGAGGUUGAAGCAGAAGCUAUUUGGGAAGCCAUUGAAGAGAAAAUAGAAAGCUAGAAAAUGAAAAAUGCUAGAUUUUAAUGCGGUUAUGAAUGAAAUAGAGAGUAAAAGUAAAAAAUGAAGCGGAAUGAAAAUGUGGGAAGAAACUGAAUCGGCUAGGUUAAAACAUGAGAGAGAAGUAAUUGUGACAUGUGUGAUAAGACGAGCCUUAAUUAUAGGUUGACAAGGUAAACAAUUGACAUUUAACGGGAAAAGAAAAUGGAAUUAGCAUAAAUUUAUGUGAAUUAAAAGGAUUUAGGCCAAUGGCUUUAGUUUGUAUGUGUUUUGGUCCAAGGGAAAACCUGUAACAAGAGAAAAUAAACAGUUAAAUAAAUUUAUUAGGUAACAAAUAAGAAAAAGAAAAAAUAAAAUAAAUAAAGAAAAUUUCUACGAAAUAACAAUUAUUAAGUAUUUCGAAGAGAAAUAAAUUUUUUUUCGCGCAUUAUAGGAGCUCCAAAAUAAUGUUUCAGGCGUUGACCAUUGACUUUGAAAGUGGAUCCUAUUUUUCCAUCUUUAACAUCGAUAGCUCCAUGAAGGUAUAUACACUCGACUUUGAAUGGUCCAGACCAUCUCGAGUUUAAUUUGUCAGGAAAUAGUUGAAGUCUGGAAUUGAAGAGUAAGACUUGUUGUCCAAGUAUAAAUUACCCUGGCAAAAUUUUCUUGUCAUGCCAGCGCUUUUUCUUUUCUUUGUACAGUCUCGUAUUCUCAUAAGCUUGAGCUUGAAAUUCAUCCAUCUCAUUAAGCUCCAAUAAUCAAUGAUUGGUAGUAAUACCCUAGUCCAUGUUUACUUUCUUGAUUGCCCAAAAUGCUUUGUGUUCUAGCUCAACUAGGAAAUGACAUGGUUUUCCAUAGACAAGCUUGAAAGGUGACAUUCCCAACGGUGUCUUGGAAGCUGUGCGAUAAGCCCACAAGGCUUCAUCCAACCUCACUGACCAAUCCUUGCAUUUGAGAUUGACAGCUUUCCUUGCAUUUGAGAUUGACAACUUUCUCUAGAAUUUGCUUGAUUUCUCUAUUGAAAAUUUCAACUUGUCCAUUUGUCUAUGGGUGGUAUGCCGUGGAAAUUUUAUGUUUAACCCCAUAUUUGUUCAGAGCGUUGGCAACUAAUAUGUAAUCAAAAUGUGAACCUUCAUCACUAAUUAAGGCAUGAGGGGUACCAAACCUGGCAAAAAUAUUUGUGUGCAGGAAUCUCAAAACUAAUUUGGCAUUAUUUGUAGGUAAAACCACAGCUUUAACCCAUUUAGAGGCAUAAUCCACCGUGACAAGAAUGUAGAUUUUUCCCCAGGAUGGUGGAAAUGGACCCAUGAAAUCAAUUCCCCAUACAUCAAAUAAUUCCACCUCUAAAAUAUUUUGCAGCGUCAUUUCGUGUCUCUUUGAUAAGUUACCAGUUCUUUGAAAGUGAUCACAUCUUUGACAGAAUUCAUGAGCAUUUUUAAACAUGGUGGACCAAUAGAAACCAGAUUGUAGAACCUUUGUAGCAGUUUGCAUGCUUCCAAAAUGUCUGUCAUAAGGUGCAGAAUGACAUUGAUACAUGAUACUUUGAAUUUCAUCAUCUGGAAUACAUCUCCGAAUUACUUGAUCUACACACUGCUUAAAUAGGAAUGGCUCGUCCCAGUAAUAUUGCUUGACAUCAUGAAGAAAUUUCCUUUGUCCUUGAUGAUUGAGCGUAGGUGGUAGCAGCCCACUGACUAGAAAAUUAAAAUAUCAGCAUACCAUGGCAAUGCCAUAGCCAACAAUAAUAGCUUAUCAGGGAAUUCGUCUUUAAUCAUUUGACUAUCACCAUAAGUAUUUCCUGCUUCCAGUCUUGACAAGUGAUCUGCCACUUAAUUUUUAGUGCCUUUCCUAUCUUUGGUUUCCAAAUCAAAUUCUUGCAGCAAUAAUAUCUAUCUAAUGAGUAUGGGUUUGGCCCUUUUUUUGUCACCAAGUAUUUUAUGGCAGAAUGGUUUGUACAAACUGUGACUUUGGUGCCCACUAAAUAAGCUCUGAAUUUUUCAAAUAAAAACACCACUGCUAACAAUUCUUUCCCCGUGGUGGUGUAGUUGAGUUGUGAAUCUAUCAGCGUGCGACUGGCAAAAUAUAUAGCAUGAAACAUCUUGGCUUUUCUUUGCCCUAGUAGUGCUCUGACAGCAAAGUCACUUGCAUAACACAGCAGCAAAGUCACUUGCAUAACACAAUAGUUCGAAUGGUAGAGUCUAGUCUGGUGUAGUGACUAUAGGUGCUAUAAUUAAUUGCUCCUUUAACUCUCCGAACGCUUUUGAGCAUAACUCGUUAAAAUGAAAUGGUCUGUUUUGCUCCAAAAAUUGAUAGAGAGUUUUGGAUAUCUUAGAAAAAUCUUUGAUGAAACAGCGAUAAAAUCCAGCAUGACCCAGGAAGCUUCUAAUUCUUUUCAUUGAAGUAGGUGGUGGAAAAUUUUCAAUAACUUCUAUUUUUACUUUGUCGACGAUAAUUCCUUGCUGUGAAAUCUUGUGGCCCAAAAUAAUGCCUUCACAAACCAUGAAGUGGCAUUUUUCCCAAUUCAGCACCAGAUUUAUUUCUUGACAUUGGCAAAGUAUUAACUCCAAAUUUUUUAAUCAAUCUUCAAAAGUGUUUCCAAACACCGAGAAAUCAUCCAUGACUACUACAAGGAACUUCUCCACCAUGUUGGAAAAUAUUGCCAUCAUGCAACGCUGGAAGGUUGCUGGGGCAUUACAUAACCCAAAUGGCAUUCUUCUGAAAGCAAAUGUUCCAUAAAGACGGGCGAAUGUAGUCUUUUUCUUCAUCAGUAGGAGAUAUAGCAAUUUGAUUGUACCCCGAGUAUCCAUCUAAAAAAUAGUAGAAGGCUUUCCUUGCUAGUCUGUCCAGCAUCUGGUCUAUAAAAGGUAGAGGGAAAUGGUCAUUCUUCGUUGCUUUGUUAAGUUUUCGAUAAUCCAUACAAACUCUCCAACCUGUGAUGGUACAUAUGGGAAUGAGUUCGUUGUUAUCAUUGCUGACUACGGUGACCCUUCCUUUCUUGGGUAUACACUUAACAGGGCUCACCCAAGAACUAUCAGAAAUCGAGUAUACAAUUCCAUCAUCCAACCAUUUGAUAAUCUCCUUUUUAACUACUUCUUUCAUUAUAGGAUUCAAUCUCUUUUGUUGUUCAAUAGAUUUUCCAUGGUAAUCUUCAAGUUUUAUUUUGUGCAUGCAAAUUGCUGGUCUAAUUCCUUUGAUAUUCACAAUUGAACGUCCUAAUGCUUUCUUGGAUUUUUUUAAAACCUUUAAUAAUUGAAUCUUCUAUUGACGAGCGAAGAGGGUUAAAAGAUCAAUCUAAUAAGUCUAAUGAUUCAAAACUCCUCCUAAAUCCAUUUCUAGAUUGUUGAAUUUCUAUCAGUUCUCUAUAUUCUUCAGUCAAUUCUGUUUUAGUUAAUUCAACAGAGUCUGCAUCAGAAUUGUGGUGCAUAUGUCUUGUAAAUUCUUCCUAAAUUAAAACAUCAACAAACUCAAUAGCAUGCAUUCUUGAUAUGGGUCUGCACAAUUUAAAGCAUCAAAACACAUUAAAUGUCAACUAUUGAUAAAUAAUUUUCACGGUUAACUCACCUUUUUGUACAUCAAUCAAUGUUCUAUCAAUUUCUAUGAAAGUUUGUCCAAGUAUUAUAGGUACCUGUAUAUCUUCUUCACAUUCCAGAAUAAUAAAAUCUACUAGAAAGAUGAACUUGUCAACUCUUACCAGUACAUCUUCAAUUUUACCUUCUAGAUGGACAUAUGAUCUAUCAGCUAAUUGUAGUGUAACUGUAGUAGGCCUUGCCUUUCCUAUCCCAAGUUUCCUAAAAAUAGACAUAUGUAUUAGAUUGAUACUUUCACCUAAAUCGCAUAAUGAUUUACCUACAUAAUGGUUUCCAAUCAAGCAAGGUAUAGUGAAACUCCAUGGAUCUUUUAAUUUUGGUGGCAAUCUAUUCUUCAGCAUUGCUGUGCACCCUUCAGUAAGUGCAACGGUUUUGAACUCCUCUAACCUUUUACUAUUGGAUAGGAUAUCUUUCAUGAAUUUCACAUAGUUAGGCAUUUGUUCUAAUGCUUCCAUUACUAUGGCAUUUUUAUUGGCUUUACAAGAUGAAUAUGCUUCUAUAUACUCCCUUUUUUUUAUUUGUUCCACUACUGACUUGGAAGUUUUGCUUUCGAGAACUUUCAAACUUUCCUCCUCAAUAAAGGCAUCAGUCACAACUCUUAGCAGCUUAGUGCCACUCCGAAGUGUUAUGGCCUUACGUUGUUCCUUUCCUUGAGAUCGAGAACUUUCUGUGUCACUAGACAAUGCUCCUUAUUGUCUAGAACUUAAUGCAAUGGCAAUUUGUCCCACUUGAUUUUCCAGAGCUCUUAAGGAAGCUUCCUAGCUCUGAAUAAUUGCAUCAUUCUUAGCCAUAUACUCCUUUAAUAGAGCUUCCAUAAUUGAUGUUGAAGAUGGAGAUCUUUGUUGCACAUUUUCCCAUGACAUUGGUUGACUGUAUCUAGGUGGUACACCAACCACAUUCUAUCGAUUAACAUUGCUGGCAUUUCCCAUUCCCUUAUUACUCCAAUUGAAAGUUGGAUGUUGUUUCCACCUUAGAUGGUAUGUUUUAAAGUAGGGAUUGUUCUCGCUACGAUUAAAAUUCCCCAUGAAAUACGUAGAGGCGCGAUUGGAUGGGUAUUCAUAAAAAACAUGAUCUUCUCUAUAGUAUACACAUGCUAGUUCUACAACCUUCAUCUCCUACACUGUAGAGGGUCUUUUUAGAGUUUUAAUCAUAUUUUUUAAAGAUGAUACCCGAGAAAUUAACGAUGUAAUCACAUAAAGUUCCAUUGUUCCAACAACUCUUCUACCAAUUUUAAUUCUGGUAGUGGGGUACUAAUAAUCAUUGUUUGUUAUUCUUUCCAGAAUUUCAUAUGCUUCAUUGUAGGAUUUGUCAAGCAACGUUCCAUUAGUAGAUGUAUCCACCACCAUUAAUGUAUGAGCAUUUAAUCCAUUGCAGAACAUUUCCAUCUAAGUCCAAUGCUAAAAACCAUGUAUCAGGCAUUUUCUAAUUAGUUCCUUAAAACAUUCCCAAGCUUCAUAUAAUGUCUCAUCUCUAGAUUGCUUCAAUGAUGUAAUGUCGUUCUAAGCUUGGCAUUCAUGUUGGGAGGAUUAUACCUAAGCAAAAAUCUCUGUUAUAGUUUAUUUUAAGAUGCCUUCGUACCUGAUGGUAACGCAUUCAACCAUGGUCUGGCACGAUCUCGCUAUGAAUAAGGGAACAAUUUUAAUCUAAGGGCAUCUUCAAGAACACCCUGCUGCCUAAAUGAGUCACAGACUUCAAGAAAAAGUCUCAAGUGCAAUCUUGGAUCUUUAGUAGGUAGACAACUAAACUGCCUUACCAUCUGCAGCAUCUGAAACAUUACUGGUUUUAAUUCAAAGUGUUGAGCUUGAAUAUGUGGCCUAACAAUUCCUGAAUUUAGAUUAUCAAAAAUAGGCACUUCAUGUUCUCUGAUGGGUCUACCUCUAUCAUUUGUAAUUCGAGGAAUAUCAACAUUCCUCUCAUUCAGGAGUACCUGAUCUUCUGUAAUUAGAUCAUUUAUAAUCAUCUCCAUUUCUCUUAACUCUUUUCUUCUUCGCCUUAAGGUUAUUUCAAUUUCAAGAUCAAAACAAUAUUUUGUGUCCUCUUGAAUAUUUCUUCUCAUGCACUAAUACAAACUUGAAAAAUCAAAAAAAAUUCUAAUUAACUGCUCUAACAAAAAUAAAAAGAAUAAUAACAAAUCAACUUUUCACCAAUGUUCCUAAUCCCCAGCAGCGGCACCAAAAACUUGAUGCCUGUGAAAUAACUAAUGCAAUUGUGCAAGUGUACUCGUCAUUCAAUUAAUAAAGUGAUAAGUAAGUAUCGUCUCCACAGAGAUCGAGAAUUGGUAAGAAAUUGAGUAUGUUAUUAUAAUAUUGUUAAUUAUACCAAAAUAUCAUGAAAUAAUCUCAGAGUGAAUAAGAAACUAGAAUAAUGAAUUACUAAAUUUAAAUGAUAAAGAACAAAGAACUGAUAUGGUAAAGAAAAUGAUGUGGCAAUUCAUAAAGAAUAUCAAGAGUAUUUCUGUUGUUGAAUGAAUAGGGUUAGAGUUAUUCAGGAGAAAUGUUCGUAUCAAGAUAAUGCCAUGGCAAAAUAUUGUCUAAUCUAUUAUCAAGAUAAUGCAUGCUAUUGCCCAGAGAUUCGCCACUAUGAUCUUAAGCAAAAAACCUAAGUUUAUGUACGUCUACAGAACUUUGGAUUGAUAACUACAAUGAACGUCCUCUCUAUACAACUUGCAACAUCAAUGUCUAGAGUGCUACGAAUAUUCUGUCGAGUAUUCACUUGCAUCAUACGAUUCAAGAUCUAGUAUUCUUAACCUUUUCAGAAUUAAAAAUACCUAAGAACACAUCAUACAUUCAACUAUGUCUACAGCUUGCAUUCAUGUAUUUAAAAUAAGCAUGAAUCGAAUGUAACAGUGAUAUAGACAAUGUCAAAUCCUAGGCAUUAAAGAUGAUAAAACAUUCACCCAAACAACUCCAACCCAGAAAAGAUUUAGUUCAUUGGUGGAAAAGUAAACAUCAAAAUAGAAUCAUUCACCAACAUUUCUCAAUUAAUUUCGAAUCACAGAAAAUUCAAUCUAGAAAAAUAAAGGCAUAAUUGCAAGAAGUUCAUUCCACACUCCAGCUUCUCUUUUAUCUUCUGAUUGUAUGUGAAUCUAGGAUUAAUUUCUCUUCCCCUUCCUCACGUCUGUAUCCUACUCUCUUCUAAGCUGCUACCCUUUCUUUCUCUGCAAUUCUCCAAUGGAGUUCUUCUUUGCACAGAGAGAGAGAAUUAUUGUUACCAAUCUUUUUCUCACCCUAAUUCUCCCCCCUUUUCUCUUCUUCUCUCCUCUUCUUUUAUUAGGUAGAUCUGUCCCACCUCAGCACACAUUUUUCAUUCAUCUUUUCAGGUUUGUUUUUCUUGUACACGUUCAGCUGGCUGGGAGUGAUGUAGAUAAAGUGUUGAAUCAUCUUUCGGAAUUACUAUGACAAUUCUGUUGGCAAUCAAUCUUACUAAUUGCCACGACAAUAUUUCACUUCCCUUAUUUUCUUUCUGCAUCCUCUUCUUCUACCUGUACAUGUGUUCACACAGAACCACACAUUUCCUCCCUAAAUGAUAAAAGUAACAAAUAAUGGCCAAUGUAGCGCAAUCCAAGCUUUUUUAUGCAAUGUUCUAAAAUUAUUCUAAAAUGCAGAUGUAUUUACUUAAUUUCAAACAAUUGAUUCCAUCUAGAGGCCUAAAAUAUAACUCUUUUUAAGAGUUAUCAGUGUCUGACCGUGUGAGUAUUCAAAAGAGGGCCACACGACUAUGUUGCAGGCCAUGUGCCAAACCGUAUGUGUAUUCAAUGUUGGGUCACACAGCCGUGUCGCCAGCCAUGUAAAUCUAAUAACUAAAACAAUAAAGACACACGACUGUGUAGGGUGGCCGUGUGUGGCACACAACUGUGUGACAGCUCGUGUCCUAGGCCGUAUGCUCCAAUUUUAGCCCCUAAAACAAGCCAUAUCAAAGCCUAUUCUUACACACCAAGACAUACCAUUUCCAUAUACAUUCAUAUCAUCAAAACACACUCAAAACAUACCAAUUCAAUCAUCCUAUAAGUUCUAACCAUUAUGUCAUUCAAAGGCACCAUAAUUCAUACACCAAAACCAUUUAAGAACAAGAUUACAAAACCAAAUUUCAAUCAUAUAACAUGAAUACUAAAAGACCAUUUCAUCUCAAUCUAUACCAUCACAACUUACCACUUUAGAUAGGCAUAACCAAAAUGACCAUAUCCAAAUAAGUUUUAAUAUAUACAAGCCAAACCAAAACCCUAUAUACAAAUAGGUACAAGUAUAGCCAAAACACACCAUAUGAUCAAACUAAUCUAAAGUACCUAUUACUACAAAGUCCUAUACAUGCCAUUUAUAAACAUUUUUUUUCAAAAUAACCAAAAACUACCAAAGUGGUCAGUAGAUAGUGUGAUAGAGCUUCGACAAGAUUCCAACCGGUCGAGCUUUCUGAAGAUCUACAAAAUAGAGAAAAACAACUACGUAAGCAACCAGUGCUUAGUAAGUUCAUACAAAAGAACUCAAGCUUACCAAACAAAAAAUUUCAUGAUUAAACCAUUCAAGCAUUGUUUAUUCCCCAUAUGCACAUUUCUUCCUAAUCACACCACUUCACAAGUUAGUAACCAUAUACAUAUAUAAGAACAUAUUAUUCAUAACAUGUAACAUAUUGUGCAUAAGAUUUCAACGUAUAAAUCAUCAAUCAUACAUUCAAUCAUCUUCCAUUUCAAUUCAAAUGUACAUAACCAUUCCAUAUCACACAACAAACCUUUACUAAAUAGUUCAUUUUAUGGUUUCCUUUUCAUUUGUUGUCAUUUUUGGAUAACAUCCAUUUCAACCUUUUCAUUUGAUAUCCUUUCUGGAUAACAUCAUUUUCAACCUUUUUAUUUGUUAUCCUUUCUGGAUAACAUCCUUUUCAAUCUUUUCAUUGAUUCAGAAAUACCGAAUGUAAUGCCAUGGUAUCUUUCAACCAUGGUCUUUUCCUUUUUGAGUAUAAUACCAUGAUGUAUUUCAAUCACGGUUCUUUCCUUUUCUCAAAUCAAGACAAUCUUAAACAUCAAUACAUAGAUACAUAUAUAAAGAUAUCAAUUAAUCUUAUAAAUUCAAAUGUAAUAUUUUAAAAUGAUAUACGAACUUACCUCGACAAAAACUAUUGUAGAAAUGAAGCCGAUAACUAAUCCAACACUUUAGCUUUUCCUCAAUUUAACUUCAGUUGAUUCGUUUCUUGACCUAAAUAGUAAUUUAACUCAAUUAAAUAAUUCAAAUAGCUUAACUUUAUAAAUUCUAACUUAUAACUCAUUUUAAUGUAAAAUUACGAAUUUACCUCUAACAUUUGAACUUUUAUGCAAAUUAGUCUCUAAAUCUGAAACUCACAAUUAAACCACAAUCAAUGAAAGAUCAUCAUAUUUGAUUUUCUCUAAGGUCCAUUACAGACCAUGUCUUUCAUUAUUUCAUAAAAUUAUCAUUGACUUUUACCAUUUUCUCAAAUAAGUCCUUAAGCUUAAAUUCAUUAAAAUCACUUAACAAAAUGUGUUUAUUGAACAACCAAGCUUAAUAAUCUAUCAAUUAAAUUCACUAACACUAUAAACUCAUUCAUGGAAGUCCCUAAAAUUUUAACGAUUUUACAAAUUAACCCCCGGCUAGCUAGAUUAAGUUAAUACGAGUUCAAAAAUGUAAAAAUCAUUAAAAACAAGCAUCAAAUACAUACCAUGCAUCCAAAACAAAGCUUGGCCAAAAGUUUUACUUCUCAACUAUGGCAGAAUCAGUUUUCAAUAGAAAAUGGGUAAAAUGAUACUAAUUUUUACCUUUUGUUUUGUUUAACAUAUCAUUUAAUUAUUAAAUUACAAGAUUAACUUUUAAAAACUAUUAUAAUUACACUAAAACCUAUCCAUAAACAUCCACUAACUUAGAAUAUGGUAUAAUUAUCAUCCAAGUCCAUUAACUUACCUUUUCAAAACUAUUUGACCCUAUUAGCUAAUGGAAAUCAACGUUUUCACCUUUUUCAAUUUAGUCCUUUUUACUUAAUUAACUAUCUAAACUUAAAAAUUUCUUAACGAAAAAUUAAAACAACCCUCAUAUAAUCCUAUAAACAUUAAAUAAAUAAUAAAAUAAUGACUUACUUGUCGGAAUCAUGAUCCUAAAACCACUAUUUCUGAUACCACUAAAAACGGGCUAUUACAAGUAGUUCGUAAAACUUACCCUAUUUAAAGAGUAUUACACUGCAAAGACUUAAAAUGUGCGAGCUACACUAGGAGCGAACCUUGAUGUUGAGAUGUGUCUACUAUUUACUUAAAUUUAGAGUACCACCUAAAUAAAAGUUUGUUUAAAUGUAUUGAUGAAAGUACUUAAAUGAUUUUUCGCUGCAUGUUAGCAACUUAAGCAUAUUUUAUGUUUUAACUUGUAAUGUGUUUGGAGGUUAGGUUGGUUGUUAAUGGAGAGUCACUUAGGUGACUAAUGUGGUGUUCGAUAGCUAGGGUUCAGCAACUAGACUGGGUAUGAGGUGUUACAACUUAACCCUUUUUUAUGCUUCUUAUAAAAAAAUUAGUUAAUACAAACAAGGUUCAUAGAAAUGCCAAUGGCCAAAUUAAUAUAGUAGUUCUCAUUUUUAAGUUUAUAAAAAAUAUUUCCAACCAAAAUAAUUCAAGACUUAAAAAUGACAACAACUAUACUUGAAAUUAUAUAUUGGAAUCAACCCAAAAAUCAAAUUAGACAUUCCUCAAAAUUUGUCAUUAAAAUGACUUUAAACAAACACGUUUGAUGUGAAAUAAUAUUUAAUUGUUUGGUGUGAAAGAAUCUUGAUUUUAUUAAUAUAUGUAAUGACUUUAAUCAUUGUUGAUUAAGAGAAUUUUAAACAAUAUCAAAGUCCAAAAACAUAUGAUGUCUAGAUUUAGAAAACUUGUAUAUAUAAAUUGAAACCAUCAAAUAAACAUAUAAAACAACUAGUUUAAUGAUGAUUGAGAACAGAUGCAAGGUCACAUAUUAUGAUGAACCUUAGGGCUUGAUUAAUAAAAAUGACCGAUAAUAUUAUGAAUCGCGAUUUAAAAAUCUAUCAAUUUAUAACAUUAAAAUUAAUCUAUCACUGUUCAGAAAUAAUUACCAAGUAAUUAUCAAAUAGCAUAUAUUAAUAAAAAAAAUUUAUGAACAAAAAUACAAAUACAUAUAAGCAUGUAAUGUGAUAAGUGAAAUUUACCUCAAUUUCUUUUCUUCUAUGAAAGUUUUAAUAGCAACUUUCUUGUUCAACGUUGAGUCUUGAUGAUUUUAUCAAAAAGUAAUCAAAUUCAAAAUAUAUUGAUAAAAAACUUUUAUUUCAAAAUAACUUAUAUGAUACUAAGACACCCCAAUGUUAAGAGCACCGAAUCAAAGUCCAUACCGAUAUUAAAUCUUUCACCAUUCAUCUAAGAUCAUAAAAAAAAAGUUAAUCAAAACAAUUAUAACUGACCACAAAUUAGCUAAAAAAAAUCAGAUAUGAAACAUUCAAUAAAAAAACUUCCUCUAAAAAAUUUGCAUCUUGUCGUCUAAGAUAUUGGAAAUCAUAGAGGAUAAUUUUGAUCAUCAAUAAAAGGAACUGCACUUUGAGCAAUAUUAUAAUAAUAAAUAUUCUCAAUAGUAAAACAAUCGAAUUAUUUAUACCAAAUUUACGGAAUAAUAAUAUGUAUGUCAAAUAUUGGCAUAGAGAGAAGUAGUCAAAAUAAUAACUUAAAACAAAUUGAAAUAAUGAAAUUUCUUUUAGUAACCUUUAAAAAAAUGGUGAAUAAGCCAAAAUAAUUUAAAGAAGAAAAAAAUUGAUUUGUAUGCUUUGAAUAUUUCUCUUUCUAUAAAAAUAUGAUGAACAAAUUAAAAUAAUGAUGAAAAUACGUAUACCAUAAAUAGUUUAACGGGAGCUUUAUGGGCAAGUUAUAUAUAGUCGCAAUGACGUGAACUUCACUAUGAACUUGUAGAGGCUCGUGUUGAUAACGUGUUAUAAGACUUAAAAGAAAUAUAUAAUGAACAAGAGAGAAGAACAAAAGAUAAAAGGGUGAUUUAACUUUCACAUUGGCAUCCAAUAAGCUUGUACAUGCCCUCUACUUAUAGGCUUCAAAAACCAUAGGUUACAAAGCAUUAAGGACCAACAUUAAGUUACUCUAUAAAUGGUUUAUGGAUUACAAGAUAAUGAAUUUACGAGUUAUGGACAUUCAUCUUUUAGGGGUUACAAUAGGAUAAAUUUAAGGGGUUAUGGACAUCCAUUUAUCAAUAGAUUUACAACGGAAAUAAUAUUAUAAUCUUUCUAAUAUCAAUUAUGUUUUUUCAAAUUUUAAUUAAUUAAUUAUUAUGUUUAAUGUUUUCAAUUAUAUUAUUCAUGAACAAUUAAAAUUUUAACCUAAAAUUAUAUAAAUUAAUUAAAUAAAAAUUUAUUGUUAAAUACAAUAAUCUGUUACUCAAAGAUAAAUGAAACUAGUUUGUAAUAAUUAUAAAGGAAAUUAUUUGAUACAUUGUCAUCGAAAUUUUUAGACUUCACAAACAAUGUUAGAGUUGAAAACUGUCAUAUAGAAGUAUAGUAAAAUAUUAAAAAAUAUAUAUUUUAAAAAAGAGAUAAAUGUUAAUUUUUCAAGACUAUUUGUGAAAUUAAAAAAAAUACAUUACUAAUAUACCAAAUGCUAAACCCCCGUACUUUAUUGUGUUGGAGUUCUAAAAGUGCUUUUCCAUCACAAAAGCGACCAAGAACACCUAAUUUUAAGGGUCAAAACUACAAUGGAAAAGUGUUUUUCUAUCCAAACAAAAAGUUGGGGUUUAUGUGUUUUUUACUUUUGACUUUUGCAUUUAAAAAUAAAAAUUAUCAAAAUACUCUUAUUUUUAUAUUAAUUAUUUAAAAAAUAUAUAAAAAUUAAAUUAAAUUAAAUUUUUUGUAUUUUUAUAAUAAAUUAUUUGAAUAUUUCAUAUAUCAUUAUAUUACAUUAUUUAAAUAUAAUAUAUAUCAAUAAAUUUAUAAAUAAUUUAUAUUAAUUAAUUAAAAUUAAUUAAAAUUUAUAUUUUAUGUAUUAUUAUAUUAAAUUAUUUAAAUAUCAUAUAACUUAAAUACAUUUUAAAUUUCUACUAUAUAGCAUUUAAAAAUGACAAUGUAACUUUUAAUCUCAUUUUUUUACAGCAAUAGAGUACUAAAAAUUCAGAAACACACUUUUAAAAACCUCAAUUUUGUUUCUAAAAGCAUUUUUAGAGAACAUUUUUCAACUGUAACAAUAACGAAGGUCUAACCUCGACCCUAAUUUUCAGGUAGGAAAAACCACCAGACAGAGCCUUAGGGGGCAAAAUUCGUUUGAAUUGCUAUGAAAACUUUAGCAUUUUACUCCAUUUUUUUUACGGAAUCGUGAUUUUCUUUUCUUUUUAUUAUUUACUUUGCUUUAUAGCAACUUUGGAGGAACAAAGCUAAUACAGGGGGAAAAAGACGUAAUUACUUGGCAGACAUUAUCUUUUGCGUUUUAUGAACAUUCUUUUCUUUGCUCAAUCAUUUGUGUCUUUAUGUUUUCCAGAGGAUCACCACUCUUUUGGAUUGGAGUAGGCAUUGGGCUCUCAGCACUUUUUACAUGGGUGAGCAAGUGGAUGCUUUUUCUCGGGUGAUAUCUUUAGUAUUAUUGUAUUGAUAAUGGCAAUGGUUUCUUUUUGGUACAUAUUUUGAUGAGACCGUAUGAAAUGACAGGUAGCUUCAAGCUUAAAGGUGAGGGUUUCUCUUAUAUGAGGUAUAGUUGUAUUGCUCUUGCCUGUAAUCUUUACGAUAGAAUCGUUGUUUGAGUUUUGGAAGUAGAAUACUUAAAUAAAGCAAUUAAAAUGGUGACGGGUAAAAUUCCAUUUAAUGUGAAUGCUUUGGAUGUUUUCUAGUUAUUGGAGGUCUUAAUUAUGCUUCUGGUGCCAUUUGAAGAUAGGAAGUUGAUGUCUUCCAUUAGUUUUUCAAGUUUCCCAUAUACUACCUAAAGGUGCUUUCUUUUAUCAGUCAAAACAUUUUUUUGGAGGGUUUAGGUUUAGCUGUUGUCAGAGUCUGUAUGUUUUGGUCUAGAAGACUUUACAUUAUUAUAGUAAAUCAUCCAGCUUGACGGAUUCUUGAAGAAACUGAUGAAAAAAACUAGAAGAGUAAACAAGAAACUUAGAGUGAAAAGAUAUAUAUCUUUGUAAUCAUUCAACCAUACAUCAACACAACUACUUUACUGAAUUUAUAUGUAUCAAUAAAACUGCUCUUCAACUAAUAACUGCGUAAGCUAACUGCUAGCACAUUUAUCACAUGUCUAAUAUUGUUUACAACAAGCACACCAGAUAUAACCACUAUAACUGCUGCAGUUGACUAACUGAACUGACUUCAUACACUAACACAGCUGACCAAAUUUGAACAAAUUUGUUUGGCCAUGUACUUGAUUCUAAUUGUUAUAUAUUAUUUGGAAUUCCAAAAUCCAGGUUAUCAUAGAUAGUGGUAGUUCAAAGCAAAACUGGGGAAUACAAUAUUUUCCUAGGCAGCCUUGAGUUGACCUUCAAAAUUGUGGUUUGAUAUAUUCAAAAUAUUUUUCUUCAUCCAUCCUAGAGGAAGAUGAACCCCUACCUGGUUGGGCCCAAUUUCUGGGGGUUUCAGAGCUGAUAACAAAGUUGUUAAUGGAAAUUAGUUAUCUGGGAUAUAAAAUUGCUAGUCAGUCAGUAAGUUGUGCCUCUUUAUUUAUUUUCCGAUCUUAGUUGAAUGGCGUUGAGAAGCUGACUUAGUGGCACAAAGUUGCCUUGACAUACUGAUUACAGAGACAUGAUUUAUGUCCCCUGUAUUAUGGCACCGAGAAAAAGUAUGUCAAUUUACAAAUGUUGAAAAUAAUAGUAUGAUACUGAAUAUUUUGCUACAUUCAGUUCCUUGUGUCAUAAAGAGGACCAAAGCCCUAUCAUGGCUUGUUAGAUAUGUAACUAUACUGUCUUUCAUGGGCUUCUGUUUUGUAGCUGAGCUGUGUCAUAAUGUAUCUAAAUUAUGGUCCCUCUUUUGGGUAUGCUUAACUUUCUUUAUGAGCUUAAGAUGGUACAAAUGGCAAAACUUUUUAAUGUAACUCUGCUAUUUAGGUCCUGACAUUCCCUGAUACGAGUCUCAAAGGCCCAACCCAAGCCCAAACAAGAAGACAAACCAUGCUUACUUGAAAAUCAGGUCAAAUUGUCAAAGUGACCCAAUUUGUAAAGUUUUAUUUUUCUUUAAUUUUUAGUUUAAAUUUUUAUGUAAAUAUUCAGUCCAAGAGGCCCAAUUAAAAGCCCUUGGCCGAAUUUCCAUUUAAAAUUAAAAUAAUUAGGAGUUUGUUUAGUUUUAGUUUUCUAAUUAGAUUAGGAAAAUAUUUGAAAAGCCUAUAUAAAGGCUUGGCCAGCCACCGUGUUAGAUACUUCUCAAAUAUAUCAAAAAUUUCAGAUUUGUUUAAGUGCAGAAUUCUCUUCGAGUUUUUUCUCCAAGAAUUCUCUCUUGGGUUUUCUUUAGAAGUUGUUUUAACAAUCUUUUGAUUGUGGGAGCCAUCUUCAGCCUUCUUCUUGCCAUUGAUAUUCUUUGGAGGGGGAGAUUAGAGCCGUUUGAAGGGAGUUGUGAGAUCUUUCGGGAUUUCAAGGCUUCUUAGGACUUUUCUUUUAUUUGUUUGCUGUCAAUUUCUUUUCUUUAUUUUUGCUUGUGCCGAAUCUUUAUCUAAUUUAUUUGCUGUUCUUAUUGUGUUUCCAGCCUUUUUCUAUCUUAAAGAAUCGGACAAAAAUCCCCAAUUUCUAGGGUUCUUGCUGAUUCAUUCAUACUCUUUUUGGGUGAAAUUAGAUUGCCGAAAUUUGGAGAAAACUAUCUUGGUGUUCAAUUGGGCAGAAUCGCAAUCUCGUUUAGGGUUUCAAGAACCCUUAUUAACACUUAUUUCUAUUCUCAAUUUGAUUCUUUGCUGACUUGGGGAUUUUAUUUCAGAUCUGGAAAUUCAAAGUUCUAAUCUUUUAAUUUUCUGUUUCGUUUCAGAUCUGAUUGUUUAGGGUUUUCGUAGGAGUUUCCCGUGACUUGGCAACUCGAUUUUGGUCCGCGCGCAAUCCCCGUAUCAUACCCCGUUCUCCUGCUUUUCAACGCACUGAUACAGUUGAUGCACCUGUAAGACAAGUUGAAGCAGCCUCUGUUACCAGCAACGUAAGUGAAAAGUGUGAAAAAUGAAACAGAAAUUGCCGAGCCAAAGAAAUAUGGUAAUAUGGAACAUUUUUUAUUACCCAUAAGAUGUUGUAUAAUGUGCAACUCUUCCUUUUCUGAGGUAAAAAGGAACAUUACAUGGGCAAUUCUUGUAUGUGAGACUUUAGAAAGACUAACAGAUUUUUGUCCUUCCCCUAGAAUAAGGGCUUUACAUUUUAGGUGAUAGUAUAAACUGAUCUCUAGUAUGAACUUAAUUUUCUAGCAUCUUAAAUGAUGGUUUUAGAUUUAGUUAACGACUGGGUUCAUUGUGUUGUUCUGGAAAUUGUUUCUCUAAAAUUGAUGCAGAUUUCUUUUUGCAGCUUUUGUGGAUGUUUCUCCCAAAGAAAAUAUGCACAAGAGUGCUUUUGAAGAUGCAGCUGAGCUAAGUUCACCAAAUUGGGUUCAGUCUUCCAAGGAUGUAAGGUUUUAAAUUUUUUUUUUCUUAUUAAGAAGCUGUGCUAGCAUGGAUAUAUCUUUAGGAGUCUGAAGUAUCUAUUUGGGAAAUUAAUUCUUUUCAAUAUUAUAUGAAGCUUUCUGACAAUGGAGCUGCAUCCAAGCAGGAUGCCGGUGCUUUUCGGGGUUUCCAGGCAAGCGGUAUGAAAAAAGCUAGUUGUGGAGUUUAUGAUUAUUGGAAUGGAAGCAUAGGACAUUUUGGGUUGUAUUUGGCUGUAAUAUCUUUCUGAACAAAACAAUAAAAACAUACAUGGAGAGUUUUGUGUCAAGUGCAACACUCCUAAACCUUGUAAUCUUCUUUGUUUAAAUUUUUGUUGGGACAAUGGGAGGUAAGUAUUUGAACAUAAAAAAAUAUAUAUUCUCUAUCGUAUUAGAGAUCAAUAAUUCUUACCUAAGACAACAAUUUUGGAUAUCAUUGUUUGACUUGUUUGUAUAUUAAAAAAAAGAAACAUUAGUAGGCAGUGUAGGAAUAUAGGAGCAAGCGCUUAAAGUCACUAGAUUGGUCAUGUGUUGAUAUGCAACAGUUUUCUUAGUAAUUAAUGUUAUCUUUUAAAAUAGUCAUCUCCUUAAAACUGCAUUUUGUUGAUGCGUUCAUUGGCAUAGCUAAAUGGUGGUUAAAUAUUUGGUUUAUUACCUCAUUGGCACAGAGGCAUUUCUGUUGCCUUCUUAUCAUGUAUGCGACAGCCCUAAAGUGACCCUAGUCGGAAAGCGGUCUCGGGACCGCUAGACCGAGUCACCAAAUUAUUUGAAUAUGAUAAUUAUUGCCUAAAAUAUGUGAAUAAAAAUGUGUGAAAGUUUUAAGCUUCGAUUUAGUUAAUUGCAUGUGAAUUUAGUUGAUAGGACUUAGAAAAUUUAGAAAUGUGCUAGGCAAAUGCAAGUGGCCUAAUAGUGCAUGUAAUCAAAGGGGUGGACUUGCAUGUCAAUUUCCCCCCAUUUAAGUACUAGUGGCCGGCCAUGACAAGGGAUGAUGGGCAAAACAUGUCAUGAAACAUGUUGUGUUAAUGGAAAAAUAAAAUAAGAAGCAUGGGCAAAACAUGUCAUGAAACAUGUUGUGUUAAUGGAAGAAUAAAAUAAGAAGCAUGGGCAAUAAACUAAUAAGAAAUUGAAGGAAGAAAACAAAGAGAAAAAAAUGUGUUCAUCAUUCUCAUGCAUGACCAAAAAAAAAAGAAGAGAAAAGCUCUCAUGUUGUUCUUGGCCGAAUAGGAGAAAGAAAAAGAAGGAAAAAGAGCUUUGAGGAAAUCGGCUAUGGUGGUUUGAUAGACUAAGGUAUGUUUGAUGAUGUUCCAUGAGAUGCAUGCAUGUUUUAAUAGUUAGCUUGACUUCUAAAUAGCCCAUGGUUCAAAUCUUUACUAUGUCAUGGAGAUGAUAUUCGGCCAAGGUGGAUUGGUGUUGAUAUCAUUUGCAUGCUAAAAGUGAAGCUUUGUAAUGGUGCAUGUGAUGGUGGAUUGAUGAUUCUUGAAUCUUCUUUUUAGCAUUUUUGAGUGAGACAUUAAGUUCUUUGUUUAACCGUGACCAAAAAUUGAAAUGGUAUGGUGUUGUGAUGCAAUCGGCCCCAACAUAGACAUGUAUGUUCGGCCACAUGAAUAAGUACAUAAGUUAUGUGUAUGUUCGGCCAUAGGUAGCCUAUUGAUGGCUUUAGCUUGACUUAGAAAAUUCGGCUAAGGGGAAAUAUUAGCUAGUAUGUUGAAUUCGAUUCGUGAUUUCGUACAUAUGUGACUCUAGUGUCUAAUGUAUAUAUGGGCUAAGUACCUUGAGCUUCUCUUUUGAUGUUCGAAUGAAUUGUAUUAAAUUGCUUGAUGUGAUUAAAAAUGCGUAUGACCAUUGUGUAUUUGAGCUAAAAGGUGGCCAUAUGACCUAUCAAACUCCUUGUCACAUUCGGCCAUAAGCUAGCAAAAUGAAACUUUAAUGAGUUAAAUUUGUUUGAAUUAAGCUCAAGAGCAAAGGGGAACUAAAUCCGAUAAAGGGAAGGAAAAAGUGGUCGAAUAGCCGUCGAAACCGUUCGACAACAUCCGAGGUAAGUUCUUGAGUAAUAGAGCUUAAAUUAUGAUUUGAUUAGAUCAUGUUUUAAGCAAAUCAAAAUCAUGCUCCUUGUGUGUGGCUAUUGAGCCAAAAUUGCAAGAGUGAUAAGUGUCUUGUGUUUGAGUUUUGCUAAUGAAAAUGAAAUACGAAUGUGUCAUGAUUUAUUGUUAAAUGUGCAUGGUUAUUCGAAUGAUGUCCGAGCUAAGUCCCGAAGGCUUUGUGCUAAGUGACCAUAUCCGGACUAAGAUCCGAAGGCAUUUGUGCGAGUUACUAAAUCCGGGUUAAGUCCUGAAGGCAUUUGUGCGAGUUACUAUAACCGGGCUAUGUCCCGAAGGCAUUUGAACGAGUAGCUAUAUCCGGUUAAAUUCCGAAGGUACGUGAUUUGGGAAUGAAUGAUCUUGCUGUAAAAAUUUCAGUUAAUACGCUUGAAACAUCCCAACAUUGAGGUAUGUUUCGUAUGUGCUUUGAAUUAGUUGAGCCCUUACAAAUAAGUAUUCGCUCAGUUGAUAAAUGAGCUACCGGCCUUUGGCUAAGUUGAUCUUUGUGUAUAAAUAAAAGGGUUGGUAAUGUGAAGUAAGUAUGAUAUUGAAAAUUUGUGCAUAUGAAAUUAUCCGUUUAGCUACAUGAAUGCUAUACUUUGGUUGUGUCUAAAUUCUUUGCUCAAAACUUACUAAGCAUUUAAUGCUUACUCCGUUUCUUUGAUUCUCUGUUUUAUAGAUUUUGGUUCUUCAGCUAUCGGACUCGGGAUUUUGAAGUCGAAGUCGCCCACACUAUCAAAGCCCCCUUUUGGUACAAUUUUGGUUGAACUUCGAAAUGGCAUGUAUAGGACUACCCUUUUUGUUGUGGGUCAUGGACCCUUUGGAUUUGUAUAAUUUUGGAUAGCCAUGCGAAAAUGGCUUAUAUAUGUUUGAGCAUAAUGUUAUACUCAUUUGGUAUGGAUAUGCUUAACAAGGAUUGGCCAUGGGAAUGGUUAAUCACUAUCAUAAUUUGUGCUAUUUAUGCUAAAAGGGCUAGUUGAAUCAUGGAAACUAUGAAAUAGGUAAAGUCUACCUUAAAGGCAGAUGCUGACAGCAGCAGUGAUGUAGAUUUGGAAAAUCACUAAAAAUAGUAGGAAUGGAAUUAAAUAGUGAAUAAAUUAUGAAAACGAACCUUGAUGAAUCUAUUUUCAUAGGAAAGUAACGAAACGUUCAUAUGAACAGUAUAUUAUGAGAUGAUAAAGUUUUCGUGAGACAGGGCCAGAACGGUUUCUGGAUUCCCUGUUCCGACUUUGGAUAUUCAUUAUAAAUUAACCAGAGAUAAUUAGAAGUCAUUCCAUAUAUGAAUAGAUUCCUUUUUGAGUCUAGUUUCUAUAGAAACAAACGGCAUCAGUAUUGAAGCCCUGUAAAGAGAGAUAUCCAAGUCGUAAUGCGCAAAGGUCAGUGUAGUCGAUCCCUGUAACAUUGGAGACUUUGACUAAUAAACUGUACUAAUUUGACCGACCAAAAAUUCUAGAAAAAAAUUUGUAGAUGCAUAUAUGAGUCUAGUUUCAGGGAAAAAUCACGAAGCUGAUUUUCGAGUUGUGAAACUCAAGAUAUGAUUUUUAAGGUGACGGUGACGCAGUUAGCCAGCUUGCCUGGAAAAUUUAAAAUGGAUUGUGCAAAGAAGUGAUUUAAGUCUGCAAACCCCUCGUGUCCGACUCCGGCGACGGACUCGGGUACGGGGUGUUACAAUUUUAUUGGUAUCAAAGCUACGGUUUAGUCGAUUCUAGGACUACCGUAAUGCGUUGGGUCUAGCUAUACAUGCCAUUUUAUGUGAUUAUUUGAUAGUGUGGUGAUUUCUGACAUUUGCAAAUGUGUUUAUUUAUAGUAAUGGAUCCCGAUCCCGACCGAGAGGUAGCUGAUGAUCUUGAGAGUGUAGCGCCUGCUCCCGCACAAGGGACAGCACCGGUGGACUCUCAACCUAAUGCUAGUAACCCGAAUGAUGAAGCUAGACAAGCUUUCUAUAGCGUGAUGAAUGAUUGGUUCAACCAAUACAUUCGAACUAAUACGGCUGUUCCACAACCUCCAUUCCCGAAAAAUACCACCCCCGCACCUACCAUACCUCCGGUAACUGACCAAAUAAGGUUAAAUAAGCCCCCAGUUGACAGAAUCCGAAAACACGGGGCUACUGAAUUUAAAGCCACGGACAGCGAUGAUGCCGAGCAAGCGGAAUUUUGGUUGGACAACACUAUCCGGGUACUAGAUGAACUAUCUUGCACACCCGAUGAGUGCCUAAAGUGUACUAUCUCCUUGCUACGUGAUUCUGCCUACUAUUGGUGGAAUACGUUGACUUCUGUUGUGCCUAGAGAACAAGUAACUUGGGAGUUUUUUCAAACCGAGUUUCGAAAGAAGUAUAUCAGUCAGAGAUUCAUUGACCAAAAACGGAAGGAAUUUCUUGAACUCAAACAAGGUUCCAUGUCGGUUACCGGCUAUGAAUAAAAAUUUGUGAGGCUUAGCCGGUACGCACGAGAAAGCAUUUCCUCAGAAGCCGUGAUGUGUAAACGUUUCAAGGAUGGGCUGAAUGACGAUAUAAAGCUGUAUGUAGGCAUUUUGGAAAUCCGAGAAUUUGUGGCACUUGUCGAGCGAGCUUGCAAGGCCGAGGAGCUCAGUAUGGAGGAAAGAAAAGCUAAGGUGGGAGCAAAGGAGUUUCGUAAGAGGUCUUCGUGGAAUCCCUUCCCACAGUCAUCGAAGAAAUUUAAAGAUGGCUUAGGCCGAUCUAGAGACACUUCAGGCUUUUCUAGACGAGAUCGCGAUCGACCCCCUGUGGAUGCACGAGUCACUUCGGUCGCUAGUGUUGGAAAUGAUCGUCGGGACAGAACGGAGUGCCAGUAUUGUGGUAAAUGGCAUUCGGGGAGUUGUAGAUUUCAUGAUCGCUCCUGUUACAAGUGCGGAUCAGCUGACCACUUCAUUAAGGAUUGCCCGAGGUUGUCUGAACAGAAUAUAAAUCAAAGCGAGAAACCGGGUGCUACCACUGUUCGAGGUAGACCAUCUAGAAAUACGGGCAAUGCUAGGGGUGGUCAGAGAGGAUCUAGGGAUGCUACGACCAGAUCCGAGGCUCGCGCUCCUGCUAGGGCUUAUGCUAUACGCGCACGCGAGGAUGCUUCCUCGCCAGAUGUUAUUACCGGUACUUUUACUCUCUUUGAUACUAAUGUGAUUGCUUUGAUUGACCCUGGUUCUACUCAUUCUUAUAUAUGCGAAACCUUAGCAUCCAGUAAGACUUUACCUAUUGAGUCUACUGAGUUCGUAAUUCGGGUGUCAAAUCCCUUGGGUCGUUACGUGCUUGUCGACAAAGUGUGUAAGAAAUGCCCCCUAGUAAUUCGAGAUUCCUGUUUUUCGGCGAACUUGAUGCUUUUGCCGUUUGAUGAAUUUGAUGUUAUUCUUGGUUUGGAUUGGUUGACCGCGCAUGAUGCGGUUGUGAAUUGCAAAAGCAAGACUAUUGAUUUGAGGUGCGCAAAUAACGAGAUAAUCCGAGUUGAGUCUACGGACUUAAGGGGGUUGCCAGCUGUAAUAUCAGCAAUGUUGGCCCAGAAAUAUGUAAGAAAAGGGUGCGAAGCAUACCUUGCGUAUGUACUUGAUGACAAAGAAUUAGAAAAGAAACCCGAAUCUGUGCCGGUGGUUUGUGAAUACCCGGAUGUUUUUCCUGAAGAAUUACCGGGUUUACCACCUGUUCGGGAGGUAGAGUUUGGUAUUGAGCUUGUACCUGGAACUACGCCAAUUUCGAUAGCUCCGUAUCCUAUGGCACCAACUGAGUUAAAAGAAUUGAAAGCUCAGUUGCAAGAGUUGACGGAUAGAGGUUUCGCUCGACCAAGUUUCUCACCUUGGGGUGCACCAGUAUUGUUCGUGAAAAAGAAGGACGGAACGAUGAGGUUGUGCAUUGACUAUCGUCAACUGAAUAAAGUGACGAUAAAGAAUAAAUAUCCGUUAUCGCGUAUUGAUGAUUUGUUUGAUCAACUAAAGGGAGCCUCAGUGUUUUCAAAGAUAGAUUUGAGAUCGGGUUAUUAUCAGUUGCGGAUUCGAGAUUCGGACGUACCCAAAACUGCUUUCAGAACGAGGUACGGUCACUACGAGUUCUUAGUGAUGCCGUUCGGGCUCACUAAUGCCCCUGCGAUAUUUAUGGAUUUGAUGAAUCGGAUCUUCAGACAGUAUUUGGACCGGUUCGUAGUUGUGUUCAUUGAUGACAUCUUGGUCUAUUCAAGAGAUGAGACCGAACAUGCUGAGCACCUGAGACUAGUGUUGCAAAUUUUGCGGGAUAAGCAGUUAUAUGCUAAGUUCAGUAAGUGUGAGUUCUGGUUAAGAGAGGUUAGCUUCUUGGGUCAUGUGGUAUCGCAUCGGGUAUUCGAGUUGACCCGAGCAAAGUUUCAGCCAUACUUAACUGGAAGCCUCCAAGAAAUAUUACCGAAGUUCGGAGCUUCCUGGGGCUCGCCGGUUAUUAUCGACGAUUUGUAAAAGGUUUCUCGAUGAUAGCCACACCAAUGACGAAGCUACUUCAAAAGGAUGUUAAGUUCGAAUGGACGGAGAAAUGUCAGAAAAGUUUCGAUCAACUGAAAACUUAUUUGACUGAAGCUCCAAUUUUAGUGCAACCCGAAUCAGGCAAAGAGUUUGUCAUUUAUAGUGACGCAUCCCUACUUGGGUUGGGUUGCGUAUUGAUGCAAGAAGGUCGAGUUGUGGCCUAUGCGUCGAGACAAUUGAAGCCACACGAGAGAAAUUAUCCGACCCAUGAUCUCGAACUAGCUGCCAUCAUAUUUGCUUUGAAAAUAUGGUGACAUUAUUUGUUUGGUGAGAAGUGCCAUGUAUUUUCGGAUCACAAAAGUCUCAAAUAUUUGAUGACCCAGCGAGACUUGAAUCUGCGACAAAGGCGUUGGCUUGAGUUGUUGAAAGAUUAUGAGCUUGUCAUUAAUUAUCACCCGGGAAAGGCUAAUGUGGUUGCGGACGCCUUAAGCCGGAAAUCACUGUUUGCUUUGCGAGCGAUGAAUGUACACUUGUCUGUUCUACCCGACAAUGUGUUAGUAGCUGAAUUAAAAGCCAAACCAUUAUUGAUUCAUCAAAUUCGUGAAGCUCAGAAAGUCGAUGAUGAAUUGGUUACAAAACGGGCUGAGUGUGUUCCGAACAAGGAAUCGGAGUUUCAAAUUGAUGAUGAUGAUUGUUUGAGGUUCAGAAGUCGUUUGUGUGUUCCAAGGAAUUCGGAACUCAUUUCGAUGAUUCUGAACGAAGCCCAUUGUAGCCGAAUGUCAAUUCACCCGGGGAGUACGAAAAUGUACAACGAUUUGAAACGUCAGUUUUGGUGGCAUGGUAUGAAACGAGACAUCUCUGACUUUGUUUCGAGAUGUUUAAUAUGUCAACAAGUGAAAGCAGAACAUCAAGUGCCUUCAGGAUUACUUCAGCCGAUCAUGGUACCUGAAUGGAAAUGGGAUCGAGUCACGAUGGAUUUCGUAUCUGGGUUGCCAGUAUCGGCAAGUAAGAAAGAUGCGAUUUGGGUUGUUGUGGAUAGACUGACUAAGUCGGCUCACUUUAUCCCCGUACGUAUGGAUUUUUCAUUAGAUAAACUAGCUGAAUUGUAUGUUUCUCAGAUUGUGAGAUUACACGGGGUACCGAUUUCUGUUGUGUCGGAUAGAGAUCCGAGAUUCACCUCGCGAUUUUGGAAGAAAUUGCAAGAAGCUUUGGGUACCAAGCUGCACUUUAGCACCGCUUUUCACCCUCAAACCGAUGGUCAAUCCGAGCGGAUAAUUCAGAUACUUGAGGAUAUGUUGAGAUGUUGCAUCCUCGAGUUCAGCGGUUCAUGGAAACGGUAUUUACCUUUGAUUGAAUUCGCUUACAAUAAUAGUUUUCAAUCAAGUAUUAAGAUGGCACCUUACGAGGCUUUGUACGGGCGUAAAUGCCGCACACCAUUGUUUUGGAUCGAGCUCGGUGAAAGCAAAAUUUUCGGAGUUGAUUUGAUUAAAGAUGCUGAACAGAAAGUAAAGGUAAUCCGUGAAAGUCUGAAGGCAGCCACAGAUCGUCAGAAAUCGUAUGCGGAUUUGAAACGAAAAGACAUUGAAUAUCAGGUGGGAGAUAAAGUGUUUCUUAAAGUUUCGCCUUGGAAAAAGAUACUCAGAUUUGGCCGUAAGGGCAAGUUGAGCCCGAGAUUCAUUGGGCCGUACGAAAUCUCCGAACGAGUUGGUCCGGUUGCGUAUAGAUUGAUUUUGCCCCCUGAACUUGAAAAGAUUCACGAUGUCUUUCAUGUUUCGAUGCUUCGACGUUAUAGAUCCGAUCCGUCACAUGUGAUUAAUCCCUCAGAAGUUGAAAUUCAAUCUGACUUGAGUUAUGAAGAAGAACCGAUUCGUAUCCUAGCUCGUGAAGUGAAAGAGUUGCGAAACAAAAGGGUUCCAUUAGUUAAGGUGUUAUGGCUCAAACACGGGAUCGAGGAAGCUACUUGGGAAACCGAGAGCUCGAUGAAAGAACGAUACCCAAACCUAUUUACCGGUAAGAUUUUCGGGGACGAAAAUUUCUUAAGUGGGGGAGAGUUGGGACAGCCCUAAAGUGACCCUAGUCGGAAAGCGGUCUCGGGACCGCUAGACCGAGUCACCAAAUUAUUUGAAUGUGAUAAUUAUUGCCUAAAAUAUGUGAAUAAAAAUGUGUGAAAGUUUUAAGCUUCGAUUUAGUUAAUUGCAUGUGAAUUUAGUUGAUAGGACUUAUGUGAGAAAAUUUAGAAAUGUGCUAGGCAAAUGCAAGUGGCCUAAUAGUGCAUGUAAUCAAAGGGGUGGACUUGCAUGUCAAUUUCCCCCCAUUUAAGUACUAAUGGCCGGCCAUGACAAGGGAUGAUGGGCAAAACAUGUCAUGAAACAUGUUGUGUUAAUGGAAAAAUAAAAUAAGAAGCAUGGGCAAAACAUGUCAUGAAACAUGUUGUGUUAAUGGAAGAAUAAAAUAAGAAGCAUGGGCAAUAAACUAAUAAGAAAUUGAAGGAAGAAAACAAAGAGAAAAAAAUGUGUUCAUCAUUCUCAUGCAUGACCAAAAAAAAGAAGAAGAGAAAAGCUCUCAUGUUGUUCUUGGCCGAAUAGGAGAAAGAAAAAGAAGGAAAAAGAGCUUUGAGGAAAUCGGCUAUGGUGGUUUGAUAGACUAAGGUAUGUUUGAUGAUGUUCCAUGAGAUGCAUGCAUGUUUUAGUAGUUAGCUUGACUUCUAAAUAGCCCAUGGUUCAAAUCUUUACUAUGUCAUGGAGAUAAUAUUCGGCCAAGGUGGAUUGGUGUUGAUAUCAUUUGCAUGCUAAAAGUGAAGCUUUGUAAUGGUGCAUGUGAUGGUGGAUUGAUGAUUCUUGAAUCUUCUUUUUAGCAUUUUUGAGUGAGACAUUAAGUUCUUUGUUUAACCGUGACCAAAAAUUGAAAUGGUAUGGUGUUGUGAUGCAAUCGGCCCCAACAUAGACAUGUAUGUUCGGCCACAUGAAUAAGUACAUAAGUUAUGUGUAUGUUCGGCCAUAGGUAGCCUAUUGAUGGCUUUAGCUUGACUUAGAAAAUUCGGCUAAGGGGAAAUAUUAGCUAGUAUGUUGAAUUCGAUUCGUGAUUUCGUACAUAUGUGACUCUAGUGUCUAAUGUAUAUAUGGGCUAAGUACCUUGAGCUUCUCUUUUGAUGUUCGAAUGAAUUGUAUUAAAUUGCUUGAUGUGAUUAAAAAUGCGUAUGACCAUUGUGUAUUUGAGCUAAAAGGUGGCCAUAUGACCUAUCAAACUCCUUGUCAUAUCCGGCCAUAAGCUAGCAAAAUGAAACUUUAAUGAGUUAAAUUUGUUUGAAUUAAGCUCAAGAGCAAAGGGGAACUAAAUCCGAUAAAUGGAAGGAAAAAGUGGUCGAAUAGCCGUCGAAACCGUUCGACAACAUCCGAGGUAAGUUCUUGAGUAAUAGAGCUUAAAUUAUGAUUUGAUUAGAUCAUGUUUUAAGCAAAUCAAAAUCAUGCUCCUUGUGUGUGGCUAUUGAGCCGAAAUUGCAAGAGUGAUAAGUGUCUUGUGUUUGAGUUUUGCUAAUGAAAAUGAAAUACGAAUGUGUCAUGAUUUAUUGUUAAAUGUGCAUGGUUAUUCGAAUGAUGUCCGGGCUAAGUCCCGAAGGCUUUGUGCUAAGUGACCAUAUCCGGACUAAGAUCCGAAGGCAUUUGUGCGAGUUACUAAAUCCGGGUUAAGUCCUGAAGGCAUUUGUGCGAGUUACUAUAACCGGGCUAUGUCCCGAAGGCAUUUGAACGAGUAGCUAUAUCCGGUUAAAUUCCGAAGGUACGUGAUUUGGGAAUGAAUGAUCUUGCUGUAAAAAUUUCAGUUAAUACGCUUGAAACAUCCCAACAUUGAGAUAUGUUUCGUAUGUGCUUUGAAUUAGUUGAGCCCUUACAAAUAAGUAUUCGCUCAGUUGAUAAAUGAGCUACCGGCCUUUGGCUAAGUUGAUCUUUGUGUAUGAAGAAAAGGGUUGGUAAUGUGAAGUAAGUAUGAUAUUGAAAAUUUGUGCAUAUGAAAUUAUCUGUUUAGCUACAUGAAUGCUAUACUUUGGUUGUGUCUAAAUUCUUUGCUCAAAACUUACUAAGCAUUUAAUGCUUACUCCGUUUCUUUGAUUCUCUGUUUUAUAGAUUUUGGUUCUUCAGCUAUCGGACUCGGGAUUUUGAAGUCGAAGUCGCCCACACUAUCAAAGCCCCCUUUUGGUACAAUUUUGGUUGAACUUCGAAAUGGCAUGUAUAGGACUACCCUUUUUGUUGUGGGUCAUGGACCCUUUGGAUUUGUAUAAUUUUGGAUAGUCAUGCGAAAAUGGCUUAUAUAUGUUUGAGCAUAAUGUUAUACUCAUUUGGUAUGGAUAUGCUUAACAAGGAUUGGCCAUGGGAAUGGUUAAUCACUAUCAUAAUUUGUGCUAUUUAUGCUAAAAGGGCUAGUUGAAUCAUGGAAACUAUGAAAUAGGUAAAGUCUACCUUAAAGGCAGAUGCUGACAGCAGCAGUGAUGUAGAUUUGGAAAAUCACUAAAAAUAUUAGGAAUUAAAUUAAAUAGUGAAUAAAUUAUGCAAACGAACCUUGAUGAAUCUAUUUUCAUAGGAAAGUAACGAAACGUUCAUAGGAACAGUAUAUUAUGAGAUGCUAAAGUUUUCGUGAGACAGGGCCAGAACGGUUUUUGGAUUCCCUGUUCCGACUUUGGAAAUUCAUUAUAAAUUAACCAGAGAUAAUUAGAAGUCUUGCCAUAUAUGAAUAGAUUCCUUUUUGAGUAUAGUUUCUAUAGAAACAAACGGCAUCAGUAUUGAAGCCCUGUAAAGGGAGAUAUCCAAGUCGUAAUGCGCAAAGGUCAGUGUAGUCGAUCCCUGUAACAUGGGAGACUUUGACUAAUAAACUGUACUAAUUGGCCCGACCAAAAAUUCUAGAAAAAAAUUUGUAGAUGCAUAUAUGAGUCUAGUUUCAGGGAAAAAUCACGAAGCUGAUUUUCGAGUUGUGAAACUCAAGAUAUGAUUUUUAAGGUGACAGUGAUACAGUUAGCCAGCUUGUCUAAGUCUGCAAACCCCUCGUGUCCGACUCCGGUGAGGGACUCGGGUACGGGGUGUUACAUGUACCAUUUUCUUGCUAUACUGUUCAAGAUUAUAUAUAUGGGGCCUCUUUGUCUCUAGUUUAGUUGUAUUCAUUAUUGACUUAAUUAUGCACCUGCAUAUUUUUUACAUGCUUUCUAGUUUCUUUCAUGCUCUAUGAGUAAUACUUAAGCAAACAUUAUAUUUCAUUUGCAGGAGGAGCAGAUCCUACCUUAUCUGUGGAUGCUUUAGAGAAAAUGCUGGAAGAUCCAACAGUGCAGAAGAUGGUUUAUCCGUAAUAUAGCUUCUUUUCCUUGAAUAUUCUUUUCCUGAAGUUUUUUUAAAUUGAUUUCAUCUUAGUGUGCCCUGAGGGGUGGUGGAAAUUUGUGCUCCUGCCUGAAAUGUGCAUUAUAUAAUACUUAUUCUUUGGAAUAGUUACCUAACACAAGGCCUGUCAAAUUAUUUCUUACAUCUUUCCUUGUACAAUAUGUUUUAGGCAUCUCAAUGUUUUUGAUGAAUAAACAUGAUAUUGCUGCUUUUAUCAACAUACUAGUUAACUAGUCCUGCUCUUUUGUCCCUACACCCUUUACGCCCCUUAAUGAUUUUAAUGCCUAUUUACCCUAGUGUACUGAACUGUGGAUGUUGCUGGUUAAAACUGAGUUAUCUUCUUUGUUGCCUCUUCUUUUCUUUUCUUUUUCCAGCAACAUUCUAACAUUCAGAGCUUAAGCAAAAACCUUUUUUCAUCAAUGCGACCAUUGUCAUUUCUCCUAAAUCUUGUGGACCUUGCCCAAGAUGUUAGUGAUUGAAAGCUGGCAUCAGAUCUACCGUUAGUCAUUUCUCCUCAUCUUUUUUGUGAACCUUGCUUAUGAAGUCGGUGAUUGAGAGCUAACAUCAGCUAUCUCCUAUUAGUGCUUUUGGAAAAUGAGAUCCUUGCAAGUUACAUUGAAGGCAAAGAUAGUAGACUUCCAUAUAUUACAUGAACGUUCACCAGGAUAAGCCAUGGUAAUAAGUUAAGUUGGCUAAAAAAAUCCCUCAAAAAACUUUGAAGGUGUAAAUUAUAUUAUAAAGCCUUUUCCAGAUUUUCACAUCUGGAAGUCAUUUGUCAAUUUGAAAUUAGAGGUCAGUUGUGGUAGAAGCUGUCUGGUUAUGGUUAGGUUGUUAGAACUUAAAAGAGAGAAAAGGGAGGGGAGUGCUUGGAUGGGAUCUUUCUUUAGUAGAUAUUUGUCAAUAAACUGAAUUAACCUUUCAUUGCAAUCUUUGUUUUAUCUAGUGAAAGGAAAUUUAAUCUUUUAUUUAUCCGUACAGGUAUUUACCUGAGGAAAUGAGGAACCCUGAGACUUUUAAAUGUAAGUCCACACUUUGGAUAACACUGCUCUCCUCUGUUUUUCUGUUCUUUCUUUUUGGCUGAGGGCGAUGGUUAGCAAGGAGUAGGGAAGGUAGGUUUUUAUGGUCUCUGUAAAAUAUAUCAUAUGUUAAAAUCAUAGGUGACAUAUCUUUUUUCUGGUUAAGGAGUUAAUGCCUUUACUUGUUCUAUGAAGUUUCAGUUUUAAUUAAUUUCAUUUUUAAGUUUCUGUAUCCUGAAAAAACUUGUUUCGUUUCCCAGGCAAAUUUAGUAGAACUAUUUGUUUGCAAAUUUCUUUGGUCUUUUGAUGAAUAAACUCUGCUGCAAUUUUAUGGAUAUCAUUUUAUAUAUUCCAAUUUUCUUACUGUCGUGCAUAUUUUUCUAUUAGGGAUGCUACAAAAUCCUCAGUACCGUCAACAACUGCAAGACAUGCUGUUAGCUUCCUACUGACCUUCUGCAUUUGAUUACUUUUAGGGGUUUUCCUUUCUCUUGAUUUACACUUGUCACAAGCACUGUCCCCAAAGAGAAUUUAUUGUUGCUUGCUUCUUGUCUAGUUCUAUUACAGUUGUCUUGCUCACUAUUGUAUCUGGACUUUUUAAUGUAUGAUUCCUGUUCUUCUUUUCUUCUUACAGAUUGUUUGAAUGGAGAGUUGGAAUAUGAUGAAAUUAGAAAUGAAUACUCUAAUAUAUUGAGGAAAAAUUCACUCGGAACUAUUAUUUCUCAAAAAUAUUUAUAGAUAUAUACAUGAAGCACUGAAUCAUGUAAGGAAAGAACAUCUCUAAUUAGAAUCUCUAAAAAUCAGCUAUAAUCCCUAAGCACCCCCCCUAAGGUUGGUGGUGCAUAGAUGUCUCGCAUGCCCACAUUGCAAAGAAGAUUAUGAUAAGUCUUACAGUUGAGCUCUUUAGUAAAAACAUCAGCCAACUGUCUUUAGGAUGCUAGAUAACAUAGCUUAAGACACUACUGGCUACUUUUUCCUUGAUAAAAUGACUAUCUAUUUCGAUGUGCUUGGUCCUAUCAUGUUGCAUUGGAUUUUGAGCUAUGUUGAUGGUUGCUUUGUUAUCACAGUAUAAGGUUGAUCCAUUUUCAUUCAACAACUUUAGCUAUUCCAAUACCUUUUGCAGCCAUAAAAGCUCACAAACACUUUGAUUCAUGGCCCUAUAUUCAGCCUCUGCACUUGAUCGAGUAAUAACACUUUGUUUCUUACUCCUCCAAGUGACUAAGGGCACAUUUGGUUCACUGUAUUGGAUUAGAGGUGUAAUGGAAUAGAGGUGUAAUAGAAUAGAGGUGUAAUAGCAAAUCAACUGUUUGGUUGAAUGUAAUGGAAUAGAGGCGUAAUAGUAAUCUUGUGUUUGGUUGAAUGGAAUAGAGGUGUAAUAGCAUAAUGGAAAAAACUAAAAUGACUAGAAUACCCUUAGCAUAAAUUUAUUUUGGUAAAUGAUUAUUGUUAUUGUUAUUUAAAGUUUAAUAAGAUUAUUAUUAUCAAUAAUAAAUAAUUUAAUCAUAUUUAAACAUAAUUAUUAUUAAAUAUAUUAAAUAUAUUAUAAUUAAAAUAUAUAAUUUAAUAAAAUUCUUAAUAAUCAAUAUUCUUAUAUGAAUUUAUAUACUCAUUUCCUUUUAUAUAUUAAUAUACCACAUUAACCGGUUUAUAUUUAUAUCAAUGGCACAAAAAAUUUGGGAGAAGAUUUUUGAGGACUGCUUUUGUUUGCAAAUAACAUCAUUCAUUCUGUAGGGAAAAAAUUAUGCAUGAGCCUGCUUAUUGAUUACUUUUUUUAUUUUGUACUGAAGUAGUUGCCACUGGUUCAAAAGUCGAUAUAUAUGUAAUAUUAUUAAAAUAAUAUUUUUAUUUUAAUUAUUUAAAAAUAUUUUUAAUUAAUGCAGUGUAUAUGAAUAUACACAUUUAAUUAGUUUUAUUUUUAAUAAAAUUUUUCUAAUUUAUUCAUUCAAUUUUAAUCACCUUACAAUUUAUUGUAUUAUAUCUACUGAUCCAAUUUUAAUAUAUUGAAUAUUUGUUUUUUAAUCAAGUUCUUUACUUGAUUAUAUCUAAUGUUCCAAUUUUAAAAAAUUCGAUUAAAAUUUUCGAACUACAUCAACUUAAGAAAUUCGAUCCCAAAUUCAAAUUAAAUAUACCAAUAAAAAUCAACUUACUACAUCACCACUUGCAAAAUAUAACUCUCCAAACAUUACUAUGGAGUAAACAAAAAAAAAAACUGAACAUAUAUAUGUCUUACAAUUUUUCUUUAGUUUAGAAGGUUUGAUAAGUUACCAAACCUCUUGAAUUGCAACUACAGCUUCAGCUUGCCAACGAUUUAUGUCUGGAGCAAAUCGGUAGCUAACAGUCCAAUACCUACAAAAUUCCACAUAGAACAUCAAUUUACUGGAACAACAGUGGUCAGAAUAAUAAUAUAUGACUUAUGUAACUAUUACACAAGUAAUGGUACUAUGACUUGAGAACAAUUCAGGGACAACAUGAAACUGAAAAAAGAUCAUCAAUACAAACUACUACAGCAGCAAUAAAAUUAUUAUUGCAAUUCCACCCAAAGUAUAUGGACGACAUCCCAUUGCCUCAGCACUAACAUAGCACAUUAUUUUUCUUAAUUGAACAAUUGGGCAAUAAACUGAUUUAAACAACAAAGUUGAGUUAGUAAAGGAAGAUAUGGCAGCUAUUAAAAAAACAUAUCUUACAUCUAGAUCAUACUUUUUAAAACAAUCUUCACAUAGUGCCCUAUCAUAUGUCCUCUUUGUUUUAUUUAUUUUCCACAUUAGCAUGUUGCAUCAAAGCUGGACAUUGACAACAAAUAUGCCCCUCACUAUAAUCACUAAGGAGGAAAUAUUUAUAUUGGUAGACAGUGUCAUACUGGUUGGAAAACUACUGGUUUUUUGUUGAGUUAGGAGCUCUGUCAAUGGAAGAAACAAAUGUAUAAUGAUUUGGUACCGGAAGAGACAACCGAAGCAAUGAGCCCAAUGAAGUUAAACAUAAUUUCAAAUAACUUCAGAGGGUUCUAGCAAGCAGUGAAAGAUUUUAUAGGUUCUGGAAAACAAAUGCAAAUCGAAACUCAAUCAUUCGGUUAGUUGAUUGUGUGGUUCUGUUUUGGUUUUAGAAGUGUUCAAACCAUCGUGAGGCAAUCUUAAUGUAGAAGACAUGAAAUAUUAUAGUUUGUGCGGAAAUGUGCAUAAAAUAUUGUGUAUUGUUGUUGUAUUUGAUUGUGGAGCAUAUGCACAGUAAUCCCAGAAUUUGUAAUUGAUAACUCAAGGAAUAGAUAUGAUUCUGCAUUUACCUGUUACAAAAUGGUUAAGUUGAUGUUUAUCGAUGCUUAAUGUAGGCUAGCAAGCAGGUUGAGGACGCUCCCAAGAAGAUAAUCAGAGUUCAAAAGCGAUGUUGGAGAUCCAUACCACAUUUGUCGAAGCCAGGAGAAACAACUUCGAACUUGAUGAAACCAAACAGAAAAUCCCCACAGCCUGAAAUAGUGGAUGGUAACAACAUGCUAUUGUAUUCUCCCUAACUCAUUCCUUAAAUAUAAAUAGGUUUGUGCAAGCAGGGUAAACCGAAUAGCUUGCAUAGGCAACUCUAGUUUGCAAAUCCAAUGAAAAUAGUUGAUGAUAAGUGAGAUAUCAAACGAAAAGCUUUUGAUAUGAUAACAAAAAGAAGUAAUUCAGAUUGAGCUAAUGACCACAUGAUAGUCUUAAGAUGUGGAAGAUAGAUGGUAGGAAAUCAUUUUCACUCGCUCUCUUCUGAAUCAUCACCACUACUGUCUUGUGAAUCAAUUUUCAAAGCCUUCACAGCAUUGCUUGCUUUAAAAUGUUCAACAGCCUUGUCAAAAGUGCACCUCACAUGCCUACACAUCAACAUCAGAUUUUGACAUGCAUCUUUCAAUACCUCUCUUGCUGGAUCACCUGUAAAUUUUCACAUAGAACAACUAAAGGAACUUGAACCCAACCAAAGUACUUGAAAAAGAGUGUUAUAUUGAGUUUACCAGUGGUUUGAACUCUAAUAUUAACUUGAGCCUCUGAAGGAUGAGGAAUACUGUAGCCACAGAAUGUAACCCUUGGGCUGCACAACAUAAAAAGGAUAGCUUCCACUUUCAAUACAAUCACUUAAAACAAAGAAAACCCAGCAUGAAUCAAAGCCAAAAACAGAGGUGAAUGAACUGACUCUUGAUUCAAAGUGAAUCUAACAGCAUUAGCUAUGGUAUGAUCCUUAUCAGUUAAAGAAAAAGUGGCAGCACUAUUAUCAGUGAAAGACCCGUGUUCCAUUGUUUCCUUUAAUCCAAUUUCUAAAUCUCCAAACCAAGAAACAAAACUAUUAAAAGGAUGAAAUUGAAUCCAAUAAUCAUUGGGAAAACAUAUUUUUAAAUACAAAAUAAGGUUGUAUCUUCCUUACCGGUUCCAAUGGACAGGACACAGUUUCACCGAUGGAGAGGAACGGAAAACGUGAGAAAGUGGCUCCUUUCUGAUCGGUGUUCGAAGUCCAGUUGUGACGCCAAAGAGAGGUAAGACAGAAAGGUAGAAGCGUGAAUCGGUGGAGAUAGAAAGGUAAGACAGAAAGGUGAUGAGAGUGGAGAAGAAAGGUAGAAGGAAGAAACAGAAGACAGUGGAUUUUGGGCAAGACAAAAGCGUGAAUCAGGAGGGUAAAAUAGGGACCAAAACUCAAUCCGGACCUAAACUGAGCACAAGGAAGGGAUUAGAAAUCGGUGGAAUUUGGGGAUUAGAUCAGUAAUUUAAUAGACCCGUAUUAGGCUAAUACACCCAACCAAACAAUGUAUUGAGUGGGGCCCACAAUUAGGGGUGUAAUGGCUAUGCCAAUACACCCAACCAAACAUGGUGUUAGGAUAUACGGAACUGAUACAGAGGUGCAUUAUUAUGCACUAUUAAACAGAAAGCACUAAAGUAUUAUACAGAGAACAUAAAUGUGCUAAUAAUUAGAGAGCACUUAAUAUCCUAAUAGUUCUAAUCUCGUCUACUUGGGUAAGUUAUUUAAUUCUUGUACCACUAAUCUAUAUAUUUAUAUCUUCUCCACCUUUAAUACAUGUAUUAUAUUUCAAAAUUCAUUAUUCAUCCAUAAUUUUCUAGUAAUCCAUAUCAUGUACUUCAUAUAUCACGUUUACAUGUUUUGCAAUUUAGUCAUCAGCACAAUAUUUCUUGUAGCAAAAUAAUACACUUUCUAAAUAUGCAUGCAAAAUAGAAUAAUAACCGGUCAUAAACCGACCAGACCAACAGGGCUUUCGUCUAACAUUAUAAUUAGCUAACAUUCUCUCAACAUAAGAACUCUAUCAGAACUGAACAAUUACACAUACAUAUCUCUGAGAAUAAAAGAAUAUAUAUAAUAUCAAGAAAAGAUCAUCAUGUUCAUUUCGACUGUAACCUUCACACACAGACAUCUUUACCACUUAAUUAUCAUUUCUCUGACUAAUUCUGUUAUCACACUUUAUUCCAUUCACUAAAAAAAACUUUAAAUUAACACAUACAUUCUUUUAAGUAUCAUACCUCAAUAUUUUGUCUCAUAAAAUUUAACUUCUUCUUUAUUUACUCUCUCACUUGUUUACUUACUUGCUUGCUUAAACAACUCAUGAUUAUAACUUACUCCUUCCUUAUUCAAAUUCUUUUCUUAACUGAUAACUAAAAUAUUCUUAACCCUUAUACUCACCUAAAUCUAUUUAUCAUACCUUUACCUGAACUUUCAUGUAACAUAAUUUCUUUACUAGCCGUUGAAUUACUUGAAAUACUAAAGAUACUCAAGUCUCUUAUCUGAAUAUAACAUGCCAAAGCUUUGUCCCAGAUAUAGUCUUACAUGGGAUGUUUCCUAUACUGCCAAUUCCAUAUCCCAAGUAUGGUUUUACAUGAGAGUUCUCAUAUCGGUGCCCAUGCCAUGUCCCAGACAUGGUCUUAUGGGGGACCUCUCAUCUCGGUGCCAACGCCAUGUCCCAAACAUGGUCUUACAUGGGACCUCUCAUCUCGGUGUCAACGCCAUGUCCCAGACAUGGUCUUACAUGGGACCUCUCAUCUCAGUGCCAACGACAUGUCCCAAACAUGGUCUUACAUGGUAGUUCUCAUAUCAGUGCCCAUGCCAUGUCCCAGACAUGGUCUUAUGGGGGACCUCUCAUCUCGGUGCCAACGCCAUGUCCCAGACAUGGUCUUACAUGGGACCUCUCAUCUCGGUGUCAACGUCAUGUCCCAGACAUGGUCUUACAUGGGAUCUCUCAUCUCAGUGCCAACGUCAUGUCCCAAACAUGGUCUUACAUGGUAGUUCUCAUAUCGGUGCCCAUGCCAUGUCCCAGACAUGGUCUUAUGGGGGACCUCUCAUCUCGGUGCCAACGCCAUGUCCCAGACAUGGUCUUACAUGGGACCUCUCAUCUCAGUGCCAACGCCAUGUCCCAAAUAUGGUCUUACAUGGGACCUCUCAUCGGACCUCUCAUCUUGGUGCCAACGCCAUGUUCCAGACAUGGUCUUACAUGAGACCUCUCAUCUUGGUGCCAACGCCAUAUCCCAGACAUGGUCUUACAUGAGACCUCUCAUAAUUUCAAUAAUGCCAAUGUCAUGUCCCAGACAUGGUCUUACACUGGCUCACAUAUCGAUGUCGAUGUCAUGUCCCAGACAUGGUCUUAUACGAGAUCGCACGUUGAUGCUAUAUCCCAGAUAUGGUCUUAUACGAAAAUUACAUAUCAGAUGUUGCCACGGUCCAACCAUGGUCAUUUCUGUCAAUUCAUUACAUAUCACUGAACAAAAGUACUCAUUCCUAUGUUUUACUCAAUUUGAUCUUUCAAUUCAAUUUUCAUACUAUUAUAAUAUUCAUGGUUCAAUAGCAAAGACAUAAAACAAACAUCAUAUUAUUUCUAAUUUAACAAUUAAACAUAAGAUUCUAUCAUAUAAACAUACUGAUUACACUUAUUCAAGCAAGUGUACGUAAACAUACAUUCCAUCUAUUUGUGUAUAUUUACUUACCUUAUUUACUUAAUCAAAUAUGUUGAGCACAUAACAUCAUAUGCGCGCCAAGCAAACGCAGAUGAGCAUAUCACCAUAUAAACUUUCAUUUUAUUCUACGUUUCUACAUUUCUCAACUCAUGGUUGUGUUACUUCAUACGUUAACACAUACUCAUCAUGAAUUUUCUAUUCAUAUCUUUCUAAAUUCCGUUUCAUCAUAAACAUAUUUCAAUUACCUCAACAUCAAUUUUUUUUAGCAUUAUUGGAAACAACUCGGAUAGAAGUCAUCUUUGUCUUACAAAACAAUUUCAUUGGAGUUGAAAGAUAUUAAAUUAUCACGAGUAAUAAUAUGGCAUGUAUAACUAAACUUACAUACGCUAUGUUAGUUCGAGAACCGACUAAACCAUAGCUUUGAUACCACUAAAGUAACACCCCAAACCCGAUCUAAACGUUAUGACCGAAUCUGGCGAUGUCACAUUUUAACACCCCUUACCCGUAUUCGACGCUCAAAUAAGGUACGAGGCAUUACUAGAAGACAUACAUUUGCAUAUGUAUUAAACCGAGUUACAACAUUUCAUCCGAAUUAAAACUUUUAAAUUAUUAACGUGCUUUUAUAAUUCUUUACAACAUAUCCUCGAAAUAUUAUAUUCAUAACAAAUAGGGCCUACGAGACCCGAUAUUUACUCAUGUAAUUCAAAGCUUCAUUUCCAUUUCAUUCAAUUUACAAUUUCUCAUGUUCACAAUUCAAAUCAAUUUCUCAAUCCAAUAUUUAUAUUUAAAUCAUCAAGAAUAUAAUUCAAGUUACACGAACUUACCAGGCUAAAUUGCAGAAAUACCAACCUCAAAUUUUCACCCAAUCUUGAUAUAAAUUAAUAUUUCAUUCAAUUUAUUAAUUUAAAUAAUAAAACAAUUCAUUUCAUACAAUUUGGUCACUUUUUGACAUUUUUACCAAUUUACCCUUAACAUACUACUUUUAUUCAAUUUAGUCCUUGAACCUAAAACAUUCAAAUUGGUCAUUUUUAAUGAGAACUCAUGCUAUUUGAAUAAUCAUUUCUUUUCCUCCUCCUCUGCAUUCCACAUCCUUAAUGUAUAAUAUGCUUAUAUGUAACAUUAUUUAUAAUUCCACCAUUUAUUUAUAUAUUAAUUCAAAGCUGUCCACUUGAGUCAUAGUCACUAAAUUAUUUAUAUCUUUAGCUACGGAACUCCAAAUUAAGCUCCGCUAAAUUCCUAUGAAACUAGACUCACAUAUAUUCUUACCAUAAGAUUUUUAUAAUUUUUUGUUUGGCCAAUAAGUACAGUUUAUUCUAUAAAGUUUCCCCUGUUUCACUGUUUGACAGUUCCGACCCCUCUUCACUAAAAAUUAAUUAUCUCUUUGUACAGAAUUUGGAUGAUGUUUCUGUUUAUUUCUAUUGAAAAUAGACUCAUUCAAGAUUUUUAACAUAUAAAUUUAAGCCUCUAAUUUUUUUUGUUAAAUUUUUUAUGAUUCUCCAAAGUCAAAACAGGGGAACCCGAAUUCAUUCUGACCUUGUCUCACAAAAUUUAUUAUAUCUCAUGAUUUACAAUUCCAUUGCUUAAACCAUUUCUUCUAUGAGAAACUAGAUUUAAUAAGAUUUAAUUCCAUAUUUUUCUCAUCCUCUAAUUCGAUUUCCACAAUUUACGGUGAGGUUUAAAAUUUAACCUAUUGCUGCUAUCCAAAACUGUUUUAAUGCAAGAUAUUGAUUACUAAGUUUAUAACUCCCUAAUUCCCUUUCUCUAUAAUAUUUCCCACAAUUUUCACUUAUUUCCCUUCACUAAUAUAUCAAGAACAUAAGACUUUAUUUAAGAAAACUCGACUAUAACAUCAUUUCCAUGCUUUUUCAACAAUAACAAACUUAAAAAUAUAUUGAAAUCUUGAUGUUCUUACCUUGUGCUAUUGAUUUCAAUCUUUAACUUGAUUUUCUCUCUCCUCCAGCUUCUAUUUCUUGAAUCUAACUUGACAUUAUAGCUCCCCAUUGUCUCCUUAUUAUUUUUCUCUCUUGGAAGCUAUGGAAAUUCUUUUCAUUUCUAGGUGAAAAUAGUGAAUUUUUGGUGAAAGGACCAAAUUGUAAAGAAAGCAAAACUUUCUUUCUUCUCUUCUCUUCUAACGUUGGUUGCAUGGAAAGAUGAUAAUUUUUUCAUCAUCCUUCCUCCUUUUUAUAUUAAUCAUCUAAUAAUAAAAUAAUACCAAAGAUAUUAAUAAAAUAUUAAUUAAAUAACAUUUAUCUAAUUAAUUAAUUAAAAAUAUCACAAACAUCAUCAUUACCUUUUAGAAUUCUCUCUCUAUUUGACCAUUUUGCCCUUUAUAAUCUUUUGAAAUUCCAUCCUUGAGUCAUCACUUAAUUUGAUAAAAUUGUAAUUUGGUCACUCAAAAUUCUUCACCUUUUUAAUUUGGUCCUAAUUCAUCCAUUUUCUGUAGUUUCUAGAUUAUUCCACCCUUAAAAUAGUUACACUAUUAGUCCUUAAAAUUUUUCAUAUUUACACUUUAACCCCACAAAUUUUGAUUAUUUACUCUUGGGCAACAAAACUUUUCCCACUUUUCAAUUUAAUCCUUUCUUGAAUUAAUAUGUCAUAAUAUACUUCCCGAUGUUGACAUAACUCAAUAUUACCCUUUUUAUCACUUUAUUUCCUUAUUUUACUAUAUCAAGGAUAUUAUCUUACUUUCUUACUGUAGUGAUUUUCAGGGUAUUACAAAACUCAAAUGCAUUUAACUCAAAUUACCUUUCAAAUGAAUGACCCACACUAAUUAAAACAACUAAGUCAAUUUUAUCUAUCGAAUAAUAACAUUUCAAAAUAAUCCUUUGUUCUUGUUGUCAAGACAACCCAGACAUUCAAUCUAUCAUAAUUCCCUCAUAAAACCAAUCAAAAAUCUCAACAAAUUGCCUUAAGUCAAACGAAACAUAACAUCUCGUUUUAACUCGUUGACAUAAAUUUAGAUUACCUGAGGAAUGAGAACCGAUAUACAAGUUUAAGCUCGAUCUUCCACCAUUCUACACUUUUGUUGUUGACUAUCCUUUCAUGAAAGCUAGAAAUGAGAUGUAUAAUAAAACUAUUUCAACUAAUAACAUCGAAACUUUAAAUCACACAAAAUCCGCCACCAUCGGAUGAAUUAAAAGCACAGUGCUAUAAUGAAAUCGGCCUUGCAAUUGUAUAGAUAAAACAAUACCUCAAAUAUCAAUAGUGUAAUUCGAGACCAAAGAGAAAAAACCAAAUGUAGUCCCAAUAACAACUAGUGUAGUAAUACCACCUCUAUAAUCUGAGUUCUAUAACAUCGUUCUCCCAUUAUCAAAUUAGGAAUUAUAACUAUAAUAGAUGUUUUUAUCUCCAGCAAUGAAUAUCCCUUACAGAUGAACCAUUUUUAGUAGAUUAAACAAUAAGAAUGAGAAGAAAAACAAGAUAACGAAAUCCAAGAUGUGGAGCUCUACUGAAUCUCUGAGAAUACAACCCAUAUUGAAUGAUAAAGUGAUUUAUGAUACCCUAGAGAAAAUCUAGAAGAAGAAUAUAGCUCAUAUGCACUGGAACCAGUUGUGACAGACACAACAUAAUAGAAUCUUCUACCGAACAUAAUAAAAUAGAAUGCCAAAGAAAGAUAGAGCAAUACCGAUUAGCUAUAAUCUUCUACCGAACAUAAUAUAAUAGAAUCACAUCCGAAAAUGAACAAUUGAAUAUACCUCUAAGGAUAAAAGAACAUAUAAAAUACCUAGAAGAGAUCGUCAUAAGUUACUCGACUAUAAUCGCUACAUUCAAAUAUCUUUACAAUUCAAACAUUAUCCCACUGACUACUAAAUUCAUCGAUAAUCUCACAUUAACCCGUUUCACUAAUGAAAUCAAUUCAUAAGAAAUUUGUGUUAAUUUGUUCUUUAGAUACCAUACCUGAAUAAAUCAAUUACCUGUGAAUAACCUCUUCUUUAACAGCGACAUUGCGUACCCCGAGUGAUCUUCAAAAGAAUUGAUACCCUUUUUAAAGCUCUCUUUACUUGCUAACCUGAUGUGAUCAUGGUCCAAGACCCAACUAAGGCUGCUGAAGAACCCAUGGAGCUACCAAGGGACUGAUUACUCGUGCUCGAGCUAAGAGGUUCAUGGAAGCUGUUGCGGGCUUUAUUGUUUGAAUUUGGGGUGAAGCCGUUGCGGGGUUUAUUGAUCAAUCAUGGACAUGCACUCCAAGCAUGCCAUGCAACCUACUUCAAGCUCAACUUUAGUUUUCUUCAGCUUGUGAAUUUAUUUGCUGGAAUAAAGAAUUAAAUUCGGUUCUAGUUAUUUUAGUUAAAUUAGUUUAAGUAUAUAAUUAUGUCAUAAUCUGAACAUAUUUAAUAAGAUUUUUUAAUUAUGUCAUAGUUUAGGACAUUUUAAAUACAUAAUUUAAUUAUGUCCUAGUUUGGAAAUCUUUAAUAUAUGUGUUUAGUUCAGACAAAUUAAAUUAUGUUUAAGUUGGGUUUAAUGUGUCUUGUAGGGUGAUCAAUGGAUGGCAUUAAAUGGGGAAACAUGCAUUUGGACGUGCAUGCAUGGAUGCUGGUUGAUCUCUUCCAAGCAACUUUUCAUGGAAUGCAAUGGACACAAGUGCUUUCACAUUAGUCCAAUCAGCUGGAUGCUAUAUUCACACUAAGUGACCAUCCAAUUUUGAGUUUUCACACCUUAAGAGAUGUUCGUGUGCUCUAUGCAACAUUAAAAUGGAGACUGCACAUUUGGCUUUCCAAGAAGGCAUCAACCAUGUUCACACCAUCCAAAAUCGAUCAUCUACUUGAACCAUCAGCUCAAAUUAAAGGCUACACGUUUUGGCUAUUUGGGGAGUGCAAAUGACAUGGCUGUUGGCGUCACCUAUGCAUGAGAGUCUUCAAAAGUCAUGUAGAAUAGGUCAAUAGUUAGUUAACUCAAUUAAGCUGAAUUAAAUUAGUCCACUCGGCUGGACUUCUGUAAAGCUAUAAAUACUAAGCUCAAAUCUUGUAUUUGGAACUUUUGAUCCUUUAAUGAAUUUUAAUCUAUUUGUGAGUUGUUCAACUCUCAUUGUUCUUUUGUGACUCAAAUUUACUUAUCUAGCUAGUCUAGUGGCGUCAAUCUGUUUCUCUUUGUGAACUUAUCACUCUAAUGAAUGUGGCGUUCAACCUAUACCAACUGGUUCCUAUCUCUUAUAGAUAGUAGGUCACGGUUAAGCUAUCAAGUCCAUUUUCAACUUAAGAGCUACUAUAAGAAUUAGGUCAAUAUUACCAUAUAAUAUUGGUUCUCUCUUUAGCCUUAAGCCAAACCUAUUUUUGCCACCUCUAUCCAUUAAAAAUUCCUUUGUUUCAAGCCAACUUUGUUCGUUUACAACCCUUUCAAGAACUAAGUCCAUACUUCUUAAUUUUACGAUUGAAAACAUAAGAUGCUCGAUUUGCCCAACGAGUACGAGAUCGCAUCAUGACCCAUUCUCGACUCUGACAACAUUAUUAUUCAUUCAGUCACUAAUCUUUUUGAUUUCAUACUUGUAGGCUUAACCAAAAAAAAUCUUGUGAAUUCCAUUGUAUACAACCUUGAGGGUGGGGGUGGAGAUCGUAAAGCCUCAAAAUUUGACUCUUGCAUAUAUAAACACAUAGCAUAGCAUUCCUCAUUAACAUAAUCAUUAUAAAAGUUUAUGUAUACCUUCAUAAGUUUCUACUCAUCCUUAACAACAUUUUUACCCAAAUACUUGAGUAUCACAUUCAGCAUUAUCGGAAUUAGCUCGGUUGGAAAACAUUUUUGUCUAAAAAUAAAACAAAUCUCAUUAAAGUCGGGAGAUAUCACACUAUCACAGGUUAUGUAGUGGCAUGUAUUUCUAGACUUCAUACAUGCUACAUUCAGUCCAAGAGCUGACUAAACUAUAACUCUGAUACCACUAAAUGUAACACCCCUAACCCAUAUCUGUUACAGAAUUAGGGUUAUAGAGCAUUACCAAAAACUUUUAAUUUAAAACAUUCAAUUACAAUCAUUUAUAAAACACAUCAUAUUCAAUUCAAACACAUGCAUAAUGUCCCUUUUUCAAGCCCUCGAGGCUUUAAAAGAUCUUAAGAAAUAAUUCGGGACUAAAUCAAAAAAUUUAGAACUUCAUGAACAAAGAUAGAAAAAUUCAUACUACAGUGGUCACACGGCCGUGUGACCAGGGCAUGUGACUCACAUGGCUGAGACACACUCCGGUGUCUCAAGUCGUGUGGGUAUUCGAAGUAGGGACACACGGUUGUGUCCCAGCCCGUGUCCGUGUCACUAUCUUACUUGGGUCACACAACCAAGCCAUACGCUCAUAUAUCAGGCCAUGUAAUGCUUGAAAUGUAACCAAUAAAAACCUACAAGGGACACAAGGCUGUCUUGCGUGACCGUGUGUCACACACGGUUGAGACACAUGCCCGUGUCUUAGGCUGUGUGGAUGAGAAAUAGGCCAUUUUCAAGCCAUUUCAUUCACUCUAAACAUGCUCACACACACAAACCAUUUGUACCUAUUUCAAACAUCAAAAAAAUGUACCUAAAACAUGCAUAAUGCAGUUAAAUCAAAUUGGCAACUAUAUCUACAACCAAUAUGCCAACAAGCACCUCAAUCACAACGAUCAAAUAUACUUAAACAUAUGCAUAAUUUAGCCAUUCCUAAACCAUACAUUUCUAAUCUAAUUCAAUACCAAUCUUACCAUAAUGACCACAUGCCAAAGUCACAUUCAAACAUACCAAGUUUCUCAUUCAAAAAUGCAUUAACCCCUUAUCAAAAUAACACACACCAAAUAGGAAUCAAAGGUACCAAGGUUACAUCAACCAAAAUGACAUAUGCAUGUCAAACUCAUCAACUAACAUAAAACACAAGUCCACCUAUACAUGCCAUUAUAACUUUGAUUUGGACACCAAAAUCUACCAUUAUAAUCGUUGGAUAGUGUGAUAGAUCUCUGACCAGCUUCCUAACCGAUCGAGCUUCCGAUAAUCUGUAGAGUAAGAGAAAGACAACCACACAAGCAAUGAAUGCUUAGUAAGCUCAUAUAAAUUUUAAACAUAAAAUUCCAUUUUUAUACAUGAACUUUAUAAGUCAUAAAUAAACCUAUACCAUUGCUUCAAGAUUUAUCAAACUAUAUAACUAUCAACUCACAAAUGAAUAGGUUCAUUAACAUCCCGAAUACUUUCUAUUCAUACCAUAAUAAAGUCUUAUAAGCUGAAUUACAUAAUCAUCAACCUUUUCUUAAAAUAGUGAACCAUUUCAUUUACUUACUUACCAUUUCAUUUACUUAGCAUAAGGUUAAUUAUGUAUCAAUUCACGAAUCAGUAUACCUAUUCAUGACAUAAGUAAAUUCCUUCCUUACAAGUAAGUCCUUUAACUCGACAAUCCUUUUUAUUUCAUCAUAUUUCGUCACAUCUAUGAACUUACCAUUUCCAUAUAUAAUCUCACCCGUUUCAUUUGUAUAACUCACAAGAUAUAAGCAUAAACAUCAACCAUAACCACAAGCUAGUGCACUUAAACAUAACUCCUUCACAUUUAACUAAUAAUCAUUCUGUAAUUCAUCAUUCAUCUCAAACUUUCCAAUAAACAUGUAAUCUGGAAUUACUUACCUUCACUAAAUAAGAUUAAAUCUAAAUGAAUAAAUUAAUCAUACCUGUUAUACAUUUACAAAGCACUUAUAGGCUUAGUAUUGAAAAUGAUUCAUCGUAUGCUUCCUGUACUAUAAUAGUUCAACCCAAACUCAUUUAUAUAUGUAUAUAAACAUAUAUCUUUAACUAAAUAAUCAUCAAUAUAACGAUACUCACAUAUGAUCAAGUAAUUCAUUGAACAUUUAACAUUUAACACUUACUAAUUUCUUGACUAUACAUUAGCCUUUAACAUUAAACUAAUUUUAUAAAUUUCAUUCACAGUUAGCCCGAUGAACUAGUAACUUGAAUAGUAUACUCGGGUGACUACACCACACCAAAGGCAUCAUAGAUGCAUAACAGGGGCACCAUAGUGCGAAUAGAGGCACCGAAGUAUAUAUUGGGGCACUAAAGUGCAAACAGGUGCACUGAAGUGUAACUCUUGUACAAGUGUGCAUUCUAACCCUAUUGGUAUGCCAAUCGUAUGCUAGUGAUUACUACAUUCAACCAAGCAUUUCACGUAAUCCAUUUAUUUUAAACAUAUUUAUCAUUCAAGGGCACUUCAUUAUUUUCGUACACAUGAUAUAAUAUCAAUACAUAUAUUCACAUUGUCAAUGUGGCAUUACAUAGAUUAACAUCAUCUAUUUAUCACUUUCAUCUUUCUCGAUACACGUGCUGUAAUAAUUCAUAAUCAUGCUGAAAUCACAUAUAUAUCAUAUCUCAUAAAUAUUCAAUAGUUUUCUAAUAAAUCCUUUCUCACCUUAUAUUUAGUUAUAAUAUUUCGAGUUUCAGCUCACAUUUUAAACAUCAUAUAUAAGUAUAUACAUUCAUGAAUCAGCAUUAACAUUGUUUAUAUAUAUAGGUUUGUACAAUUCUAUACCUACGAGCUUACCUGGCUAAAUUACAGAAAUGUCAAAGUAUAGGGGCAUUUUGGUAAUUUUCCAUUCUCCUAGAUUUUUCACCCGACAUUGAUCUAAAUUAAUAAUUGUAUUCAAUCUAUUAAUUUAGAUAGUAAAAUAAUAUAUUUUAUACAAUUUUGUCUUUUUUGACAUUUUUACAAAAUUGCCCUUAAAGUUUCACUUUUAUUCAAUUUAGUCCCUGAGCCUAAAACAAGCAAAUUAACCAUUUUUACCCAAAAUUGAGCCCAUCUGAAUACUUAUGCUCUCCAACACAGGCCAUUCAAACAAUAAUUUCAUAACAAAUCCUUAUAUUUUUACUAUUUUAACAAUUUAGUCCCUAACAUCUAAAAUCACAAGGUUCAUCAAUGGCAAUAUUACAAAUCUUUAACAGUUUCAAAAUCAAAGGUACGAGCUAGCUAUAACUAAUUGCAACGAUCUGAAAAACAUAAAAAUUAUUAAAAAUGGAGCCAAAAUCACAUACCAUGCAAUAGGAAAACCACUAUGGCUGAACUUAGCUUAAAACCUCCAUGGACAUUCAUUUGUUUGAAGAAGAAACUGAAAAGAUGAUAACCAAUUACCUUUUCUUUUUAUUUUAUUUUAAUUUAAUAUACCAAGUUACCAUUUUAACCUUAGUUAAUAAUUAAAUAAAACAUCAAAUUCAUAUCCAUUAUUGUCCACUAACACCUUGAAUGGUCUAAUUACCAUUUAAGUCCUUUUUCCUUUAUUCAAUUAACCAUUUAAUCGCUCAAAUCAAAUAGUGAUUAAAUUUUACAUCUUUUCCUAAUUUAGUCCAUUAUAAUUAAUUAACUAUUGAAACGUUAAAGUUUUUCAAUGAAACUUUAAUACAACCUGAAUGACACUCCAUAAAUAUUUAUAAAAAAUUAUGGUUUGAUUUAUAGAAACGAGGUCCCGAUACCUUAUUUUCUAAACCCACUUGACCUUAGGGUCUUACCACUUGAACCUAUUAAAUCAUUUAUAUAACAAAAAUCACUAUAUCACAAACCUUUUUAAAACCAUGUUUGACUCGUAAAUAUUAAAUGAUAAUAUUUACGAACUUAUUCAUCGAAUUUUGUGGCCCCGAAACCACUGUUUUCGACACUACUCAAAAAUGGGUUGUUACAUCUUCUCCCUUCUAUUCAAAAAUAAAACCAUUGCUACCUUACUCUUGAAGCUAAUCAGGGGUUUCUCACUAAUAUGAAACUAAAGAUGGAGUUCAUGUAUGAGGUUGUUUCUCACACGGGGUAAGUAUUUUGGACUCACGUGUUGUUUUUAUAAGAAUGAGUUUGAUUAUGUACGUAAAUGGGAAAAAAAGAACUAAGGCCUUGCAUGGUGAAUGUUUGUGCUAGAAAUAAGGGUGAGAUUUGAUAAUAUUCCUAUGUCUUAUAAACAAUGACUUUUAAGGGUCCGCAAGAGGAUGUGUGAACUUGGGGAUCAAGCUGUUGUUUAUGGAAGUAAGGUGAGUCCCUCAAUUGAUCAUUACAAGUGUAUUAUGCUUAUCUAGAAAAUUCUAUGUUAAAAUUCUACGCUAAGUGGCCAAAGCAUGAGAUUAGAACUAGUAAAGCAUGAUAUGACGAAUCUAAUAAGAAAUGUAAGACUUAUGAAACUGAAUGAAUAUGGUGCUUAUGUCUGAAAGUAAGAAGAUCGAGUCUGAUAGGAAGUGCAUGUGUGUCUGGUAAACAUAAGAAUGUCUAUCAUAAGUGAGUUAAUACGUGAUGAGUCUGUGUCUAUCUCCAAAGUCGUCAAAGGAAUCCGUUAGGACAAAAUCACAAAUCUUUGAAAGGAAAAGUCCAUGUCCAUGGCACUACAGAAGAUGAUAUCAUGUAAUACCAUAAUUGGUGGGUUAUGACAUCAUAUUGGAAGAAUAUCAUAUCGUGUAAGACCGUAACUGGUGGGUUAUGGCAUCAUAUGGAAAAAAUUUAAGGAAGGUUAUUACCAAAUGUGGUUCUGUAUGUGUCCUAGGACAAUAAGGGGAAAACCUUACUAAGUGUGAGUCUAGACAAAUCCCUAUCGCCUAAAUCACCAGGAGAAGAAAAUCCUUUGUGGCAAAACUUUGGAAAGGCAAGCCUUUGUGGCAAACCUAUUAAAGGAUAACCUUUGUUGCAAAACUUUAGAAAGGCAAGCCUUUGUGGUGAACCUAUUAAAGGACAACUUUUGUAGCAGUGGUGAAACUCUUAAAGGACGCCUUUGUGGAGAGACUCUGAAAGGAAAAUCUUUGUGGCCACUACUUAAUGAAAAUGAAGCCUUUGUAGAAAUAUCUAGAUAAGGAAGCCUUUGCUGAAAUCUCUGAAUUAGGGGGCCCUUAUGGCAAUAUCUGGAUAAAGAAACCUUUGUGGCUAUCUCUAAAAAGGAAUGUCUUCAUGGUGCCAUCGAAAGAAUGAAACUUGCAGUAACCAUUUGAAAGAAAUGCCUCUGUUGUGGACUCUGAACAAAAAGAAAGAAACCCAUGGUGAACUCUAACAAAAUGGCGUAUAAAGUCUCUUGAAGGAACGAUAAGUAUGGUGAACUUUGAAUGAAAGGCUCCGUAAGAAGUGUUAUGGCUAACCCAGUAUAGUAAUAUGGUAAGAAAAACGAGACUAGAGUGUGCCAACGUAAGUGGUGAACCCAAGGUCUUCUAUCUGUAAGGCCCUCUGUAAUAGAAAUGGUUAAGAAAUCAUGAAUGAACAAAAUGAAGAAUGUGAAUAAGGCAAUGAUGAUAGGAAUAGUAUGUUAUGAUCUCAGAAUGAGGAAUGACACCAAUGACACAAUGAACAGAAUUUUAUGGAUGUAACUGCUUGAGUCAAGGGAAGGACAACAGCAAAGGAUAUGAAUAUGGAAUUUUCAAGUAUGAAAUAGGUAAAGGAAGAUUUGCUCACUAAGUUUUCAUGAGCUUAACUUUGUGUCUUUUAUGACACAUGUAAGCUUAUUUGAGGUUAUAUCAGGAAGGACUACGCUAGGUGAAUGGCGAGAUGGGUUGUUAUGCAUACAGAGUGAGCUUGAAAUGAAGUGAUCAAGUUUGACAGAAACACUCUGAAUGGGCUACGCAAUCUAUUUUGAAGCUUGAUAGUGAGAAUAGAAUGUGUUGUGAAAAUAAGUGUAAUAUAUAUACUUGUGAACCCUCGUCUAAUUAAAAGGCAUGUUUAAGGUUUGUAAUUAGUUAUUAUACAUCCAGAUGUGAUCUAGCUAAGUAGUCCUAUUAAAUAAAAUGGAUUUUGUUGAAAGUUUAAAUGUUUAGAUAUAAAUAAGUCUAUAAUAGGAAAUGUAACACCCGAGAUCCCAAUCCAAUGAAUCAGAUCAAGUCGAGGGCAUUAUAGUUAGUUUAAAACAUUUACUUAACAUAGAGCUUACAAAACACAUAAUCAUGUAGAGCUCGUUGCAUAGAGCUCGCAUGUCACUGUUCAUGAGAUCACAUAUUGAAAUACUUUCGUAAAAUCAAGUAAUAGAAAAGACUUACUUAUCAAAACUUAGGUCAAACCCUAAGCUCCUGAUUAACAUUAUAGGUCGCACAUACAAGUUGCAAUCCCUAAACACUCACUAAUUUUUCUUGAAGACUUAGACAAGUUUUGCUAUUCCCUUGACUUUGCUUAAAGAUGGCUCUUGAUUUCUAAGUGUUGGGCUCUUAAGACUUGCAGACAGAAUAAUUGAUAGUAAAUUUAGGAGAAAAUAAUGUGUAAUUCCCUUAAUGGAAAUGGCUUAAUUAUAGGCUCUAAGUGUCUUAAUGUCUUUAAUACUCUAAUUGUAAUAGAAGUAAUAUUUAACGACAUGCAUGGAUAGUGUUGUAAAGAGAAAAGUAAGCUAUCAUUCCUAACUGAGGCACGACUCUACUUUAACCAUUCUUAUUUUUAACUCACAACCCAAAACUGUAGUUCGCUGGCCUAUUGGCGAUCCCUAUUUCGCCAAAAAUGCUAGCGAUCUAAGUUCACUAAAUUCUUAGGCGUACUCUAGCUCACCAAGCCUUUUAGAGAACUCCUACUUGCAAAGCUUAUUGGUGUACUUUAGCUCACCGAACUUGUUGGUCAUACACUUGAUCACGAAUCUACUAACAUAUACAUGCUUGUCAUUUUCUCUAGCGAACCCUUGUUCACUAGUCUUACUGACGAGUACCUAUUUGUCACGCUCUUGGGCAAUUUUUUGUUCGCCUUGGUGAACCCAACUCACUUGGCCCCAUACUUCUAGGCUCUACUUUAGGAUGUUACAACUCUCCCUCUCUUACGAAAUUUUGUCCUCGAAAUUCCCUAUGUUUAGAACAGGUCAGGGUACUGGUGUCUCAUGGCUUCCUCUAUUUCCCAAGUGGUUUCGUUGGUCUUGUGAUUUCACCAUAACACUUUAACUAAAGGUAUCUUCUUAUUUCAUAGAGUCUUUUCUUCACAAGCUAAGGUUUCCACGAGCCGUUCAUCAUAAGUAAGACCAGGUCGCACAUCAAUUUCAUCUGUUGAAACAAUGUGGGAAGGGUUCGCGCGAUACUUUAUCAACGUGAACACAUGAAAAACAUCAUGAAUUUACUCCAGUUCUUGUGGUAGCUUAAGUCAGUAGGCUACUGGACCAAUCCUUUCAACCACCUCAUAAGGAUCGAUACUUACUUACCUAUUUGGUACUCUAUGUCUCAUCAUUUUAGAUCGGUGUAAGACUUUUGUUUGUCUAAAAAAACAUCCAGUCUUUCGCAAAUCACUUUCACCUUAUCUUCUAUUUCACGAAUUAGCUCUAGUCUAACCAUUCACUUAUCAUCUAAUUCCGCCUAACACAAAGGUGUUCAACACUUCCUUCCAUACAAUGCCUUGAAGGGUUCCAUUUGGAUACUUACUUGGUGAUAACUCUUGCAAAGAGUUAUAUUUCAUGCCCUUAGGCUUAGUUAAUUACCUGUACUUAAGUGUUGUUAGUUCCAUUUUAGGAUAUUGCAUUGGCACUUUUAAAACAUUGCAUUAAAAAGCUUGGAUUGCGCUUAAUUGUGAUUACAUGUUGAUUUUAACUGCUUGUGGGAAAGAUUUGUUUGGCGAUUGUUUAGUAGGUGUAAAGUGUAGAGAAAAGUUUAACGGUUUGUCAUGGAAAAUACAGAUAGUUUGCCAACACAAAUGUUGUGGCAAUGCUGGAAAGACGCCUAGUCAGCACUUAAGGCGUACCACUCUUGUCCCCACAUAUAUAUCUACUUGGCAAAUAAAGAAAGGAUCACGGGUUGAUGGACCUACCCUAGAAGGUGAAACUUAUAAAAGCCAAGCAAUGAACCCUAUUUAAAGGGAGCCUUUAGACUAAAAAGAGCAACCUUGAGCAGUCGAAAAUAGACUACGACAGCAGCCUUGGAUGAAAUAGUAAAUAUCAGGUAGGGGCCAAGAACAAGGGUAGCAAAAGAAGUAGAAAACAACUGCAAUCACCUUGGGCAACUGCAAGACAUUGCACUGCCUAUAUUGAGAGUUGGAUAGGAGAAAGUUGUAAUCUUAGAUUUCCUCCUUUGUUUCUUAUCAUGCUUUUCUUUAAUGCUUAUCAGUUAUUGAUGAUGUUGGUUAUUGUAUUAAACUCAAACUUGAUUUUCCCAACCAUGAGCUAAAUCUCUUAGGCUUGGGAUUACUUUGAUGAAACCUUUAUUACUAUUAAUGUUUAAAGUUUAAUUUUGGUUUGCUCUACUAUUUUAUUCAAUGGCAUAUCACGUUAUAUGUAGGUUGUACAUUAACGAAUGUACGACAGGUUUAUAAAGAAAACUUAAUACCGAUAAGGUUGGGUUACCUGGAUAAGUGUUGGAUAAUAUGAGGGAAUGAUUAAUCACUUAUACAUGGCAACCUUUAGACAUAGAUCCUUGCCUUGUGUGAAAGAAGGUAGGAAAUAUUAGUGGUAGCCGAACUCAAAGCCUAUAGACAUAUAAUGCCCUAAGGAACGUAACCGAAGGUCUUGCUCUCGAGAGAGAAGUAGACUACUGUAGCAACCUAUUGAAUAGUAGAAUAUUCACGACUUUGUUGUGGCAUUAGUGAAGGUUGAUCCAUUAGUAAUCCCAGCUGUCCUAAUCAACAUUGUAGCUCCUCAAGCCUUUUUUGUAGUGAUUUUGCCAUGGCAUUCUUGUUCUGUUUACUUGUUUUGCACAUUUUAUACAUCAUCAUUCUCUCAUUUUUCCAUUGCAUUCUUAUUCUUAUUUUUCUUUAGCAUUAAUCGAACUUAACUAUAAUAACUCAACCAAUUUAUACCUAUCUAAUCCCUAUGGAGAUGAUAUCACUCAUCACUAUAUUACUUGAUCAACUUGUACACUUGCACGACUUGCAUAUCAGCUGUGCAACCAACACCUAGGAACUGUUUUUAUAUACGAACUCUACUGAGGGCAAAAAUCAUUCCCAGCUUCCUGCGAAUUCCACCACAUGGCUUGGUUGCAUGUCUUCUAGUACUUGGAUCACCCUCUCUUAUUGACCAUCUAUCUAUAAAUGAUAAGAAGUACUGAAAUUCAAUUUCCAACCCAAGGGUUCUUAUAAAAUUUUCCAAAAUCUCGAUGUGGAUCGUGGAUCUUGAUCGACGGUAAUGAAAUCAUUCCCAUCUAUAUACGAACUCUACUGAGGGCAAAAAUCAUUCCCAGCUUCCUGCGAAUUCCACCACAUGGCUUGGUUGCAUGUCUUCUAGUACUUGGAUCACCCUCUCUUAUUGACCAUCUAUCUAUAAAUGAUAAGAAGUACUGAAAUUCAAUUUCCAACCCAAGGGUUCUUAUAAAAUUUUCCAAAAUCUCGAUGUGGAUCGUGGAUCUUGAUCGACGGUAAUGAAAACGAGCACGCCAUGAAGUCGUACAAUUUUUUUGAUGUAUAACUCCACCAAAUUUUGCAAAGUAUAAGUGAUGUGGACUUCGAAGAAGUGAAAAAUUUUAGUGAGACAAUCUACAAUCACCUAUAUUGCAUCUUUCUUGUCAAGGUCAGUGACAAGCCGGACACAAAGACCAUGGUGAUCCUUUCCCAUUUCCACUCUAGAAUUUUGAUUGGUUGCAACAAUCCUAAAAGAUACUGAUGCUCAACCUUCACCUCUUGAAAAAUAAGACAUUUUCCACAUAAUUCAUAACGACUUGCUUCAAGUUAGGUUACCAAUACAAUUCAUAAAGGUCAUGGAACACCUUAUUGCUCCCUGGGUGUAACACGUAAAAGUAGUUGUGAGAUUCUAUAAAGAUCGCAUAUUGAAGUUUUUCAUCAUAGGGCACAUAUAGUCUUCCUACGAAACAAAGUAUCCCUUUUUUAUUCAGUGCGAAGUCCCCCUAUAACUUGGGGUUUGUGCAAGUGUACAUAGUCAUUAUCAAGUAAUAAGUAAGUAUCGAGUUAUCGUCACCACAGGGAUUGUAUUUGUGCUAAGUCACUUAAUUUGUAAAAUUAUAUUAACAAUUUGGUAAAUAGAAACACGAUAUAGUUGAGAAAUGGUGAUUAAAAUAUAUUAAACUAAAUGCAAUGAUCCUUAAUGCAAAUUAUCCUAAGUAUGCAAACUAUAUGAAUAAAAUAGAUUUUAGUAAAAUAUAACACAAUUUGAAACAAUUAUAACAUAAAUAAACUAGGACAAUUACUUUAAUUAAACUCAAUUUAUUAUCAACAUGCUUAAUAACAUUCGGAAAAACAUUCCAUGGCAACUCCAUCUUUCAUGAGUUUGGAAACCACCUUAGGUCCUUUCGAAAUCCUUUACUUGGUAAAUACACAUUUUACUAAUCCUUAAUUACUAAGGGUUUCUUAGCAUUCGUGUGAGGUAACAGGGAUGUGUUAGGUUUGAAACAAUUUAAUCACACAAAUCUAAAAACUAUGCAGAUAACAGAGCUUGGUUAGAGUUGUUAUGCAACCUACAAUUCAAUCGGGUUAGGAUCUAAAUUGAGCAUGCAUAAUUCAAUUAUGCGUCCAUUAGCCGUCAUCUGGUUAGGAUCACUCAGCUAAUUCAAGUGUGUUUCAGUCACGUAUGAAUGAAAUACAGACUUGAUUUUAAUUGAAAACAUGAUCAAUUGAGGCACAAACAUUAUAAGCAUGAAUCAAAUAAAUAUUAUUUAAUCAAAAUAAACAUCCUAGCUUAAAUAAAAUUAAGCAAUCAUUGUUGUAAACAAGAAAAAAGAGCACAUAGAAAACAUAUUUAAAUUAAAUUUAAAGAAAAGAAUGAUUAAACCCAAUUUAGAGUGGUUGUCACCCAAGACUCUGACAGACGAGGCUCCUUUGCUUCUUUACGUUGCUCGUUUGCUGAUGGCUUUCCAAGGUGGCCAACUAAGAAUUCUUUAAGAGGCUUAAUUGCUAAAAUCCUUAUGCAAGGAUGAUGAAGGGGAAAGAUAGCUAAAAGAGUUGAGAGAAUGAUGAAUGAGUGAGAGAUGAUGGGAUGAGGGAUGAUUGAAAAAGAGAGAAAUGAGCUCUUAUUUAUAGGUGAGGCAAAGGAACUAGUUUGCUAAAAAUAGGAGUGUUUAUCCUUUGAAACUUCCUCCAAGAGUGGUCGGCCAUGAAGUGAGGAAAGGUGGCUGAUUUUUCCUUGAUUUUUGGUCAAUUUGAAUGCCACAACAACUCAGGACUAAGACUCGGUCAUCAGCAAAUCUUCGAGAAAAUCUCUGAUUUCUUUAACUCUUCAAGGACUUUGUAUAAUUAAAUCAAAAAAUGGUUUAUGACAUCCAUGUGCAGCCAAAAAUUGGGUUGACUUGGUCCCCAAUUUGGACGGUUUUGCAAUUAGAAUAAAACUCUCAGCCCUGUCAAAAAAUAGUAGAUAGUUUAGAUGACCAAAUAAUAUAAUUUAACCACUCUAAUUAAUCAAUUUAUUUAAUUAAUUAAAACCCAAUUUAUUAAUUAAUUAUUAAAUAUAACUUUAUAUUUUAUUAUUUAAUUUAAUCAUGCAUGGCCCACUUUAUAGCUUAAAAAUAUAAUAUGCUUAAAUUAAUAUAAAAUAAGUCAUUUUAUGCAUGAAAACUAUAUAAUAAAGUAUAAAAUCACAUUUUAAUAAUUUCUAUGUCCUAAUUUCAUAUUUUCGCAUAUUUCAUUAAUUUAUUAAACAAUUACUUGGUUUUAACAACAAAUUUAAGUAAAAAGGUAAUGAAUUAUAUAGGAAAAAUCUUAUAUAUUUUUUAGUUUACACACCCCCAAACUUAAAUCAUUGCUCGUCCUAAGUAAUGUUCAUGCACAGCACAAGGUCUUACUAAGGCAAAUUUUGCUAAGAGUGUAAGUAGCAUCAAUCUUUGUUUUAUAAUCAUGCAUCAAUAAAUUCAUGCUCAUAGACCUUCUUUAUUAACAAGUAACUCAUAUACAAACAUUUUGAAAAUUUUAUUCUAAGUUUCAAGAUAUGCCAACAUGAAUCAUAGUUUGCAUGUAUGUCACAGUCAUAGAUAAUAUUUUUCAUUCAACACAAAUUCUCAUCAAUCAAGCAAAACAAUCAUAAGGCUUAUUUAUGAUCUUCAUAUGUUGAACUUAAUACUUCCUCUCCACUAAUGUAGGUGACAUAAUCAUCAAAUCAAUAGGUCUUUUAUAAGGUUGUAAUGGGGCUCGGUUAAAGGCGGGGAUUUUAAGAGAUGAGACAUUUCGGUUUCAAAAUCUUAACCUUUAACUUGUCUUGAAUUUCUCAAAAUUCAACCUUUUUCUUCAAGUGAACCUAUGGAACUCCGUUUGAAGUCAUACUCAUACAUUUUCUUUUUGGAGACUGAGCAAAUUUUUCUUCACUCUUUCUUUGUCUUUGUUGUUGCUAUUGUUGUUUUAAGCAUGAACACAUACAUCUUUAUGAAAAUUUCCUCAAAUGUUCAUUCCCAAGACAACUUUAGUUAGGAUAAGUGCACAAAAUUAAGAUAAUUUUAAAAAGAUGGUACUGGCUUAUAAUGUACGUUUAUUACAAUGAACAGGCUUUUAAGCUCAAAAUUAUAGUUUCAAGGGUCUAAGAUCAUAAGGUGGGCUUGAAAAGGCUUAAACGAUCCAAAGAAAAACGGUGCUGUAAUACCCCUUACCCGUGUUCCUCGUCGGAACAAAGUAUGAAGUGUCAUUAGAACACAAAUACGAAAAAUUAAUUUUUUUUUUACAAAAAUUUUGACUUAUUCCUCUUUAUAAAUACAUUACCUCACCUACACAUUUUCAGAUCAUAAUCCAACCAAUUCCAAUAUUCCAACCAACAUUUAUAUUCUCAAUUAUAUUCAAGUUAUACACAACACUUUAACUAUCAUCACUAGCAUUGCAUAAAAAUAAUUUAUCAUAUAACAUACACUAACAUUUAAACUAAAUACUUUGUAACAUACAACAUCUACUUAAGCCAUCUAUACAUGUCAUAAUUUAGAAAUGUUGAUUUCAAAAUACCAAAAUAUGUGGAUAGUGUUAAUGAGUUCCCGACUAUUUCCAAAUUCUGAGUUGAACUGGUAACACUAUAAAACAAGGAAAAAGGAAGAGGGGUAAGCAUAUAGCUUAGUAAGCAAGUAUGUGAUUAAUAAACAAAUUUCUAACAUGUUUUCAUAGAUGAUAUAAUUUAAAUCACACAUAAUUUCAUUAUUUGCACAAUUUCCAGCAAGCUGUUUUUAUGCAUCAUAGUCACUAAAUUAUUUUUAUCUGGAGUUACAGGACUCCAAAUAAAUAUACGUAAAUUUCCCUUGAAACUAGACUCAAAUAUAUUAUUUUCAUAAAAUUUUUAUAAUUUUUGGCUUGAUCAAUUAGUACAGUUUAUUAUUUAAAUUCACCCCUAUUUUACUACUCAACAUCACUGACCUCUUUUCACUAAAAAUGAAUUAUCUCAUUGUAUAGAUUUUUAAUGAUAUUUUUGUUUGUUUUCUUUGAAAAUAGACUAAUUCAGGAUUUUAAACAUAUAAAUUAUAACUCAUAAUUAUUUUUUUACAAUUUUUAAUUAUUUUCCAAAGUCAGAAUAGGGGAUUCCGAAACCAAUCCAAAUCUGCAUCACUAAAAUUCAAAUAUCUCAAAAUAUAUUACUCUUUUGCUUGCUCUGUUUAUUUUAUGUAAAAAUAGACUCAUUAAGAUUUUAUUUCAUAUCUUAUUCACUCUCUAAUUCAAUUUCCACCAUUUUUGGUUAUUUUUCAAAGUCACACUACUGUUACUGUCAAAAACAGUUUUGUUGCUAAUUCUACUUUUUCAUAAUUUCACCUUUUUACUUUUAAUCACUAUUCCAUUCAAAAUUCACUUUUCCAUUUUCAAGUCAAUAUUCAAUUUAGUUCCACACAUAUAUGCACUUAUAAAUCACAUAGUCAUUUCAUCAUAUCAUGUAUUUCACUUAAUAAAUUUCUCGUUGAACUUAUCGGACUAAAAAAAUAGAUUUCUCGGUGGCCUGCACACAGUCCGUACCACCUUUGUGUAAUAACAGAUUCUCGGUGGCCUGCACAUAGUCCAUGUCACCCUUGUAUCUUAACAAAUUAUUGGUGGCCUACACAUACUCUGUGCCACCCUUGUGUCACAACAGAAUAUCGGUGGCUUGCACACAGUCCGUGCCACCCUUGUGUCAUAACAGAUUAUCGGUACGGAUAGUAGCCUACACUUAGUUUGUGCCACAUAUGCGACCUAUCAGUCUGGUACACGUAGUGGCCUACACUUAGUCUGUACCACACGUGACCCAAUUACGACCAUUCAUAUCUUUUCUAUUCCGAGUUUCAAACGGAAAUUCUUAUUUUUCAAUCUUUUCCCAAUUCUUCUCUAACCAAUCUUAAUUUAUAAUUUGCAUCAUAAAUUUGUUACACAUAUAACUCAUCUCUUAAAUAAAAUAAUAAGACACUUAAUCAUAAAUAAAACAAUAUAUUAUCUUCAUACAAACUUACCUCGGUGCAAAAUAUUGUAGUUUUUGCAAUUUAAUCCACGAUCUUUUCCUUUCCCCGAUUGAGGUUGACUUCUCUUCUUUCUUGAUCUAUAAUAGAAAUUUUACCUUGUUUAGUAUUCACAUUUAUCAAAAUAGUCCUCAACUCAACUUUUAGGAAAAUUAUGAUUUUGUCCCCAAAUUUUUGCAUAUUUAUGUUUUUGCCCCAAAGCUCGAAAAUUAAAUUUUAUUACUUAUUCUUGCGUUUUAUAACAUGCUGAACAUUUUUCCCUUCUAUAGCAACAUCCAAUUCUCACUCUAACACUUACUUAUGUACAUUAAGUAUUUUUACCGAUUAUGUUAUUUUACUCCGUUUCACUUAAAAUCGACUAGCAAAAAUUGUUUAACAUAAAUUCUAGCUUCAUAUUCUACCAUAAAACAUCAAAAUACAUACAUUUCACAUAUGGGUAAUUUUUCAAAUUUCAACCCUAGCUCGAAAUAGCAGUAGAAAUAGGUAAAUCGAGCUACGAGAAUCUUAAAAAUGCAAAGAACAUUAAAAACUAGGAUAGGAUGUACUUACAAUCAAGCUUGAAAGUGGCCAAAACCCUAGCUAUGGAGACUUAGAAAUAUUCAGCCAAGCAUGGAGAAGAUGGACACAAUUUUUACCUUAUUCUCCCUUUUUAAUUCAUUUAAUUACUAAAUUACUAAAAUGCCCCUAAUUAAAAAAAAUCCCAUUUCACUUUUUUUUCAUGUCCAUUUUUGUCCAUCAACACACUAAUGGGCUAAUUCACAUAAGGACCCCCAAUUUAUAAUUUCAUAACAAUCAAACACCUUUAAUAUAUAGAACUCAACUUUUGCACUUUUUACAAUUUAGUCCUCUUGACCAAAUUGAGUGCUCAAACGUAAAAAUUUUCGAACGAAAUUUUCACGAAAUCUUUCCGUGAAUUUGUAGACCAUAAACAUAUAAUGAUAAUAAUAUUCUCUUUUUUCAGAUUUGUGGUCCCAAAACCACUAUUCCGAUUAGGCCUUAAAUCGGGCUGUUACAGGUGCCUAUAUCAUUUUAGAUUUUUAUGUCCCCUAGGAUUUCACCUCAAGAAAGUUACUAAGUCAAUUAUAAAGAUAUAAACCUUUAUGCAUGUCUAAUCUCAAGAGAAACUAAGUUUUCAUGGCAAACAUUACCUAAGACUAAGAUCAUAAAAACAUUCCAUUUUUCAUGAUAACAUGCAAUCACUCAGAUAAAAUCAUCAUUCAUGCUUGCAUACAAGCUAUCUUAUUAAAAAGAAUUUCUCUAAACAUUUAUUUAUUAAGACAUGUUUGUGAAAGAAUGAUUUGAAACAUACUUGAAAAUUUUAAAAAUUUGAGCAAUUUGCCUUACCCCCUUUAAAAAGAAGCAAUGUCCUCAUUGCGAGAAUAAAGUAAUGAAUGAAAACUGAACACCAGGUAGGGUUGUCAAGAACGAGAGGUGAGUCAUUAAGACUACUUAAAUACCAAGUCUUUCCUAAUAACACAAUCCUAGACAUGUUCAUUCCCAUUGCCACAUCACUUAAUCUUUUUCUUUCUAAAGAAGUAUUUAUUCAUGCUUGUUAUGUUUUAUUUUGCAAAAAUUAAAUCCUAUUUACUAAAGAAAUAAAUUCCUAAAGACCUAAAAAUAAUUAAAUAAAAAACAAGACAAGAAUCCCCCCCUUUUAUUUUUCUGACUUAUUCCCCUUGUCUUUUUUAGCUUCAUCUUCGCUUGCAUCGUCAGUCUCUUACGUCCAUGUCUCAAAGAUAGCAUCUGGGAACUCAGGAAAAAAGGUAUUUGAGAUAUUCUUAAAAGUAUUUCAUAUUGAAUCAUCUCUAAUUUUUUCAUAUUUCCAGUAAGUUUGUUGUUGAUUAUGCAUGAACGUACAUAUCCAUCAAAAUUUAUAACUCUGAUUUCCUUGAAGUACUUGCAGAAGUCGGCAUGGGAUUUGUAUAUUCAGGUUCAACACUUAGCUUGAUUGGUUCUUCUUUUGGCUCAACCUAGGUUCAGGGUUUUCAGCUCCUUCAGCUGGUUGAGGACUAUUUGGUUUCUUAUCAGAUUCUUCUUCUUUAGUGUCUGUAACUGAAUCAGCUUUAGUUUCUGUUUUAUUUGUUCACUCUUCGGUUUCUGCCUCAGUUGGUUCCUCUUGCUCACCUUGGUUCAACUCAUGCACUCUUUCUACCAACCUUUCAAGAUCAUGACUUGUAAUGCACCCUUGGACAUACUACCCCUUCAGAUUUUCUUGUGUUUUAACAUGGGCCCUUAAGCAAAGUGAAGUAAUUAAUGAUGGGAAAUAAGCACUUCCUGCCUUCUUUUUAGCACAAUCAUGAAUCUCCUUGAGGAUAAUUUUCCUAACAUUAAUGGACUUUUCUGUCAAGAUUGCAUAUAACAAGAGCAUUCGUUCCCAUUUGAGAGCAUUGAUUAUCUUUCUAAUUGGCACAGGAACAACCAUCACAUCAUUGCUCUUCAAAUUAAAACCUUUUUUCGGCAUCAUAGGUAGAUGCUUGAAAAUUAAAUCAAAUCACUCUUUCACUUCUUUAUCAACCACAAUCAGGUUUUCAGGAGUUGUUUUUGACGAUCUAGUUCUUUUGCGAGACAUGGUACUUUCCCAAACAUUUGGUAGAGUUUCUGCACAAGAGAGAAAAGAGAAAUCGGCAAAGUUGGUAUAACUUGCUAUGGCAAAAAUCUUGCGACAGUAAGGAUGGUGCGGCGGCGAUCUCUUUGCGACAGCAAUAGGGAAUUUUGGCAAAAAGAAAGGACUAGGGUUUCUUUCGAUAUUUGAGGUUAAUGACACAAAAAAAAAGAUUUAGGGAUUUUUAGGGCGGAAGUAAAUUGCUUUGAGGGAGAUGAAAAUUAGUAGAAUGAAGAGGGCUUUAUAUAGGGAAAAUUAGGGCAACAUGCAAUAAAAAUUUAGCUACCUUAAAGUUACUUGGGCAGCAAGUAAUGGGUGUGACGGCAAGGCCUAGUUUUUUCCCUCUUUUUUUGUUGUCUUGGGCCUCAAACUCAUACUGUAUCUUAAAAAAAAUUGAUUAGUACUUGGGCCAAAUUUGACCCCCCUUUAUUAACACAAAAAUUUAAAAUUUAAACUGAACAAAAUAAAACUUAAAAAUUUUAAUUAGAAAAUUUCUUCUUAACAACUUACAUUAAAUUAAUUCCCAAGAAAGGUUGGAGGGGUCACAGCGGUCCCGCUUAAGUUCCAAUCUCCUUAGACAGAAUUAAUUAAAUGUAAUAAAUUAAGAAAAUAGGAUCUAAUUAUUUAUUUAUUUACACAAUGAGUUCAUGAAAAAUUAAGGGUCUGUUAAGAUGAGUGAGGAUUCAGUUUGCUCAACUUCACCAUCCCAGUAGUGUUUGAGACGUUGACCAUUAACUUUAAACGUACCUCCAUAAUUGUCGUAUAAUUCAAUAGCUCCGUAAGGAUAAACUCGGUAGAUGGUAUAGGGUCCUUUCCAUCGGGAUUUCAGCUUCCCAGGAAAUAACUUCAGCCUUGAAUUAAACAACAACACUUUCUGACCUUCUUUAAACUCGCGAAGUUGUAUAUGAGUAUCAUGCCAUCUUUUUUAUCUUUCUUUACACAUUUUGGCAUUCUUAUUGGAAAACAACCUCAGCUCUUCCAACUCAUCUAAUUGUAACGUCCUUCUCUCACCGGCCUAUUUUAUAUCAAAAUUUAACUGCUUCAAAGCCCAGUGAGCUUUAUUCUCCAACUCUAAUGGCAAAUGACAUGCCUCUCCAAAGACUAACUGAUAAGGAGUUAUUCCUAACUGAGUCUUAAAUACUAUUCGAUAGGCCCAUAAUGCAUCAUCGAGCCUUCGAGACCAAUCUUUUCUACUAGGGUGUACUACCUUUUCAAGGAUACUUUUGAUUUCAUGGUUCACUAUUUCAACUUGUCCAUUAGACUGGAGGUGAUAAGCAGUAGCAAUCUUGUGCUUCACAUCAUAUUUAUCAAGCAACAACUUAAGCCAUUUGUUCACAAAGUGAGAACCUUCAUCACUAAUAAUAGCUAUUGGUGUCCCAAAUCGUGUAAACACAUGCUUAUGUAGGAAUCGCAUGACUACCUUAGGAUCUAACAUCUGAUUCGAAAAAUGGUCCUUCCGAGUGGCUUUGUUCAACUUUUUGUAAUCAAUACAGAUUCUCCAACCGAGAAUAGUUCUCGUCGGAAUUAACUCUUUACGCUCAUUUUCAACAAUCGUGAUUCCACCUUUCUUUGGCACACACUGCACCGGACUUACCCACGAACUAUCUGAAAUAGGAUAGAUGAUUCCUGCAUCUAACAGUUUGAUCACUUCCUUUCUCACAACUUCUUUCAUGAUAGGAUUGAGCCUUCUUUGCCCAUCAAUUCAGGUCUUUCACAUUCUUUUAAAAUGAUUUUAUGCAUGCAAAAAGAAGGGCUUAUACCUCGAAUGUCAGCUAUGGUCCAACCAAUUGCUUUCUUCAACUUCUUUAAAAGAACAAUCAGUUAUUCCUCUUGAUCUUUCGUUAGUUCUGCUGAAAUAAUCACAGGCAAAGUAAAAUAGUCACCUAAAUAAAUAUAUUUCAAAUGGGAAGGAAGUACCUUUAGUUGAAGUGUAGGUUGUUCUUCGAUUGACAACUUGGGUUGCACAAAUUCUCUGACUUCUAACUCUAAUAGUUCAAACCGUGUGGAUUGAAUAAAAUUUCUCGGAUUGGCUUCCAUCAAAGCCAUGUUUUUUCACCUUCUUCAUCCUCCAAAGGGUCAAACUCUAAGGCUUUCUCCAAUGGAUCUUCCUCAAAAUUGCUUUCCAUAGAAACCAAGGUUUCUAUCUCUUCCAUAAUUGAACACCCCUCUAUCGGAUCGAGAAAUUUCAUCACUUUAAGAAUGUUUAAGGUUACCUGAUCAUUUUGAACUCGCAUGGUGAGUUCUCCUUUCUGCACAUCAAUUAAGUAUUUAGAGGAGUUGCUAGGACGACCCUUACGGUAGCUAAGUACUAGAUUUCAUCUAUUGAGAGGAUCUUGGAUAAUUUGUACUAUACCCUAGAACAUAAACUUAAGGGUACAGUGUCUCUUUUGAGAAAUGAGGCAUUUUGUUGGUGGAAAUCUAUCAUGGAAGGUACCAAGCCAAAGAAGAUAACUUUGGAUUAUUUCAAAACUGCCUUUCGUAAAAAAAUAUGGGAUCGAGGUAUGUUGAAGCCCGAAAACUUGAUUUUAUUAAAUUGAAGCAAAGGGACCAAACCGUAUCCGAGUAUGAGGCUGAGUUAUUAAGCCUGAACCGGUAUGCACAAGGGGUGGUAGCUUUAGAGUAGAACAACUGUGUUAGAUUUGAGAAUAGGCUGAGGUAUGACCUCAAGGUCCAAGUUGUCAUAUUGUAGGAGAGAGUCUUCGAGACUUUAGUAGAGAAGGUGAAGAUCCUUGAAGAGGUGAAAUAUGAUAAGCAAGAUAGAAGAGAUAAGACCAAGAAUCUAGUGAAGAGAGAUUUUGGUCUGGGAAAUUCUAAUCCAUGCCCAGUGAAGAGGGUCCGUGAAAAUAGACCAUGUCAGUACCCUGCUAUUGCAAGUAACAGAAAUUAGACCCGCAAUUAUGCUUACUGUGGGAAGUCUCACAAUAGGAAAUGUUGAAAGAGCAAGGGAGCAUGUUCUAGGUGUGGGGCGUGGUAAUAACAAAAUGAUAAUAGUGGGUAGAGGACAAAUGGUCAAUGUACGAACUGUACUAAUGUUAGACAGCCCACCUUGGUUUAUGCAGUAAGGCACCAAGAGGACGGUAAUACGGCUGAUGUUAACGCAGGUACUUUUAUAAUAAAUUUUGUACAAUACUUUGCUUUGAUAGAUAUAGGAUCAACUCAUUCUUAUGUUUCCUGCUCUAUGACUGAUAAAUUGGGAGUUCUAGUGGAAAUUAAUGUUAGCGGCAUAACUGUACUCAGUCCCCUAGGAUAAUUUAUGUAUGUGAAUAAAAUAUUUAGGAGAUGUCCUUUAGAAAUUUAGGGUGAGUUGUUUCCAGCUGACUUGAUGGAGCUGCCAUUCAGUGAAUUUGAUCUUAUUUUGGGCAUGGAUUGGUUGAAGGAGCAUCGAGUUAGCCUUGAUUGUGAUACAAAGUUGGUUACUCUGAGGACUUUAACCAGAAAGGAGAUAGUUAUGAUCUAUAAGCACCAAUAUUACUUGUCCAAUGUGAUCUCUACUUUGGUAGCCGAGAAAUUAGUUCAUAAAGGGUACGAUGCAUAUUUGGCGUACAUUCUGGAUAUGAAAGCUGAUGACUCAAUGUUAGAAAGCAUCUGUGUAGUAAAAGAGUUUCCUGACGUCUUUCUAAAAGACUUGCCCGAUCUACCUCCAAAACGCGAGGUUGAUUUUGGGAUUGAGUUGCUGCCUAGGAUAGCUCCGAUGUUUAUUGCUCCCUACUAAAUGGCACCUAAGAAUCUUAAAGCAUAGUUGCAAGAGUUUUUAGACCAUGGUUUUAUCUUGGGGAGCUCCAGUUCUACUCGUGAGGAAGAAGGAAAAUGGUAUGCAUUGAGUGUUAACUCGGUCUUCCUGGAAUUUUCACAACAUUCGUGUUGACAAAAUGUCUAACCUUUUGCCCCGGUAAAACUUCACUCCUUUAUUUCUCCUUCCUCAACCUACACCUGCCAAAGCACCAAACACAACCCUACCACAAGCAAUUAAAAGUACCUAAUAUUUCAACAAAGUCCAAGCUCCUAAUGGAAUGAUGAAGAUAUGAAUGAAAUGUCCUAAAAUGCAACUAAAUGUACCUUGGUGCAAGUAAUUAGCUAGGCCUUAAAGCAUGAAAUAUAAAUUUUUUCAAGAGUUAUCACACCCUCAAACCUGAGUUAUUACUUUUCCUCAAGCCAAAUACAUAUGAAUGCAUGAAUCCAUAAAUUUUUACCCUUCCAUAUAACUAUCUUAUACUAUUAAUCUAUUAAAAGAACAACAUAUACAUCAGUUCUCAGUAGUCUUCUUUCUCUAAAAGCUUGAUUGAAUGUCAAAGGUUCAUUUCAAAAAAGGUAGUGUAGAAAAUUUGUCCCUAAAAAUAAAAUUUCCUAAAUACUCAUGUAUGCUUUCUGGCCAUAACAAAUAUCUCCUAAUGCACUCAGUUCAUUUGUAACCUAAACUAUAACAGCCUAUUUUUAGUGAAAUCGAGACCACAAAUCCUACGUGAAAAUAUUUAUAUUAUUAUUUUAAUGUCUAUGGCAUGUUAAUAGUGUCAUUUGCAUGCUUAAUUUAGUGAGAAUGGCUAAAUUGUAAAAGGUGUAAAAGUAGAGUUCUAGUAGCUAAAGGUAUCAAAUAGCUAUAGAACUUUAAUGUGAGAGUAAUUAGGUGGUAAUUAGACCAUUUAUGUGGUAGUGGAAAUUUAUGGGUUUGGUUUUAUUAAAAUUAGGGAUAUUUUUAAAGGUUAAAAAUGUAAUUAAGUAAAAAAAGGUUAAUAUAAUAAAAACAAAAGAAAGAAAUAAGAUAUCUUCCUAUCUUCAUCCUUAGCUGAAAUAUUCAAGGGAAACCAUAGCUAGGUUUCAGUCAAGCUAUAUUCACCGGUAUGUAAGUGGUUUUUGUUUCGCUUUAAUGAUUUCUAUGUUUUUGAAGUUGUUGUAGCUUAAUCUAGCUAGCCCAGGGACUAAUUUGCAAAACUAUUAAAGGUUUAAGGUUUUACCAUGAAUUUUCUUACAUGAUUUAAGAAGUUUGAUGAAAUAUUAUGAGUCCUUGUGGUUAAAUAAACAAUUUUUGUAAAGUGAUUUUUGAUGAAUUUGUCAUUUAGGGACUUAUUUGUAAAAGUAGUAAAAUACCAUGAUAAAUUUGUGAAAUGUCGAUUUGUAUGAGGUUGUAUGAGCCCCUAGGCAAAUCAACUAGCAUGAUAUGUGGAUGAAAUUGCAUAAAUGAAAAUUUACGAGCUUAAGGACUAAAUUAUAAAGAAGUUAAAAUAUUAGGGGCAAAAAUGUACAUCUGCAAUAGUAUGAAUUUUGGACUAAAUUGAAUAGUAUGUGUAUUAAAAAUAUUGAAUUUUCUUAUUUAGAUAAAGAUAAACCUUGUACGGAUUUAGAUCGAGGAAAGGCUAAAGUCUCAGAUUAGUGAUCCUAUUUUGACGUCUUUGUAAUCAAGGUAAAUUUGUAUGUUUAAAUAACAUUAUAAUGUUAUUUUGAUAUUUAUGCAUUGUAAUAUAUAUCAUGUAAAGAAAUUAUGAGAAUCCAAUGACGUUACAAUGACUAUCGAGCUCCGUUUGAACCUUAGGAAUAUAUAGGAUACAAAUGAAAUGUCAUUAAGGUUACCAUGUUUCGGAUGUUGGUCUUGACUGUCCUACCAAUGGAUGAGCUCUGGAAUUUUUUGCUGAUAUUCGCCAACUUAUGUGAGUGGCAUUGUGUACCAACAUUCUGAUCGUCAACUUGUGUGAGUAGGCCCAUUUAUGGCUUGAGUGAGCAAUGAUGUAAAGGAAAAGGAAUGGUUUCAACCAUAUGUUUAGCAUAUUUUGUGUGAGCUUCCCGCGUAUCCAAUAUUAUUCUAAGUGGUUCAACGGGUAUGAAAUGGGAAGAAACAGUAAGGGUGAGUUUGGAUGGGCGGUGCGUUUACCUGCGGUUAGUGUAAAAACUGCAGUGGCGGUGAGAUUAGAUACUGUAGCGACACUGUAGCGUGAGACAAAAAGUAAGCUAAACGCACCACACCGCACCCAGUCGCCCAUCCAAACCCAUCAUAAGUGCUCCAUUGACUACGUUAUGAACUUAUGGAAAGGUAUGAAUUGAUAAUGAUCAGAGUAUACAUAGUUAUGUUUAUGGAAAGUAUGAAUUCAAAUGUACUAUGUUCAUGAAAUUUACCUUACCAUGUGAUGCUUUUGUUGAGUUAUGUGUUAAGGCACUAACUUAUGUUGUUGAUGAUGCUUGGGCUUGUGUCAAGCUUAUUUUGGAUUGAUUCAUGUUUAAAUUAUGAGGUUUUGCAUUGAAAUGGUAAGCUAUGUUCAUGAUUUACGAACUUACUAAGCAUUAUAUGCUUACGUAGUUUUCUUUUCUAUGUUUUAUAGAUUAUCGGAAGCUCGUUCGCUUUGGAAGUUCGUCAGAGACCUAUCAUACUAUCCGGCGAUUAUAUCAGUAGAUUUUGAUGUUUUGGUCAAGGUUAGAAUGGCAUGUAUAAAUGAACUUCUGCUUAAUGAUCUAGUUGUUUUGGAAUGUAUAAGUGUUAUUAUGGUUGAUGUACUUAUGGUUUUUUGAUGCCUUGAUGGUUGGUGUUAUUAUGGCCAAGAUGUUGCAUGUUUUGAAUGAUCAAUUUGGUAUGUGAUGGUGUAUUUUCAAUAUGGUCAAUUAAGGUAUGUUUUUAGUUGAAAUAAGUAAAAUGUGUAAGGUUGAUGAAUGGUCAAGCAUGCAUAUUUUUUUGUAGGUUUAAUGGAUUGUAAUUAAGGUGUCUUAUUGGCAUAUUGGUUGCAUGGAUUAUUGGUAUAGAGAUUUGGUCAUUUGAUGUAUGUUUUGGGCAUGUUUUAAGGUCUUGAUUAUUUAUGCAAUUGGCUUGUAGGUACAUGUCUAAAUGGGUGAAAGAAAUGGUUUGAUUUUAGCCAAUUCUUGUCCACACAGCCUAAAAUGCCGGCGUGUGUCUCAGUCUAUUGUGACACGGUCGUGUGUCCCUUGUAGGUAUUAAAGGUUUCAAGUCAGGCAGUUACACGGCCUCGCACACGUCCUGGUACAUAGGCGUGUGAGGCCAUUUCGAGUGUUACAUGGCCUGGCACACGGGCGUGUGGCUUGGUCGUGUGACCUAACUUAGAGAGUUACAUAAGCACGAACACAGGCUGGGACACGGCCGUGUGUCCCUAUUUUGAUUGUUACACAGCCUAAGACAUGGGCGUGUGUCUCAGCUAUGUGAGUCAUAUGGCAGUGUGAACCCUGUAGUUUUGAAUUUUCUAACAUUUUCCUGAUUUAGUCCUGAAUCAUUUCUAAAGUGUUUCUAAGGCCUCGAGGGUUCGAAUAAGGGAUGAUAUGAAUGUCUAUGAGUGGAUUAUGCUAUGAUUAUUGUAAUGUUUGGAAAUGAAUGUUUUUAGGUUAUGUUUAUACAGUAAUGCUCCGUAACCCUAUUCUGGUGAUGGAUACGGGUUAGGAGUGUUACAUUUAGUGAUAUCAGAGCUAUGGUUUAGUUGGUUCUCAGACUGAACGUAGCGAGUACGAGUCUAGAAAUACAUGUCAUUAUAUAACCUGUGAUUGUGUGGUAACUCCUAACUCAAUUUGAACUAUACUUUUAUAUAGAUAAUGUCAUCCAACCAAGUCGAUUCUGAUGAGGCUGAAAGUAUCGCGCAAGCCUCUGUUCAUGUAGCAGCGUUGAGUGGAAGUAGACUUGUAUUUAAGGUAUGGGGAGGAGAGGCUAAGGAAACCUUCUUUCAGAUGAUGAAUGAGUGGUUCACCGAUUUUCUACGAACGAACCCGAUGGCUCAACGACCUCAACCCCUACAUAUUCCCCAACCAAUCCCUAUAGUUCCUCAAGGUUUUGAACCAAUACGAUUGAGCAAGCCUCCAGUUGAUAAAAUCCGCAAAUAUGAGGCUGAAGAGUUUAGAGCUACGUCUAAAAAUGAUCCAGAUAGAAUCGAGUUAUAGUUAGAAAAUACAAUCAGGGUUUUCAACAAAUUAUCUUGUACGCCGGUAAAAUGUGUGAAAUUUUUUGUUUCCUUACUGAAAGACUCAACCUAUCAGUGGUGGAAUACCUUGGUUUCAGUUGUGUCAAGAGAAUGAGUAGACUAGGAAUUCUUUCAAACUGAGUUCUAUAGCAAAUAUGUGAGUCAGAGGUUUCUUGACAAGAAACACAAAGAGUUUCUCAAGCUUAAACAAGGCCAGAUGAUACUAUCUGAGUGAGAGACAGGAUUUGUUUGAUUGAGCAAGUAUGCCCGAGAAUGUAUACUGACUGAGAUUGCCAUGUGUAAACGGUUUGAAGAUUUGCUGAAUGAAGACAUGAAGCUGUUAGUCAGGAUUCUAGAAUUGAAAGAAUUUUUUAUUCUAGUUCACCGAGCACACAAAGCUGAAGAAUUGAGUAAAGCUAAAAGAAAAGUUGAUUUAUGAGGCUUGUGAUUCGAGUAAGAGAUCGGCGGGAAAAUCAUCUCAUUUAUCGUCAAAGAAGUCAAAAGAAUAUCAUAAUCGUUCGUUAGCUUCAGUGGGUCAUUCUGGUAGAGAUCGAAGAAAAUAGCAUGCGAAUUUAAAACCUCAGGCUACUCUAUAUCGAGCCUAGCACACGGACGUGUGAAGCCAUUUUGAGUGUUACACGGCCUGGCACACGAGCCACUGGCUUGGCCAUGUGACCAAACUCAGAGAAUUACACGAGCAUGGACAUGGGCUGGAACACGGCUGUGUGUCCCUAAUUCGAUUGUUAGAUGGCCUGAGACAUAGGCGUGUGUCUCAGCCGUAUGAGUCAUACAGCCGUGUGACCCUUGCAGUUUUGAAUUUUCUAACUUUUUCCACAAUGUUUCAAAUGUUCCUGAUUUAGUCCCGAAAUAUUUCUAAAGUGUUUCUAAGGCCUCGAGGGUUCAAAUAAGGGGCGAUAUAAAUGUCUGUAAGUGGAUUAUGCUAUGAUUAUUGUAAUGUUUGGAAAUGAAUGUUUUUAGGUUAUGUUUAUAUAUUAAUGCUCCAUAACCCUAUUCUGGCGACAGAUACAGCUUAGGAGUGUUACAUAAACUCAAGUUACUUUGCUACCCUUGCUCACAACCUUUUCAAGAUAUUUAUUUGUACUCGUUUUUUCUCUUCUUUAUUAUUAUUAUUUUCUUUUUCUUUUCUUUUUUCUUUUAGCAUGUCACAAAAUUCUUUGACUUGAUAUUCACAAUGGAGCAUACACUAAAUUACCUAGCUCUCAAUCAUGUCAUAAUUUAAAUAUAAAUCACUUGUGAAGCUAAGGUUUUUGACUAAAAAGAUGGAUGAAGUAAACAACUACCUUCUUAGCUACUCAGUCUGUUGCUAUAGUGAAGUACCCAUUUUCUUUAUUACACACUAUUACUUGGACUCACCUUUCUAGUCAACAGCACAGUGGAGCAAAUAAAAUGGUGCUAACUUACUCAACAAUUUUAAGCAUUGGAGUGCCUAUUGUCCUUUAUUUAAGUAAUGUCGUGGCAAAAUGACUGAGUUUGGCUUCAAAAACCCUAAAUUCAUCAAAAAGCCCUUGCUAUUAAUCAAAAAGGGAAAAAAACUAAGUAUAAGACAUCUCAUUUUUAAGAAUUAAUUUUCACGCAAUCUAACCUAAGCUAAACUCGCCUCAUCCACUAUCACAUGUUUUAGAUAUACUGAAGAAUAUAAGCUCAUCAUCGAACAUCACAAGUACAGAUUGAAUUUCUCGCAGAUAAAACAGUAUUUAAUAAUCACAUGGCAUUGGAAAACAACUUAACUAUACUAGGAUGAACAUACAUACUAGAUACGUAAUGCAACCUAAAUGCACAAUACAUCACCCCAAACUUAAGGGAUGCAUUAUCCUCAAUGCAUGAAUAGAUAUAUGCAAACUAUCUAUGUACAGACAAUGUCAUGGCAAAAUAUAUGCAAUGCAAUAUGUCUGAAAUAAAACGAAAACUUUCCUUGCUUGGACUACAUUAUAGAUACUUCAUUAUGUCUGACGAGUUGAUUUAUGAGCAGCAACCUUGUACCUUUACUUCCUCUUCAUCCUCACAGUCAGUCUCAAUACUGACAAACUUUAUUUUCUCUGGUUCUUUCUCUGAUGCUUUAGGUGCAUUCUCUUAAUUGGUAGGAUUUGUCGAUGGGUUCUGCGUCACCGACCCUAUCCCCUCUUGCAGUUUAUUAAACAAAGGAAAUAAAAUAACUAAGAGAAAUUUAAAUCGACAAAAUAAAAUAAAAAUAAAAAGAAUUUUCAAGAUGUUGAAGUUAAACAUCUCAAAGAUCAAAGGACUAUUUGUCUCACUCUACAUAAGCACCCCAAUAGUGUUUCAAGCGUUGUCCAUUAACUUUAAAUGUGUCCCCUAUUUUCAUGUACUUGACAUCAACAACUCCAUGUGGGAUAUAUAUGAGCUACCAAGCAUUAUUCAUCAAAAUUGAAAGGUUUAUUUUGCUCCAGCAAAGUGUAUAAGGGUCUCCGCUCAAAUGAAUCUUUAUCACUAUCAAAACUGAUGUGGCAAUAUAUCAUGAACUCUUCCUCCACUACUGUUUCUAUUAAGUCAAUGGCAUGGCAUUCUUUAUUAUCAUCAAAAUAUUUCAGUGCAUUAAAUAAAUUUAAUGUGACCUAUUGAUCAUUCAUCCUCAUGGUCAAUUCACCUUUCUACACAUCAAUUGAAGUCCUGCCUGUAGCAAGAAAAGGCCUUCCAAGAAUAAUUGGCACAUCUUUGUUAGCUUCACAAUCUAAAAUAAGGAAAUCAGCUGGAAAAAUAAACUUAUCUACUCUUACCAACACAUCUUCAAUUUUACCUUCUGGAUGUGCAUAGGAUCGAUCAGCCAGUUGUAAUGUAACUGUAGUAAGUCUAGUUUUUCCAAUUCCCAGCUUCCUGAAAAUAGACAGCAAUAUUAGAUUUAUACAUACUCCUGAAUCACAUAAUGCAUUACCAACAUAAUGAUUUCCAAUUAAACAUAAAACAGAGAAACUCCCUAAGUCCUUCAACUUUGGAGGUAAUUCAUCAACAUUGUUGUGCACCCUUAAGUGAAAGCAAUAGUCUCAAGUUCUCCCAUUCUGUGCUUCUUCGACAGUAUAUCCUACAUAAAUUUCAUAUAGUUUGGCAUUUGCUCCAAAUCUUCUACUAGUGAUAUAUUAAUAUGUAGUUGCUUCAAGACCUCCAAAAACCUUUUGAACUGAACAUCUUGUUUAGAAUUAUGUAAUUUCUGAGGAAAAGAUAGAGGUGGUCGCCCUUCAGGUUUCUGAUAUUGUUUUCCUAUAGCGUUUUUAUUGGCAGCCUGAUCUAGUUCUGCCACAGCAUUCUUCUGCUUACCCUUUUCAAGUGUAAUAUGUUUUUCAGAUGGCUUUGGGAUCUUCACAUGGUUGUUAUUUGAGUUAUCCUCUCCUGCUGUGGCAUCUUGAACAACAUCAUUUAACUGAGUUCCACUUCUAAGAGUGAUCACUUUGCACUGUUCUUUCCCUUAUGUUAUCCAAUUCUAGGUAUCGUUGGCAAUGCUCCUUGUGGCCUCAAAUUUAAAGCAUUUGCUAUUUGCCCCACUUGAUUCUCAAGAGCUCGUAGGGACAUAGCUUGACUAAGGUAUCUUUCUUGGCCAUAAAUUAUUUCAACAAGUCUUCAAUAGAUGGUGAUGAUAAUGACUGGCCUUGUUGUACAUUUUGCCUCAGCAUAGGAUGAUUAUAACUAGGCGAUGCACUAUCGGCAUUCUUCUUGUAGCAUUGUUAAAAUUCCCCUCACCUUGAUUAUUCCAACUAAAGUUUGGAUGUUGUCCCCACCUUGGAUUAUAGGUGUUGGAAUAGGGAUUAUUAUUCCAAUUGAAAUUACCUAUGUAGCACAGGAAUGUUGGGUUUGGUGGGAAUUCAUCCAACACGUGGUCAUCACCACAAUAAACACAUGCUAGCCUAAUAGCUUUCACCUCCUGAACUGUAGUUGGUAUCUCUAUCAUCUUGAUCAUAUUAGUUAAAGAUGAAACAUGGGUAGUCAAUGAAGUGAUUGUAUCAAGUUCCAUGGUACCAGCAGCUUUCUUACCUGUUCAAACUCUCGUGGUAGGAUAUUGAUAAUCAUUGCUGGCAAUCUUUUCCAAAAUCUCAUAUGCUUCAUUAUAAGAUUUAUCCAACAAAAUACCAUUGGUGAAGGCAUCAAUUACCAUCCUCAUAUGCGCAUUCAUUCCAUUAUAAAAUAACUCCAUCUGUGUCUAGUGCUGAAAUCCAUGCAUCGGGCACUUCUGAAUGAAGUCUUUAAAUCGCUCUCAAGCUUCAUAUAGCGUUUCAUCAUCCAAUUGCCGAAAAGAUGUGAUGUCAUUUCUAAGCUUGGCAUUCAUAUUUGGAGGAUUAUAUCGUAGAAAAAAACUCUAGCAAAGAUCAUUCCAUGAUGCUACUAUUCAGUACGGCAGAGCAUUCAGUCAUGCUCUCACACGAUCUCUUAAAGAAUAUGGAAACAGUUUAAGUCGCAAAGUGUCUUUAGGCACACCCUACUGUCUCUAUGAGUCAUAAACCUCUAAAAAAAGUCUUAAAUGAAGUAUUGGAUCUUUAUUAGGUAAUCCACUUAACUGUCCUACUGUUUACAACAUCUAAAAUAUUACCAGUUUCAGCUCAAACUACUGAACUUGUAUUUGUGGUCUGACUAUCUCUGGAUUCAAAUCAUCCAAAAUUAGCACAACAUGCUCUCAAAUUGGUCUAUCUCGGUCAUCUAUCACUCUACGAACAUGAAGAUUAGCAUCCUGACCAUUCAAAUUAUCAUUGAGACUAGGAUCAUUUUCGUUUCUAGCAUCAUAGUUCUUUUCACCUUCUUCGUAAAGUUAUUUCGAUGUCUGGGUUAAAAGGAUACUCUUUGUUAGCAGGAAUAUCUUUUCUCAUGUACUGAUGGAAAACUUAUAGAAAAAUAUAACUAAGUUAAAUAAAACUAAUGGAGCUAAGUGAAAUAACAAAACCAAUUUUUAGGAAAUUGUCAAUCCCUGGCAACGGUGCCAAAAAAUUGUCGCGUGUGAAUAUGAUAUGUGAAUUGUGCAAGUAUACACGUUGGAUCAACUAAUAAAAUGAUAAGUGAGUAUCAUUCCCAUGAGGUUCCGAUUGAUGCACAAAAGUGGUCAAGUUAUUAUAAUAGAGUGUUAUUAAUGCUAUGGCAAAAACAACGAUAAGUAUAAAGGAGUAGUGAUGUAUGUAAUAUGUGGAAUUUAAUGAAUACAUGGAAAUGUUAUGGAAAAACAAAAGUAGAAAUGUAAUGGAAAUUAUGAGAAUUACUACGGGAAUAUUAUGUAAAUGAACAAAUAAAUAACUAAUAAUGAUGUGACAAAGAUACUAUGGCAAAGAACAAAGGAUAUACGAUGUUGAUUUGGAAUGUUGGAAUUACUAAGAAUCUACCCUUACUGUCAGAGAUGCCUCGAAAAAAUCAUAAUUAAUUUACUACUUAGAAGAGUUCUAAAGUGGUCUGCUUCUUUCGAGAGCAAAAGUCUCAAGUUACCUUACCCAUGACAAUAUGCCUUUAAUACGAUACCCUGCACUAUUUCUUUCUGUAUGAAUGUUGCUCUAUAUCUAAAGUCUACUACAAGCAUCUAUUGAAUACUUGCUCAUAUCAUUCAAUUUUGGUCCAACUAAUCCAACUUUUUCAAAAUUAAAUUAGUUUAUGUGCAUGCUACAUAGUCUCUAUGUCUAGGAAUUGCACGCUUAUAAUUUAGAAAAAAAUAAUUAAAUGAAACAGUAAAUUAAUUCAAAUCUAUGCUUCAACCAUUAAAGAAAAUAAAGGUUUCAUCAUGUAAUCUCAACCCUAUGAAAUUUAGCUCAUGGGUUGGCACAUAAAAUUUAAAACCAAAAUAACAUCCAACACCAUUUUCAUCAUUCCAUUCAAGGAAGAACAAAGGAAGAAAAGUAUAAGACUUUGAGAAUACAACUUUUGCAUGUCAUGUUCACACUCCAACAACAUAAUUCAGGCGAUGGCUAAGAGGGACUACUUUUGUCUUCCUCUUUUUGUCUCUACUCAGUCGCUACCCUCUAUUUUUGCCUAAGGAUCUGUUACUUUUUGUUCGUCAUUUAGGGUUUCCUCCUUUGGCUUCUUAUAGCUUUUUUCCUUGGGUAAAUCCAACAAAUCAUGUUUAUCUUCUCCUCUUUUUAAAAUUUUUUUUCUAGAAUAAAAAUAAACAUCCCAGGAUUAUCUUCUCCUCUUUUAGGUACAUUUUUUUGGUAAAACUACAGUUGGGCUGAAAUUGGUAUGCAUUGAGUGUUGACUCGGUCUUCCUAGAAUUGCCACAGCAUUCGUGCUAACCAAAUGUCCAACCUUUUGCCCUGGUAAACCUUUACUCCUUUAUUUCUCAUUCCUCAACCUGCACCUGCCAAAGCACCAAACACAACCCUACCAUAAGCAAUUAAAAGUAUCUAUUAUUGAUUUUUUUUGGUAAGUGGUAAUAGGACUUGUAACUAAUAUAGUUUUGGAAAAAAUAUAAUUUUUUUAGAAUCUUUGAGGCAUAUUUUCGAUUGGUAAAUGAGGAGUUUUGAAUCAUAAAAUUAUGAUUUUAUGUUCUACCCCAUGAGACCUUUACAACGAGAUAUCAUAUGCUCAAAAUGGUUGAGUGAUGAAUGAGAAAUUGAUGCUCAAAGUAAGCUACUUGGAAAUUAUGUUGAGAAAAAUGAAAAAGCAUUAAUCCCACAUUUAUUAGGAAUCAAGUGUGGAACUUGUAUAUAUAUGUAAAUCAACUUGGUGGUUAUUAAAUGAGUAAACUAAUGCUCUCCCUCGUGCGCAGGGGGUGCAAAUCUAAAUCCACUGAGGUUGGGGCACACCCGCACGACAUGGGCGUUUCCAAGAUUUUACUCAAAUUGAUUUAAAGGCUUCUUUAAUGCAUAUUUGUAUCUUUAUUCAUGGAAAUUUCUAAAAUUCUUCCACAUUGAAUGCUUAUAAAAGCCUAAAUUCUUUAAAGACACACAACGAAUUUAUUUCACUCUCGAAAAUUCUAUUCCUUUUCUCUCCAAAAUUUUCAAAUGUCCGGUGAUAGAAGAAUGCAAGGUUUGUUCGUUGAUCACUGCAGACGUACUACUGCCGCAAUCAUUUUGUUAUUGUAUCCUGGGAGACAGAUGACCAACAUUUCUCUAAGUACCAUAGGAGCAGCUGAAUCUGUCUUAAGGAAACUGUGAAAACAGGCCUCAGCAUCUAGUAAAACUCGAUUUCCUUAUUCAAUUUCUGGUUUUUCAAUAUCUUGUUUAUAUAAUUAUUUUUUAGAUUUGAUGUUUUAAAUAAAUAUUAAUAUUUAUUUAAUUUAUUUUGUUUAGAUCUGGUGUUUUUACACAAAUAUAGAUAUUUGGUUAUAUUAUUUGUUCAAGAUAUUAUAUUUAAUAUAAAUAUUUACAUUUAUAUUUGUUCGCUAACGUGUUUUGUCCAACAAUAUUAAGACAGAUUUUUAUUAUUUUAAAAUUCUCUAAUCCGAGUAGAACGAGGCACGAAGGCGAAAAAAACAUAUUCUGUCUAAGGAAAAAAUUAAAUUGAAUAAAAUCUAUUUCGGGAUUUAUGAUUGUCGUUCAAUAGAUUUUAUUCCUUUUUUAUUUUGUUUCCAAACAAGAAUUAAUUGAAUAAUUCUAUUUCAGAAUUUAUUCUCGCAUCUCAACAGAUUUUAUUCUAUUUUGAUUUUGUUUCCAAACAAUAAUUAAAUAAAUAAUUCUAUUUCGAGAUUUAUUCCCGCCAUUUAACAGAUUUUAUUUGAUUUUGAUUUUGUUUCCAAACAAGAUUUAAUUAAAUAAUUUUGUUUCAAGAUUUAAUCCUGUCGGCCAACAAAAUUGAUUUUAAUUUUAUUUCAGAAUUUUAACUCUUCCAUUUAACAAAAUCAAAGGGUAAUAUAAAUUUUAAAUUAAAUUUUUUAUUUAUUGUGGCUUUAAUUGUGGCUUUAAAUUGUGAAAGCUUAAAUUGUAGCUUCAAACUUGUGACAUCAAAGAAAAAAAAAUUUAUCAACGGUGAAUUAAAAAAGACAAUAUGAGAGUGCAUGUCUAGGAUUGGUUCUUUGAAAGACUUGGUAUUUAAGCGUGCCAAGUGCACCACCUCUCUUUCAGGGUUACCUACCUGGCACAUUUUUUUUGUCUUUCGAUUAGACCGUGUAAACUUUUGUUUCAAGUUUUAUUAAAUUCCUAUCGUCUAGCAAAAGUUGAUAAUUUUUUUCUAAUUUUGGUUUUGUUUCUGAAAUCUUAACAGAAAAUGGAAACUCCCACCAAUGCUAUGGAAGAUAUGGACUUAUGUGCUGUGAUUUUUGGAGUCAACAUGGUUGACUCACAUCCAAGAGAAUAGUGGCUUGAUACUAGUGCCACACGUCAUAUUUGUUGUGACAAAGACUUCUUUUCUGAGUUGGAGCCUUGUGAAGAUAGGGAGAAGCUCUAUAUGGGCAAUGCUAUGACUUCCAAGAUCAAGGAGAAUGGUACUAUAGUCUUGAAGAUGACUUCUGGUAGAGAACUCAAGCUUCAAAAUGUGUUGUAUGUGUUUGACAUACGCAAGAACCUUAUUUCUGAGACACUCCUUAGUGUACACGGUUUUAAGACGGUGUUUGAAUCCCAGAAGCUAGUUUUGUCUAAAGGGUGAAUGUUUGUGGGAAGGGGAUAUGUAUUAAAUGACAUAUGGAAACUUAAAGCAAUCUCUGUAAAAUCAAAAACUAUGAAUAAGAGUGUUGUUUCUUCUUCUAUUUAUAUGCUUGAGUCAUUUAAUUUAUGGCAUGGUAGGCUCGGACAUGUUGAUUAUGAUACUUUACAUAGAUUAAUUAAUUUAGAGCACAUUCCUUCAUUUCACAUUAGUUAUAAACAUAAAUGUGAAACUUUUGUUGAGGAAAAAUUAACAAUGCUUUCGUUUGAAACUAUUGAAAGAAAUAUAGAACCACUCGAUCUAAUACAUAGCAAUGUUUGUGACUUAAUGUUUGUUCAAACCAGAGGAAGGAAUAAAUAUUUUAUUACCUUCAUUAAUGAUAGCACAAAAUAUUGUUAUGUAUAUUUGCUUCAGAGCAAAAACGAAGUUAUAGAGAAAUUUAUUCUCUAUAAACAGGAAGUUGAAACCUAACUUAAUAACUAAGAUGGUAAGAAGUGAUUGUGGUGGUAAAUAUGUUGAACCAUUUAGUGAAUACUGUGCACAACAUGGUAUUAUUCAUGAAGUGACACCACCAUACACUUCUCAAUCAAAUGGAAUAACCGAGCGAAAAAAUCAGACUCUAAAGGAAAUGAUGAACGCAUUACUAGGAAGCUCUGGGUUAUCACAGAACAUGUGGGGGGAAGCUAUUCUAUGAGCUAAUUACCUUUUAAAUAAGGUUCCCUACAAGAAAAUGGACAAUACACCAUAUGAGUUAUGGAAAGGUAGAAAACCUUCCUACAACUACUUGAAACUGUGGGGGUGUCUUGCAAAGGUAAUGGCUCCAUUACCAAAGUAAAUGAAAAUAGGUCUUAAAACGGUGGAUGUAUUUUCAUAGGCUAUGUAGAUCAUAGAAAUACAUAUAGGUUUUUUGUGUAUGAAUCAAAGAAUCCUGACAUUCACAAGAAUAUUAUAUUGGAAUCAAUGAAUUCUUUAUUCUUUAAAAAUAUCUUCCCUUAUAAAGCUAGGGAAGUUUAUUCAAGUUCAACAAAAUGAACUUCAGAGACUAUAGAAGAAAAUAGUCAAGACGAGGUUAAAACUAUGAUAGAGCCAAGAGUAAACGAGUAACACUGCAAAAAUCUUUUGGAUCAGAUUUUCUAACCUUUAUGCUAGAUGCUAAACCUCAAACAUGUGAUGAUGCUAUACGGUCAUCUAAAAGCACUUCAUGGAAAGAUGCUAUUAAAAGUGAAAUUGACUCCAUCAUGUAAAAUCAUACAUGAGAAUUAGUGGAUCUUACUCUAGGAAUUAAACCAUUAAAUUCUAAGUGGAUUUUUAAAUGAAAAAUGAAAGCAGAUGAAACAAUUAACAAGUACAAGGUCAGAUUGGUUAUAAAAGGUUAUAGAUAAAAAAGAAGGCCUACUUUGAUACUUUUUCUCCAAUAUCCAGGAUAACUUCUAUAAGGAUGAUACUUGCAAUUGUCGCCUUAUAGAAUCUAGAAGUACAUCAAAUGGAUGUUAAAACAACUUUCCUAAAUGGAGAUCUUGAUGAAGAAAUUUACAUAGAACAACCUGAGGGUCAUGUAAUUCUAAGACAAGAAAGGAAAGUUUGUAAAUUGGUGAAGUCUUUAUAUGGACUUAAGCAAGCACUAAAACAAUGGCAUUAAAACUGUUCGACAAUGCCAUGAUGACAAAUGGCUUUAAGAUUAAUGAAUGUGAAAAUUGUGUGUAUGUCAAAACUACCGAUAUUGGAUAUAUAAUCCUAUGCUUAUAUAUUGAUGACAUAGUCAUUGUUGGGAGUAACAAUGAAAUGGUAAAACGUGCCACAGACAUGUUAAAUUCAACGUUUGACAUGAAAGAUAUGGGACUAGCAAAUGUGAUUUUAGCAUCCAAAUUAAGAGGUCAUAUGAAGGUCUGAUAUUGACUUAGCCACACUAUGUGGACAAGAUUCUUGGGAAAUUUAGCAAGGAUGAUUCCGGUAUAGCCAAAACUCCAAUAGAUACAAGCCAACAUUUGUCCAAAAAUAAAGGUGAAAGUGUUGACCAAGUGGAAUAUGCAGGGGUCAUAGGCAGUCUAAUGUACCUUAUGAGUUGUACUAGACCAGAUAUUGCUUUCACUGUGAGCAGUUUAAGCAUAUUCACAAGCAAUCCAGGGGAAAACCAAUGGAAAGUAAUUGUGAGGAUACUGAGAUAUCUUAGAUAUACUCGGGACUAUGGAUUGCAUUAUUCCAAAAAUCCUAUUGUUUUAGAAGGAUUCUCCUGUGCCAGUUGGAUAUCUGAUAUUCAAGAUACCAAAGGCACAAGUGGAUAUGUUUUUACAUUAGGAGGAGGAGCUAUGUCAUGGAAAUCCCCAAGACAAACGAUUAUAACCAGAUCCAUAAUAGAAUCUGAGUUUGUAGCUCUAGACAAAUCUGGAGAAAAGGCUAAAUGGCUUCGAAACUUCUUGGAAGAUAUUCCUGACUGGCCAAAGCCUGUGCCCACAAUAUGUAUAUAUUGUAACAAUCAAGCAACAAUUGGUAGAGCACAAAAUGUAAUAUAUAAUGGUAAGUCAAGACAUAUGCGUCGUUGACACAAUACUUGUAGACAACUGAUCUCAAAUGGAGUUAUCUCUAUUGAUUUUGUAAAAUCAAAAGAUAACAUUGUGGAUCCGCUAACUAAAUGCUUAAAUCGAGAUCAGGUUAAUAAAACAUCGAAAGGAAUAGGACUAAAGCCCAUGGAAAUUAAAGGCGCUAUGUAAAGGAAAACCCAACCUAGUUGACUGGAGAUCCCAAAAUCUAAGUUCAAAUGGACAACCUAAUUGCAUAGGCCUUGUGAGGUCACUAUAGGGGUUCUUAUUCCAAGUCCGUUCCUAUGAAAUAAACAGUAAUUUAAAGUGAGAUAGGUUAAGUAAAGCUUUUAAUGACCAUUGUGUGUUUCGGAAAGCCAAGCAACAUAAGUCACCUAUGUUAGAGUGAAGUGGGGCCGCUUCGAGGAGACUAUUGUGCAUAGUUCUCUCAAAAUCUUGCAGAACCAGGAAAUGUUCAUGGUCAUAUAAACAUACCUAUGAGAACGAAGACCUUGCUAGGGAGGUAGUUGUGUAAGGUAUAUCAUUGUUUACACAAACGACAGAACAGUUCAAGGAUAUUGCGUCAACUAGUCAGCUAGUAAAAUAAAUAUACUUUCACAAUGUAAGGUUCAAGGGUUGAUGUCUGCCUAUCAUAUGCAACUAUCAAUCGUAGAAUCUAUCACCACAUCCAGCCAAUGUUUUUCAUUAAACCUAUCAAUUUCAUUCAUGUGGGGUAUUGUUGGAAAAAUAUGAUUUUUUGGAAUCUUUGAGGCAUAUUUUCGAUUGGUAAAUGAGGAGUUUUGAAUCAUAAAAUUAUGAUUUUAUGUUCUACCUCAUGAGACCUUUACAACGGGAUAUCAUAUGCUCAAAAUGGUUGAGUGAUGAAUGAGAAAUUGAUGCUCAAAGUAAGCUACUUGGAAAUUAUGUUGAGAAAAAAUGAAAAAGCAUUAGUCCCACAUUGAUUUGGAAUCAAGUGUGGAACUUUUAUAUAUAUGUAAACCAACUUAGUGGUUAUUGAAUGAGUAAACUAAUGCUCUCCCUCGCGCGCAGGGGGUGCAAAUUCAAACCCAUCGGGGUUGGGAAACACCCGCACGACGUGGGUAACGCGAAAUGUCCGGAUCGAUCAGGCCCUUUUAGGCCUGCGAAUAUUUUAGCCCAAUACGUAUUUAUUUAUUUUUUUGAGCAGAUAUUAUACAGAAUCUGUUUUAAAAGAACAAAUAUCUCAUUUUGAUUUGAUUCCAAUCAAAUUUGAUUUUAUUUUAUUCAAAUUGAUUUAAAGGCUCCCUUAAUGCAGAUUUGUAUCUUUAUUCAUGAAAAUUUCUAAAAUUCCUCCACAUUGAAUGUCUAUAAAAGCCUAAAGAAUAUUGCAGAAUUCUUUAGAGACGCACAACGAAUUUAUUUCACUCUCGAAAAUUCUAUUCAUUUUCUCUCCAAAUUUUUCAAAUGUUUGGUGAUAGAAGAAGGAAAGAUUUAUUUAUUGAUCACUGCAGAAGCACUACUCCCAUGAUCAUUUUGUUGUUGUUUCUUGGGAGACAGACGAUCAACGUUUCUCCAAGUACCAUAGGAGCUGUCGAGUCUAUCUUACGGAAACUGUGAAAACAGGCCUCAACAUCUAGUAAAAUUCGAUUCUCUUAUUCGAUUUCUAAUUUUUCAAGAUCUUGUUUAUUUAAUUAUUUUUUAGAUAUGAUGUUUUAAAUAAAUAUAAAUAUUUAUUUAAUUGAUUUUGUUUAGAUCCGGUGUUUUUACAUAAAUAUAAAUAUUUGUUUAUAUUAUUUGUUCAAAAUCUUGUAUUUAAUAUAAAUAUUUAUAUUUAUAUUUGUUCACUAAGGUGUUUUGUCCAAACUAUAGCUUCUCAAUAAUUGUCAAAUAUUAUAGUGAUAUGCUUUUUCUUUCAAUAAUUCAUAUCUUCAAGAUUAAAAGGUUUACUUUAGUAUUAUUCUAUUUAUUGAGUGUGUAUUAAUGUUUUGUACAGGAAUCCGUUGGAUUUUGGUCUUGUAUAAAUUAGCUGUGGUUGUGGGUAAAUAAAUGUGUGCCGUUCUUCAUUCUCCGAACAUGCUGAAUAUAAUUAUUGGCAUUUCAAGUGUGGCAUAAUAUAAAACAAUGGUUGGCUUCAUCAUAAUCUGUUUGGAGACUAACGGACCACACUUUGACCUCCAAAUUUAGAAAAUAUUUCCAGAGUUGGAAAUUGUAAUUGUAAUACCCUAAUAUUUGUACACCGCAGUGAACAUGGACAAUCAUGUCAUGAUGCAGAACCAGAAAAUGGUGCCAACUCUCCUUCUUCUCCCCCUCUUUCUUCCAAAACUAUAUCCUCGAAAAUGGUGACAUCAAACUUCCUUUCGUUUAUCAAAGGUUCACCCCUCACAUUACAGGGUCCUGUUCGUAUCUCAAGGCAAUCAAACAUGGAAUCCAUAUAUAUGAUUCUUCCCCAAUCCUUGUUGUAGAUUCUUUGGGGAUACAAGCCUUUUUGUUUGUAUUUAAAUACAAAAAAGGGAGAAAGAAAAGUGCCAUCUACAACUGCAUGCUAAUGAUUGCCAAAAUCACUGUUUGUUUUGUUGGAAGGCUUUCAAUCUUGCGGGGUCUUGAAGAGCCUGUUUCAGUAACUUGCCAUUAAUUCUCUCUUACAUUCCAAUCCUAAAAAAUGCUUCCAUCUUUUAGCUGCAACAGUUUAUAAUCAUCAGAAAGGUCUAGUCAGAAUAAUAUUACCUUCUCCUUUUAAACAGUUUUUUUUUUUUAAAUCAUGCCACUACAACUGUAGCUGCGCUCAUGUUAACAAUUAAUUCCUAUAAUCGACAUCAAAAUUAUAUGAAAGAAUUAACACUUGGUUACCGAGUUACCAUAUUUGAAGAUAACGCGAAAGGUAAAAACACAAAAGGCAAGCAUGACCAAGCAAACAAGGUAUGGACAUUGAUUUUUUUGAAUCGGGAAUGACCAAAUGGGACCGUGAAGAGGUGACAAAGGAGAAAUCAGGCAUUCACGGUUUCCAUUGGAUGAAAUGAGAUAAGAUCACUGUGCUUCUUCCACGUGGCAGGUUGCCAAAGAUAAGGCUUUACCAUUCAAGAAAAGUUUCCACCCUCUUUGUGGUCAUUAUGGUUGUAAUGUCAUCUGAUUUAGGAUCCAACGGUCACCCUGUCUCCCAAACCAAUCUCUAAAUGUGGUGAGCUUAGACCAAAUUUUAUGACUAUAUAUAGGGGAUUGCACCAAGGCAGUGACACUAUUAAGGGAUCAGUGAGACUCUUUUGUAUACCUGUAGCAUAUAGUAAUAGUAAGCAGUAAUAGCAAUGGCCUCCUCCAUGAUCUCAUCGGCAACCAUUGCCACCGUGAACCGCUCCUCCCCGGCACAGGCCAACAUGGUGGCCCCCUUCACCGGCCUCAAAUCUGCCUCUGCUUUCCCAGUCACCAGGAAGGCCAACAACGACAUCACUUCUCUUGCAAGCAACGGUGGGAGAGUGCAAUGCAUGCAGGUACUUGGUGAUGCAUAAAUACCACUUAAAUUACCCCAAGUGUUUGAACACAACAAAUUACAUAAAUUGAAUCAAAUAUAUAUCUUGGCUUUUGAGUACAGGUGUGGCCGCCUCUUGGGAAGAAGAAGUUCGAGACUCUCUCAUACCUGCCCGAUCUUACUCCCGUACAGUUGGCUAAGGAAGUAGAUUACCUUCUUCGCUCUAAAUGGAUUCCUUGCUUGGAAUUCGAAUUAGAGGUGUUUUGGAGCUCUAAAUUAUUCCAUUCCUCCUCUUAAUUUUUUUAGUGGGAUAUUUGAGUUGAUUAAGUGUGUUUUAUAUGUAUGUGCAGGAGGGAUUCGUGCACCGUAAGUACUCGAGCUUACCCACGUACUACGAUGGACGCUACUGGACCAUGUGGAAACUGCCCAUGUUCGGGUGCACCGACUCGGCUCAGGUGUUGAAGGAGCUUGAGGAAUGCAAGAAGGAAUACCCCAAUGCAUUCAUUAGAAUCAUUGGGUUCGACAACGUUCGUCAAGUGCAGUGCAUUAGUUUCAUUGCCUACAAGCCUGAAGGCUACUAAGUUGUUUACUUCCCUCCUAGGAAUUCCAUUUGUUUCAAAGUUGUACUUAAAUUAAGCCCCUCAAGCCCCCCCCCCCUUUUUCUUUUUCUUUUUUAGUUGAGUUAUUUGGCUUGGGGUCUCUCUUUGUUUUGUUUUUGGAUUUCCAAUGGAACGGCUGAGAACUAAUGAAUAAAAAGGUAGUUUCUUGCCAUAUUUCAUGAAUCCAGUUCUUCCUCCAUUUUCAGUGCUAAGAUAUUCAUGUUAAGAUAGGAUAAAAAUUAAAAGAAAAAAAGGUGAUUGGGUGGUCUGGCUUUAAAAUAAGAGGAUAAAGAUUUUGUGGACAAGCAACGCUGUGCUGUUGGAGGCUCAUUAUCUUAGUACAUAGGAAUACACCAAAGAAACCAUUUUUAUUAAAUUGUUUUAUUAUGACAUCACAAGUUUCUAUUAUUAAAAUAACAACUUAAAAAGGCUAAAUUCAAAUA